rnacentral:lncRNA from 1 species
UUGGGCCCUGGGGGUGUCUCUGUUCAAUCUCGCCUUGUGUGUGCUGAACUAUUUUUAUUGGUAUAGAAAUGGCUGGUCGGACGUGAGACUGGUCUCCCUUGUGGAUUCAGCUGUCACGACUCUUGCUUGGGGGCUAAUGUGUGUUUACCUGCAUGGUCGCAACUCUGAUUCUGGCGAAUCCAAGUUCCCUUUCCUGUUAAGAGUUUGGUGGGGCUUCUACUUCUCUAUUUCCUGUUAUUCCCUUGUUUUAGACGUCAUUCGAUAUGAGAAACAUGUUGGCUUGUUGCCGGUUCGGGAUUUUGUAUCCGACGUAAUCUCUGUCUUGACCGGUUCGUACUUCUGUUAUGUGGGGUUCUUCGGGAAAAAUGAGGUUGAAGAGAACCUCCUUGAAGAGCCCCUUUUAAAUGGGAAUAAUUUGAUUUCAAGUAAUAGGGAUGGUGUGGGGUUGAAUAAGUUUAGAGGAAGCGAUGCGGUAACCCCUUAUUCUAGAGCUGGUAUACUUAGCAUAGUUACUUUCUCUUGGAUGAGUCCUCUUAUUUCCAUUGGGAAUAAGAAAACCUUGGACCUUGAGGAUGUUCCUCAACUUGAUUCUGGCAAUAGUGUGGUAGGGGCUUGUCAACACUUCAGAAGUAAGCUUCGGUUCAAUGGUGAGGCUAGCGAUAAAGUGACUACGUGGAGGCUGGUGAAGGCAUUGUUCUUGUCUGUGUGGAGACAAAUUCUUUCGACAGCAGUUUUUGUGCUUCUUUAUGUGUUGGCUUCUUAUGUUGGUCCAUACCUCAUUGAUACCCUUGUUCAAUUUCUUAAUGGGCGACGCCAAUACAAAAAUGAAGGCUAUUCGCUAGUUUCAGCCUUUUUAGUGGCGAAGCUCGUUGAGUGCCUGUCACAGAGGCAACGGUUCUUCAGGUUACAGCAGGUUGGGAUUAGGAUGCGAGCAGUGGUCGUUGCCAUGAUGUAUGACAAGGCAUUGACCCUUUCGUGCCAGUCAAAACAGGGCCAUACUAGUGGAGAGAUCAUCAAUUUCAUAUCUGUUGAUGCCGAGAGGGUGGGUGACUUUGCUUGGUACAUCAACGACCCAUGGAUGGUGCUUUUGCAAGUAGCUUUGGCUUUGGGGAUCUUGUAUAAAAAUCUCGGACUCGCCAGUAUUGCAGCUUUCGUGGCCACUGUGCUUGUUAUGUUAGCAAAUGUUCCCUUAGCUAAGUUGCAGGAGAAGUAUCAGGACGGAAUGAUGAAAUCGAAAGAUAAAAGGAUGAAGGCAACUUCAGAGAUUCUCCGGAACAUGAGAAUUCUGAAGCUUCAGGGAUGGGAGAUGAAAUUCUUGUCGAAGAUUUUUGAGCUUCGAAAUGCCGAGAUAGGAUGGUUGAAGAAGUUCGUUUACACUCAAGCAAUGACCUCUUUCGUUUUCUGGGGCGCACCCACCUUUGUUUCCGUCGUCACUUUCAGCGCAUGUAUGUUGAUGGGGAUCCCGCUUUCUUCUGGAAAAAUCUUAUCAUCCCUCGCAACGUUUAGGAUCCUCCAAGGGCCCAUCUACUUUCUUCCUGACUUGAUAUCAAUGAUAGCUCAGACAAAGGUCUCACUCGACAGAAUAGCAUCUUUCUUGUGUCUUGAUGAUUUGCCGAAUGAUGUUGUCGAGAGGAUUCCUCAGGGAAUUACUGACACAGCAGUUGAGAUAAUUGGUGGGAAUUUUUCCUGGGACUUGGCUUCGUCUAAUCCCACACUUAAGGACAUAAAUUUGAAGGCACAAAGGGGCAUGAAGAUCGCUGUUUGUGGUACUGUCGGCUCAGGAAAAUCAAGCUUGCUUUCCUGCAUUCUGGGAGAAAUGCCAAAGAUAUCUGGGACCCUCAGGCUGUGUGGAACUAAGGCUUAUGUCGCUCAAUCUCCAUGGAUUCAGAGUGGCAAGAUCAUCGACAACAUCUUAUUUGGUAAGGAGAUGGACAAAGAGAGAUAUGAAAGGGUCCUUGAAGCAUGCUCCUUGAAGAAGGAUUUGGAAAUUCUAUCACACGGCGAUCAAACAGUCAUCGGAGAGAGAGGAAUAAAUCUGAGUGGUGGACAAAAGCAAAGAAUUCAGAUUGCUCGUGCGGUCUACCAAGAUGCGGACAUUUACUUAUUCGACGACCCUUUUAGUGCUGUGGAUGCUCAUACAGGAUCUCAUCUCUUUAAGGUAACCUGCAUGUACCUGCUAAUUCCGAGUUGUUGGCACUUGGUAGAAUUGCAAUACGCAUGCAGCCUCACACUCAUAGAAGCACAUAUUUGUAGAUGGGCUAAUUUUUUGUCUUUCUUUUUGGUUCUUGGAGGCAGGGUAGUUCUUUUAAGGGCCUCCCUCCUCACUCUCUCUGCCGAGAUUUGCCAAACUUUGUUUCAUUGCUGCAUGCAUUGUGUUUGUGUUGAAUUAUCCUGAUUUUUAGGAGCUGAUUAUUAGGAAUAUUCAAUUCUGAUUUUUUGGGUCCUAAUUAUUAGGAAAUUGCUGUAAAUAAUUAGUUAGGAAAUGCUUUAUUAGUAUCCCUUGAUUUGUGGGAUUAUAGCUGUAUUAUUUAGAUCUAUUUUUUCCUAGUUUUUUUUUUCCUUUGGUUCUGUUUUUUCCUAGUUAGUACUUGUAGAAGUCCUAUAAAUAGCUUUGUAAUCCUAGUACAAAAAUAUAGAGAAUUAUCACAAUUAUUUUCUCUAAAUUCUUCAUGGUAUCAGAGCAUUAGGCUCACUUUUCUAGGAUAGUGUUGCAGUGCAUCCUUCAUUGAUGCAAUAAUCUUCCAAUCACAGCCUUCAUUGCUGGAUUUGUCUUUGUCCUUAACAAUCUGAUCGCAAAUGUCAUUGUUGUGAUCCCUUGAGCUAUAUUUUUCCCUCUUGGCUUCUAAACUUGUCCCUUUUUUUCUUUUUUGCCCUAAAAACCUUAUUCACUUGUAGCCUUUACUACUUCUGUUUUUUUUUUUUUUUUGCUCUUCCUUUCCAAGUACUUUCUUUGUGCCUGGAAUUAUCCAUGUCUGAGACAAAAUUGAUUGGAGAUACUUUGGGUCAAAAUGAGGAGGCCAACACCAACCAUAUGACUGGAGAUCUACAAAAUGUGGGAGCAACUUAUAGGCUGAAUGAAAAGAAUGAUCUCAAAUGGUCACAAUUUGUCAAGACCUAUUUGAAGGGUAAAGGAAGACUCAGCCAUUUUCUCGGAACAAGUCCAACACCAGAAGAUCCCACGUUCAACACAUGGGAUGAGGCAGAUUCAAUGAUCAUGUUAUGGCUUUGGGAUUCAAUGGAUCCGGCCAUAAGUGAUACAUGUAUGUUUCUCAAAACUGCAAAGGAGAUUUGGGAUUCUAUUCGCAGGACUUAUUCAAAGGCUUGAGAUGCAGCACAAGUAUAUGAAAUCAAGGUAAAGACAAGUGCAACAAAACAAGGGAGCAAAACAAUGACGGAAUAUGCCAAUUCCCUUCAAAAUCUAUGGGAAGAACUCAAUCAUUAUCGAGUAUUUGAGAUGAAGUGUGCAAAUGAUGCUGUAACUCUAAAAACCUUCAUUGAAAAGGAUCAAGUAUAUGAUUUCUUGGCAGGUCUUAAUUUUGAAUUUGACCAAGUCAGGAUUCGGAUACUUGGAAAGGAAGAAAUCCCUUCUUUGGAAGAGACGAUUUCUCUAAUCAGGGCAGAAGAAAGUCGAAGGGGAAUAAUGCUAGAGCCUUAAGCUAUGGAAGGCUUAGCAUUAGUAACUCGCAAUGCGUCAACACAAGAAAGAGGAAAGGUGGAUGCUUCGAGGCCUACAUGGAGGGAUAAUCGAGACGGUUUGUGGUGUACCUACUGUAAGAAGCCAAGGCAUACAAAGGAACGUUGCUGGAAACUGAAUGGCAAACCAACAACCUCAAGCUGAGAGUGGGGAAACAAAGGAGGACAGCCAAGGCCCUAGGCUCAUCUAAUUGAACAAACCAGCCAGCAAAUCAAUCACAGUGAAGGACAAGUGAAAGAAUCCUUUAGUAGUGAGGAAAUAGAAAGAAUUAAAGGGCUUUUAGGGUCUCUUGAUAAACCCUCCGGUGCAUGUUCCUUAGCACGCUCAAGUACGUCUCCAUUCUUUUUUUUGUCUAAAUGCCUCAGAAAAACUUUCAAGUGAAGCUUGGAUAAUAGACUUAGGUGCCACUGAUCACAUGACUCGCACUUCACAUUUUUUUAGUACCUACACCCUAUGUCCAAGCAAUAGGAAAAUAGUGGUGGCAGAUCGUUCUCUAGCCACUGUUGCAGGAGUUGGUGAUAUCUAUAUUACACUUGUUCUCACUCUAAAAGAUGUCCUCCAUGUGCCAAAACUAUUAGGUAGCAUAGUCUCCAUACAAAGGCUCACCAAUGACCUCAAAUGUUAUGCAAUUUUUUACCCUAUUCGGAGAGGAAGAUUGGACUUGCUAAGGAAAAGAAUGGGUUGUACUAUCUUGAGACGCCGAGGAUUUCGAAGAAAGUCAUAAACAAUUCUCCCUUAUCAUUUCUUAGUGCUUCAAAUAAGGAUGUCAUUUGGCUUUACCAUUUUCGUUUUGGUCAUCCAUCUUUUCGUGUCUUAAAUAUCAUGUUUCCAUCCUUGUUUAAAGGAUUAGAUAUGAGUCAAUUCCAAUGUGAUACUUGUGAAUUUGCUAAGCACAUCCGUGUAUCUUUUCCUAUAAACAACAAAAGAAGUUCUCAUCCUUUUGAUUUGAUUCACUGUGACAUUUGAGGACCUUCCACAAGGCUUGAUGGUUUGUUUCUCUAAUCGAUGAUUGCACUAAGGUCACAUGGAUAUUCUUACUCAAACACAAAUUUGAUGUAAGUAGUAUUAUUCCUAAUUUUAAUUCUAUGGUUCAAAAUCAAUUUAGAGUUAAAAUUAAGAGAAAUAAUGCUAGAGACUACUUUAAUCGGAUCUUGUCAACCUAUUUCCAAAAGGAAGGGAUCAUCCAUGAGUCAUCGUGUGUAAACACACCACAACAAAAUUGGGUGGUUGAAAGGAAAAAUGGUCAUUUGCUCAACACUACUCGAGCAUUGUCGUUUCAUGGAAAUGUCCCUAAGUCUUAUUGGGGGGAAGCCGUCCUUACAUCUACAUACAUGAUUAAUAGAUUGCCAUCAAGAGUAUUAGAUUUCAAAACUCCUAUGGCAAUUUUUUCUAGUUUUUAUCCCCAUCUCAGGACAACAAAUAAUCUCACACCUAGAGUCUUCGGUUGCACCUCAUUUGUACAUGUUCAUAAUCAGCAAAGGGGAAAACUAGAUCCUAGAGCAAUCAAGUGUGUCUUUCUUGGUUACUCCUCUACACAAAAGGGGUAUAAAUGUUAUCAUCCUCCUUCUCAAAAGACCUAUAUAUUAGUCGAUGUUACAUUUGUAGAAAACAAACCUUACUUUCCACAGUCUUAUCUUUAGGGGGAGAAGUCAUUAGUUGAAGAUAAAGACUUUGACGGUCUUAAUCUUGACUUACCUCCUAAUAAUCUUCCAAUCUGAGCUCCCACUUUUGAUCAACCAAUCCCUGAUCAAUGGACUCCUAACCAAUCAGCCUCCAGCUCUGAUUAACAGGCUCCUCAUGAAUCAGUUCGUGCUACUUCAAUUCCAGAACAAGAGUCCACUCCCGUAUCUCCCUGUAUUUAUGACUCUAUGAGAUUUCCUCUGGUAUACUUAAGAAAGACAGCUCUUCCAGACCAAACACAAGUUCAAGAUUCCCAUCCGAAUUUUGCAAAUGAAUUUCCGGUAAGUUCCAACUCUCCUAUGCAUAAACAGUCAAUUGAUAUGCCAGAAAAUGACUCACAUCUUCCCAUUGCUGUUAGAAAAGGUACUAGGGAGUGCACAAAGCGACCCUUAUAUCCACUAUCUCAUUAUGUGUCACUUGACCACCUAUCACUAUCUCAUAAAAAUUUCAUUGUAAGUCUAAACACCAUUUCUAUUCCAAAUACUUUACCUAAGGCAUUGUCUAAAGAAGAAUGGAGGAAUGCAAUGAGAGAAUAAAUUGAUGCACUAGAAAAAAAAAAUUAGACUUGGGAGAUCGUUGAAAAACCUAAGAGAAAGAAUCUUGUGGACUGCAAAUAGGUUUUUACCUUGAAAUACAAAACUGAUGGUUCUCUUGAGAGAUAUAAAGCACGAUUGGUGGCAAAGGGUUAUACUCAGACCUAUGGAGUACAUUAUUAGGAGACAUUCGCUUCGGUGGCAAAGAUGAACACCGUGAGAAUUCUACUCUCUUUGGCGGCUCACUUUAAUUGGCAACUUCAAUAGUAUGAUGUGAAGAAUGCAUUCUUACAUGGAGACCUAGAAGAGGAGAUUUACAUGAGUAUUCCACCGGGAUUUGCAAGAGAAAAGACAACAAACAAAGCAUGUAGCACUAUAUGGGCUCAAGUAAUCACCUAGAGCCUAGUUUGGGAGAUUUUCCAGAGUUAUGAAAGCUUCAUGCUACAAAUAAAGCCAAGGUGAUCAUACUCUUUUCAUUAAGCAUUCGGCAAGAGGGAGAGUGACAGCACUUCUAGUGUACGUCGAUGGUAUUAUUGUCACAAGUGACAAUGAUGAGGAGAAAUAGCAGCUAAAGCGGUGUUUGAUUAAAGAGUUUGAAAUAAAAGAACUAGGAAGACUCAAAUACUUUCUUGGCAUUGAAGUUUCUUACUCUAGACAAGGAAUUUUUGUCUCACAACAGAAGUAUGUGACUGAUCUCUUAAAGGAAACUGGAAAACUUGGUUGUAAACCAGUAGCUACACCUAUUGAGCCUAAUAAAAGGCUCGGGGAUGCAAAGGAAGAACUUGUUGUAGAUCGAGAAAUGUAUCAAAAAUUGGUCGGGAAACUCAUUUAUUUGGCUCAUACUAGACCUAAUAUUACCUAUUCAGUAAGUGUGAUUAGUCAAUUUAUGUAUGACCCAAGAGAAUCACACUUACAAGUUGUCCAUCAAGUGCUACAUUACUUAAAAGGAAGUCCUGGAAAAGGAGUCAUAUUCAGAAGAAAUCAAAAACUGGUAUUGCAAGCUUAUACCGAUGCUAACCAUGCAGGAUCCAUGGUGGAUAGAAGGUCAACAUCUGGUUAUUGCACAUUUCUUGGCGGAAAUUUAGUGACUUGGCAGAGUAAAAAAUAGAAUGUAGUUGCAAGAUCAAAUGCUGAAUCAGAAUUUCGAGCAAUGGCCCAAGGAAUAUGUGAGCUAUUAUGGCUUAAAAUCAUCCUAGAAAACUUGAAAAUCAAGUGGGAGGGUCCUAUGAAGCUGUAUUGUGACAAUAAAUCAGCAAUUAAUAUUGCUCAUAAUCUCGUACAGCAUGAUAGGACGAAGCAUAUUGAAAUUGACAGGCAUUUCAUCAAAGAAAAGAUAGAAGAGGGGUUGAUCUGCAUGUCCUACAUACCUCUCGGAGAUCAACUGGCUAAUGUGCUAACCAAAGGACUUAAUGGUGGGAUCAUUCACGAAAUUAUCUCCAAGCUGGGAAUGGAAGACAUCUAUUCCUCAGCUUGAGGGAGAGUGUUGAAUUAUCCUAAUUUUUAGAAGCUGAUUAUUAGGAAUAUUCAAUCUUGAUUUUUUGGGUCCUAAUUAUUAGGAAAUAGCUGUAAAUAAUUCGUUAGGAAAUGAUUUAUUAGUAUCCCUUAAUUUGUGGGAUUAUAGCUGUAUUAUUCAGAUCUGUUUUUUCCUAGUUAGUACUUGUAGAAGUCCUAUAAAUAGCUUUGUAAUCUUGGUACAAAAAUAUAGAGAAUUAUCACAAUUCUUUUCUCUAAUUUCUUCGAUUUGUGCUUUGGGAAUUGACUACUAAUUGAAUUUGUAUUUGAUAGGAAUGCUUGUUGGGCUUUUUACGUACCAAAACUGUGAUUUACGUAACUCAUCAAGUGGAAUUCUUGCCCGCGGCUGAUUUCAUACUGGUGAGCAAUUCACAAAUUACAGAACCUGUUUUUCAUUCUUUCUAGUUGUAGAGUCAGGAUACAAGGCAUUGUUCUUAUUUUUCAUCAGGUUAUGAAGGAUGGACGGAUUACGGAAGCAGGAAAAUACAACGAUAUACUUCAUGCAGGGACAAAUUUCAUGGAACUUGUAGGUGCACAUGAGAAAGCUUUGUCAGAGGUAGAUUCCAUACAAGACACACCGGCAAAUCGAGGAUCUAGUAGCAGUGUUCAAAAUGGCAGUGCGGAUGCUAAUGGGAAGAUUCCCGAGGAGGACGAAAGCAAAGCUUCUCAGAAAGGUGAAGUCAUCGACGAUGUUGGGACCAAAGGGCAGCUUGUUCAAGAUGAAGAAAGAGAGAAAGGUAGAGUCGGAUUUACAGUGUACUGGAAAUACAUCACAAUGGCAUAUGGAGGAGCUCUUGUGCCUGUCAUAUUGCUGGCACAUAUUCUUUUUCAGCUUCUUCAAAUAGGAAGUAAUUAUUGGAUGGCCUGGGCGACUCCAGUGUCCGAGGAUGUCAAACCUGCCGUUACAGGAUCAACUCUAAUAGCAGUCUAUGUAGCUUUGGCUGCUGGCAGUUCUCUAUGUGUUCUUGCAAGAGCUACUGCUCUUGCAAUUGCUGGGUUCAAGACAGCAACCGAGCUCUUCAAUAGGAUGCACUUUUGUAUUUUCCGUGCUCCAAUGUCCUUCUUCGAUUCUACUCCAAGCGGAAGAAUCCUCAAUAGGGUAUGUAUAAUAUGCUCGUUAUGAUAUUGUUACAGGGGUAUGUAUUUCUUCGAUUUAAGCUUGCAGAGGUCUGUCUUUUAUCCAAUCGCUUGUAUUUUCGUUUGUGUUGACUACGAUUAUCCAUGCGCAACUGCAUCUAUUAUGGCGUCUUUUCUUUGCUUUUGUAGGCUUCUGCAGACCAGAGUACCGUGGAUACAAGCAUGCAAUAUUUAGUUGCAGCAUUUUGUUUCACGAUGAUCCAGCUCCUUGGAAUUAUCGCUGUGAUGUCUCAGGUUGCAUGGCAGGUUUUCAUAAUUUUUAUCCCUGUCAUUGCAAUCUGUGUGUGGUAUCAGGUAAUCAUCCGAGCUCUUCCGAUCUUUUUCUAACUGUCAAGAAGAGCAAAGAGGACUUGGCUUUCUUUCUUUUCAGGAGGAUUGUUCUGGUUUUAGAUGUAUUCCGCUAGUUAUUUUGUUUCCUCACUCAUGGAAGGAGUGAAAUGGUGACACUCCCAUCCCAACCGUCUUCUCAUAAAAGCCUUGAAAUUGUGUGCUUGUUCGUCAAAGUCCUUUCACUUUUUUUCUCAUGAGUGACAAACUGUUGGCACAUCGUGAGCUUGAACGAGUAUCUGUAUACAUUGGGUCUAUGUAGAUACUUUUGAAUUUGCGAAAAUAUACACUGACUGAAUUAUUUUUCGCAUCCACAGCAAUAUUACAUAUCUUCUGCACGAGAAUUGUCAAGGUUGGUUGGGGUGUGCAAAGCUCCGGUAAUACAGCACUUUGCUGAGACAAUUUCAGGAGCCACCACUAUUAGAAGCUUUGAUCAAGAAUCACGGUUCCAAGAUACAAAUAUGAAACUUGCCGAUAGAUACUCACGGCCCAAGUUUCAUAUUGCUGGGGCAAUGGAAUGGUUGUGUUUUCGCCUAGACAUGCUAUCCUCGAUUAUUUUCGGCUUUUCUUUGAUUUUCCUAGUCUCUGUUCCUGAGGGAUUUAUCGAUCCAGGUAAGAACUUUCUUUUAGAUUUUCAAAUGCUGUUGUAUCUAUUUAAUUGUUUCUGGAACUUUUAACAUUUAAAUUGCUUCUUUCCUGAUGUCUGAAGCCAUUGCGGGGUUGGCCGUGACCUAUGGGCUUAACCUAAACAUGUUACAAGCUUGGGUGAUUCGGAAUCUCUGCAAUAUGGAGAACAGAAUCAUAUCAGUUGAGAGGAUACUGCAGUACACCAGCAUUCCGAGUGAGCCCCCUCUUAUAUUAGAGGAAAAUCACCCGUCAAUCUCUUGGCCAUCACACGGAGAGAUCAACAUUUGCCAUCUGCAGGUACAUGAAGCUUCUGUAUCAUCUCAUAUUACAGCUUUUACAAUUCACGAUUGACCUAUUUUUGUGACAACCAUGUGGAACGUAGGUCCAAUAUGCUUCACACUUACCCCUUGUUCUGCGGGGAAUUACAUGCACUUUGCCUGGUGGAAUGAAAACCGGGAUCGUGGGGAGAACUGGAAGCGGUAAAUCAACCCUUAUACAAGCACUCUUCAGGAUUGUGGAACCUGCAGCUGGUCAAAUCAUGAUCGACAAUGUCAAUAUUUCCUUGAUUGGACUGCACGAUUUGAGGUCUAGACUGAGCAUAAUCCCUCAGGACCCAACCAUGUUUGAAGGGACCAUAAGAAGCAACUUGGACCCUCUGGAGGAGUACACAGAUGACCAGAUUUGGGAGGUUUGUUCAUUUCCUUGCACAAGUUAAAAUAACAUAAUAGGCAGAUUUAUCAAUGAUGUCGGUUAACGAGGUUUCUGCAAAUUUUAGGCCCUGCAUAAGUGCCAACUUGCAGAGGAGGUCCAGAAGAAGGAAGGAAAAUUAGAUUCUGCUGGUAAAUUUUAUUCCCUUUUCCUCCUGUGACUGCUCUUUUGUGGUUCUCCUAGAUGCAUUUAUAUGAAGAGGCAUUUUAAUACAAUUCCUGGAAGUUUAACUGAUCAUGUAGUUUUUUUUUGUCAGAACUGAUCAUGUAGUUUGCAAUAUCCUUUACAUCGUACAUUAAUCAAUCUUCUCAUUAUCUCAAGAUUUUUGGACAGGCAUCAAAAGCACUAAAACAUAAGUUUGAUGUUUCCAAAAACACAAAACAAUAUCUUUGAUAACCUUUUCCACCCUCUCUUUUUCAUAGCUGUUAUCUAUAUUUGUCAUUAUGCAGUUAUUGAGAAUGGAGAGAACUGGAGCAUGGGUCAGAGGCAGCUCGUGUGUCUUGGGCGCGUGCUGCUCAAGAAAAGCAAGAUCCUAGUGCUCGAUGAAGCUACCGCAUCCGUCGACACAGCUACUGAUAAUCUGAUACAGCAAACUCUGAGGCAGCACUUUGCUGACUGUACAGUUAUAACUAUUGCACAUCGUAUCACUUCUGUUCUUGAUAGUGACAUGGUUCUUUUUUUAGAUCAUGGUCAGUAUCUUUUAACGAUUUCUCCUUGCUCUUGCUGUCGCAUUCUGCAUUAAUCUUUUCUUAAGUGAAAUGAUACGAGCUCUCUUGAUCCACUGUGCAGGGCUGGUGGAAGAAUAUGAUUCUCCGAAGAGAUUACUGGACAACAAGUCAUCGUCCUUUGCGCUGCUGGUGGCGGAAUACACAAUGAGAGCAACCUCCACUUACGGGAAUUAACUGGAAUGCAGUAUGAUUGCAUUGGAAUAGUUCCUCUGAUGAUAAUGAAAAGUGUGACUGGCCUUCUAUGUCAUUGUCAUGUUCUUGUUUUAUUAUAGGCAAGUCAUUCUUGAUUGGUUGCUGUAGUGUAUGAGGCUACUAUGAGAGAGUAGGCAUAAAUUAAGCCCGAGGAAGGCUUAAAUUACGCUAAUGUUGUCAUGCAUGCAAUCUUAAAUGUACUAUAAUUGCGGGCUUUAGAUUGCUUAGGAGAAAACUCACUAAUGCAUUUGAUAUACUUUUUGAUGGAACCGGCAUUCAAUAAAUCGUCUACUUGGUAUUUUGCUUCUGUUUUCAUGGGUAACAUCAUUAGUUAAUCAAUCUUGGAAUGAGCUGAUUCUUGUUCCACCACCUACCAGGUAGCGUCGGCGAUGCUAAGAGAUCAGUCGUUGAUGGAAGAAGAGAACCGACUCUCGAGAAUAAGAUUAUAAAUGUCUUCAUUUAGUUGUAGACUCUCGGGACGGAUCCCCAUAGCGCUUGGAAAUCUUGUGCAUUCGAAUCUCGACCUUUUCCAUAAUAGAUAGAUACACAGUUCACUUCAUGUGGCCAAACUACUAGGUCUCAAAAAUCUCCAGGUCCUCAAGCUUUCCCAGGCACUUAAUCUGGGCAACUGAUCAAAGUACCUGCUCGAAAUGCUGGCAUUCUUGCAACUUCGUCCAACUUUGCCUGAGUUGCCUUAUUUCUCGUUUCUUAGAAAGAUUAAUGUUCUUGACCUCUCCGGAAGAUAGUAGCAUGUCCCAUCCUGCUGUUAUUUUGCCGUUCCAAUCAUCCGUAAAUGAAUAUUAUUAUGACCAAAGGAUCUGAUAACUUCUAUCGUAAUACCAACAGCGAAAAAAAUACAAGUAAACAGAGUACUAUCAUCUUCAUAUACAUACAUACAUACAUACAUACAUACAUACAUACAUACAUACAUACAUACAUACAUAUACAUAUAUAUAUAAGUACUGAAAGGUAACAGUGAGACCUUAUAAGAUUCUAGCACCAUUAAAAGAUAAAAGCCCCCCAGUCAGUAAAUAGAUUGAAUAGCCAUCAUCAAGUGAAGUAAUUCUACUAUCCACUGAACUUCUCCAACAGUUUAUUAAGACUGCCCAUUCAAGGUUCCAAUCGAAUAACUAUCUCUCGUAAAGAGCAAAAUCUAACAAAGAAGCAAGCUCAAUGAGUGAUGUGUUUCCGACUCUCAAAUAAUAGAAUUGAUGGUACUGUCUAUCUUUGCUUAAAAGCAUCAUUCCUGCCAUGAAAAGCAGAUAUUUUGCUUAUGAGGACUGGAACAGACAUUUCACUCAGAUUUUAAAGAAUGCUCUACUUUACAAGAUUCUAAUUUUCAAGCCUUCAAACUAGAAUUUGGAGCCAUGACGUAAUUACUGUUUCGACACUUCGUGAUGCAUACGUGUGCGACAUAACUUGCUGAUUGACUUAUUGAGCCUCAAAAUCAGAAAUAAUUGAACUCAUGCUUUUAGUAUAUUAAACCUGUAAGGCAAGUAGACUAUUCUUCCCUUUCUCUCUCUCACUAUGUAGAGCCGUUCUCUCUCGCAAUGUAGAGCUUUUCUCUACCCUAAUGGUAGUUCAACAAAUCAAACCCUAAUUACACCAUCACCCAUCCACUCUCGUAUCUUUCCAUGUUUCUCUCUCCCGCUUUUCCUCUUCAGCUUCUUCCACAAUUGCGGUCUCCGUUUGCCCGGAAUUGUGAUAUUUUGAUGAAUCAGUCUGUUUCCCUCACCAUUUUCACCCCCCGACAAUCCAUACCCAAGUUAUCGUCUUCCUUCACUGUUUGAUGGAAUUUCGUAUUUCUCUGUCUUAUCUCAACCCUCGUUGAUGGUUUAUCUUCAAUUGUUCUCCUUCAUUUUCACAGUCACUGGCCAAUCUUUUCUAUUCAAAGUCCACGAAACCUUUUGCAUGUACCUUCCCCUUCCUCGAUAGCCCUCUGGUGCUUUGCUCUAUCAUCUGCCUUUAUGGAUGAUCACGAUUACGAUGAAGCAUCUCGCCUAGCUGCUCUCUGUUCCCGGCUGGGUCGCCUAUGGCCGGAGCAACAGAUUGUGAUUCGGGAUGAGCCGCCACCUGUGGAGAAAGUCGAAGAAUGCAAAUUAAUGCUGGUAGGCAAAAUCUUAUCUAAUCCUUCCAUCAAUUUUCAGGCCUUUCAAAGUACAUUGAGGCGUGCAUGGAAAACAGACCAGGUUGAAAUAUCUGCAAGGGAAGCUGGUUUAUAUGUUGCAAAAUCUGAUUCAGACAAAUAGCGAGUUUUGGAUGGUGGUCCGUGGUUAUUCUCUAGUCACUUAGUGAUCUUUAAACCUUGGGUUCCCAACACGCCGUUGCACUGUUAUGAUUUCUCCACUUGCGCUUUUUGGGUGCAAGUCUUUGGUCUACCAUUGGAGUGGUGUACUAAGCAAAUAAUAGAAAAUGCGGUUAGAAACAUAGGCACAGUUCUGGAGGUUCAGAUUGAAAAUAAGGAGGGAACAUCUCUGCGGGCUGGGAAAGCUAGGGUUGAACUUAAGGUACAGGAAUCUUUAAAGACAGGCUAGCUUAUCAGAAUCAAUGAUAAAACCUUAUGGCUUGACUUUUGUUAUGAGCGAUUGUCAUACUUUUGCUAUUCCUGUGGCCAACUCAGACACUAUGCAACAUACUGUAAGGACUUUCCAUGCAAUGACGCGAAGAUGGAGGGAAAAGAAAAGAUGGCGUAUGGCCAAUGGUUAAGAGCGGAAGUGAGGGAGCAUAGCCCAUAUUGGCAAAUAUUCUACGAACCACAAGACAAACCUGUUUCGCUAGAAGAAGUGGUACCUGAGACUCCUCCAGCAGCACCCCUCUUGGGACCAGUACAGCCUCCUAGCAAUGAUAUAAACAGGGGAAUGCAUCAAAUGACAACUAUGCUACUUCCCCUAGGUACAGCUGAUAUUCCUCAGCAGCAGCAUUCUGCAGGUCAGCCAACAAAGACUCCAAUCUCAGCAGGGACAGAUAUAGCACUUACACCAAUGAAAACUACUUAUGACCUAGGAGUGGGCUCUUCUAACUCUAAGAGACUAAAAGCACACCAGAUUCAAUACGAAAGUAGGCACAACUAAAAAGUUGAAGCUUAUACCCCUUAUGAAUCACGACUACAUCAGUAUGAAGAUAUUGACGAAACACAACUGAUGGACACUCCCAUUUUCAAAACUGAUGAAGCUGGAAAAUGGGCUAUGGUGGCUUGCCCAAAAAAGCCACCAAUUGACAAAUGAAACUCUUGAGUUGGAACUGUUAGGGGUUGGGCAAUCCCAUGACAGUCCGGUCCCUUACGGCCCUAGUGGCUAAGGAGAGGCCCAAUGUUAUCUUUUUGAUGGAAACCAAAAACUAGCAGGUCUUACUUUAACGUUUGCAAAAAUGUCUCAAGUAUCCUAACUCCUUUAUUCUUAAUCCUAUUGGUUUAGCUGGUGGGUUGGCUCUUUUUUGGAAUGACCAGCUAGACAUUACUUUGGAAAGCUCUUCCUCCGAGGUUUAUGAUGUAUUAUGUACUGAUCUUAUAAGUGGUGUUAGGAUGUGACUCACCUGUCUUCACACUCCGACCACUUUUCAGCAGCGUCUUCAAUUUUGGGCAACCUUAUGACUCAUCAGCGCCUCCAAUGACUUGCCAUGGCUUUGUGUUGGGGACUUUAACGAAAUGCUCUAUCAUUGGGAGAAAGUUGGUAAGCAUUUGGCUAACUCACAGCUAAUGCAAUCUUUCAGAGAUGUUUUGCAUGAUUGUUCACUCAUGGACAUUGAGAGUAAAGGAUGUUCAUUUACCUGGAUGAAUCAUAGGACUGGUGAUGAAUUUGUUAAGGAAAGAUUGGAUAGGGUUCUCUGCACAUUGUACUGGCGUCUUACCUUUCCUAGGGCUGAAGUGUUUGCUUUAUUGGUUGUGGGGUCAAAUCACAGCCCCUUGCUCUUAACCACUGAAGUCUUAUCUCAUCGGAGGCCUCGGCCCUUUGUAUUCGAAGCCUUUUGGACCCAAGACCUAGAAUGUCGAGACAUUAUAACUCGAUCAUGGAGCUCCAACCGUCCAGCAACCUCCUCACUUGUAUCUAAACUGAAGGUGGUUUCCCAUGCUCUAGCUAAAUGGAGUAGAUCAAAGUUCUCCAAGGGUCAUCAACAAAUUGCAGCGUUACAACAGCAACUUCAGCAACAUGUGAAUCACACCCGUCACCAUUCUGAUGCACCAUUGAUAUCUGACCUGAAACAACAAAUACAACAAUUAUGGCAAUAAGAAGAACAAUAUUGGGCAAUGCGGUCUAGGAUAAAUUGGCUACAAUGGGGGGAUAAGAAUACUAGAUUCUUCCAUGCAACUACUAUUCAAAGGAGACAACGCAACAGGAUUAGUAUGCUACAAGAUGACAACCAGGUAUGGGUGCGUGACCCUCAGUAUUUAAAACAAAUGACAACUGAUUACUUCUCUAAUCUAUAUCGGACAGUGGAACACCGCGACUAUGGCCCUAUUUUGAACCAAUGUCCUUGUAUAAUCACUGAGGAAAUGAACUUGUCCCUGACAGCUCCGGUCACUAAGGAGGAAAUCCAAUAUGCUACUUUCCAGUUGGGAGUUACUAAAGCAUCGGGCCCCGACGGUUUAAAUGGUUUGUUCUUUCAAAACCAUUGGGAUAUUCUUCAGGAUGACCUAGUGUUAUUGGUGUGGGAAUUCUUCCUAUCUGGAGUCAUGCCACUUGAUCUAAAUCGGACUAUCAUCUCUCUAAUCCCGAGGUACCUCACCCUGAAAGGCUUGAUCAAUACCGCCCAAUCAGCUUAUGCAAUUAUGCCUACAAAAUCAUUUCUAAGGUGAUUGCAAACCCUACCUGUCUAAACUAAUAUCCAGGGAACAGAGUGCCUUUGUGAGUGGACGACAAAUACAAGAUAAUAUCUUAAUAGUGCAGGAGGUACUUCAUCAGAUUAAGACUAGAAAAUGCAAGCGCCAAUUUCGAGCUAUUCUAAAGAUGGAUAUGCAAAAAGCAUAUGACUAGGUUGAGUGGGAUUUCCUGCAAGAUUAUCUCCUCAAGAUAGGCUUUCGUGCUACAUGGGUACAUUGAGUCAUGCAAUGUAUAACGACAGUAUCUUUUAGUGUUAAAUUCAAUGGUGAACAUCUUCCAUUUUUCCAACCACCCUGAGGUCUUAGACAGGGAGAUCCUCUCUCCCCCUAUCUAUUUAUCCUUUUGGAGAAUGUUCCCUCUCAUCUUAUCAAUCAAGUUUUAUCCUUUUGGAGAAUGUUCUCUCUCAUCUUAUCAAUCAAGUAGUUACCAUGGGGCUUCUCAGAGGCAUCAAAUUGAACAGGUGGUGUCCUACUCUAUCUCACCUGUUUUUUGCGGAUGAUGUAAUUUUCUUUUUAGAUGGAAAAUUACUUGAAUGUCAGAAUUUGGCCAACAUUAUCAAUCAGUACUGCUUUGCUACUGGCCAGGCUGUUAAUAGGAAUAAAUCUGUAAUCUUUUUUUAGUAAAGAUUGUCCUUUUACCCUAAAGGAAAAUCUUGCUCGGGAACUCCGAAUACCUGUGAUUGAUAAGUCUUGUAAAUAUCUUGGUAUACCAUCCGACUGGGGCAGAUCUAAGAGGGAGAUGUUUGCUUGGAUAUUAGGAAGAGUGAUUCCAAAUUAGAAGGGUGGAAAGAAAACUUGAUUUCGAAUGGUGGUAAGGAAAUUUUACUAAAGACUAUCGUACAAGCAAUACCUCAGUAUGCCAUGUCCAUUUUUAAGAUACCUGUGUCAAUUUGCAAGUCCAUUGAACAAAAAAUUGCUAGGUUUUGAUGGCAAAGUGACGGAAAAAUCAAGCAUACAUUGGAAGAAUUGGGAAGCUCUUAAAAGUAGCAAGAAUAGUGGGGGUCUCGGCUUUCGUGAUCUUAUUGACUUCAACAAAGCCAUGCUUGGUAAGCAAGCAUGAAGACUUCUACAGCAUCCAACUUCCUUAUGGAGCACCCUUCUUAAAGGGCUUUAUUUCCACUCGCAGGAAUUUCUACAAACGGAUCAGGGUUCCAAACCAUCAUGGGGAUGGUGGAGUAUUCUUCUUGGAAGGGAUGUUAUUUUACCUCACCUGCAAUGGUCUGUUGGUAGUGGACAAGCUACUAAAAUUUGGGAAAAUCGUUGGCUCCCUAGAGGGGUUAUAGGAGGCCCUAUACCUCGCAAUGCUUUGUAGAUGGUAGCUGAUCUAUUCGACUCAGAUAACAGCAACUGGAACACCCCCCUUCUUAAUCAGAACUUUGAUGCACCAACAAUUGCUGAAAUUCUUCCCAUACAAGUAAGCCCUCAUUAUACUAUUGAUCAUAUUAUUUGGUUAAAGACUCAAAAUGGCAACUAUACUGUCAAAAGCACUUACCAUACCAUCAGACAAUACACUUCCAGCAACCAACAGAACCAAGCAUCAUCAUCAUACAAACCCCCCAAGCUUCUUUGGAAAUCCAUAUGGACUGUCAACUUACCCCCCAAAAUUCGGCCUUUCUUAUGGUCAGUUUGUCAUAAUGCCCUAGCUACAAAAGACAAUCUUUUUUCAAUGGCACAUCACAACAAAACCAACAUGUCCUAUAUGUAAUCAAAACAAACCAAAAACCACAAAACAUCAUUUUCUUUUAUGUCCAUGGACGCGUCAUAUUUGGUCACAUCCACAUAUCGGCAUUCACACUACAUCACAUCACAAUUAGUCAAACGAAUGGAUGAAUGGUUAGCAACACAGUUUGAAUGCUAGAGUAACUUACUUGGUAUGGAGAUCAUCGCUACCCUAUUAUGGCAGAUCUGGAAAUCUCGCAAUGGGUUUAUCUUCCGCCGACAACGGCCUAAGUCAUCAAGGGUAGUCAAGGAGGCCCUCGCCCAGGUACGAAUCGCAUCGCUUUCAUCCCAAUUGUUGGUGCGUACAGCCCGAUCUACUUCACAUUCCGAUCUGCUGUGGUGACCACCAGAUCCUAGCGAGGUAAAAAUCAAUAUUGAUGGAGCAUAUCAACAAAUGAGUUCUAAAAGAGCAAUGGCGAGUAUAUUCAGAGACCACACAAGAACUCUCCUCCAUGGCUUUACCUAUGAUUUCUCAACAACUUCGGCUCUGCACAGCGAGAUCUAGGCGUUCCUCACCACUAUUGAUUUUCUGUUGCAGCACGGCAAGAAUCGAGACCGGCUUGUGCUUGAAUCUCAUUGUCUUGUUUUGACAGAUGUGGUUCGCCAUCCAUCAUCAACGCCAUGGGAGAUGCGCCCUUUAUUUGUAGAAGCGGCAGCCAAACUCCACCUUUUCCCUACCCUAAAGAUUCGUCACUGUAGAUGCGAAGCCAACUUUGUGGCUGAUUGGGCCGCUAAGGCCCAUUUUCAUGGCAACUUAUUACCAAACUGGGCUUUGUUUCCCCCUUUGCUUUCGGAUCUUCUGUACUCGGACGCCCAAGCUUCGGGCUGUUGUCCUCCUUUACAUUAGUGUUAUAAUACUUCCUAUUUCGAUCAAAAAAAAAAAACCCUAUAAGGCAUGUGAUAAAAUAAACUAGUAAGCAAGAAACCAUUCGUAGGGAAAGCAGUACCGCAUCACUUUCAACAAUACCCUUAUCAAUCUGCAUUUUUAAGAAACUCGAAAAGUCAUGUUGUAUACAGAUUCAACUGAAUCACAGAGCUUCCUCCUAUGAGGCGCUCACUAUUUCUCCAACAAAAUUUCUGCAAUAUCCUCGAAAGGUAGAAGAAGUGAUCGGUCAUUCCCAGUGUUAAAAAAAUCAUUUAUGAUAUUUUGAAGAUGACAAAAUAAAUCAAAGGCUACUAACGUGUUUAAUGGUUAAGUAACAAACUAUGCAGAUGAUAGAAUGUAUGAAUGAUAUUGUCAAAGGUCUAUAUUUGGAAGAUUCAGAAGACAGGCUCUAUGCUAAAGCUAAACUUAUUCAAAUUGUGUCCAGACCUCAAGGCUAAAUCUGUUCAGAAGCAGAAUAUGUUCAGACUUACGUUCAGAUUGUAAAGUCUAUUUUAGUCUGAAGACACUCGGACUCUACUUCAGUUUGAAGACUCGUAGACUUUACAUCCAGAAUGAGACACAAGUUCAAAACGUAGCAGAUUCAGAACGAAAUAACUUGAUAGAACGUAACACAAGCCCCAAACAUAUAACGGUUAGUAAUCUGGUUUGGAUUCCACAUCAAGAUAGAUUUGAUUAACUUAAUCUAAUUUAUUGACAAUUGGAUAUUGAAGACAAGAAAUUUCUAAACGAAGAAGCUUUACUUAUGGAAACCAAGAUUUUGUUUUGUACGGGUGAUCAAAAUCAAUAUGGAAUUCUACUUCUAUCACUCAACGACUACUAAAUCUUCUAGAUACAGAUAUGUCCAAUGGGUAGAUCUGAAGACAAUCCUUUAGAUACUAUCCAACGGCUAGUUUGGAAGUGGAGGAAUAUUUAAGGAGAUCAAAGACCGAUGAGCAAGAAAGAGACGAAGCGUAGAAUUUAUAAUUCCAAAGUCUAAGUGACCUUUGUUCAUACACUUGUCUUUGGUGAGCUUAAAAGUUUGUGAUCGUGAGAUAAAUACUAAAAGAGUGAUUUAGUAAGAUAGUGUGAUCUACCACUAAAUGUUUGCACUCAAAGUUGUAAUCUCUUGUUGAUCACAUAGUGGAAUCCAACUAAAAGGCUAUUAGUGUGACAUCCUGAUUUUUAGAUUCUGAUUUCAUUGACGCGACUAUAAUGUUUUUCUCUGAAAUGACCACUCAUGAGAUAACUAGCCUAUCAGGUGAAGUCAUUAAGGGAUUUUAACGCAAUAGACUUGAGAAUUUGACCAUAAAUCGACCGCUCAAUCGUGCUAGUCUGCAAGGGUCAUUACAGCAUUAUCAAAAUUGAUCAGAAACCGGAGAUAUGUCGAUUUGACUAAGAUGUGUGAUCAAGUGUGGGUGAUUCCACCUGAUUGCAAAAUUCUUGUCGAUCGACACUAAACCGAUUUUCUAUCGUUUUGGGUACUAUGUGUCCAUAUUUGAAACCUCGAUAUUUUCACGAUCACCAAGAGUUGCCAAUGUGUUCAAGAGGUAUGUUGUGGUUUGAAUAAAAUUGACCACGGGUCAAUUGCACCAAAAAUUCCUAAAAGCUACCCGGUAGGCUAGGUUACGCUAAAAUCGCGCCAAAUUGAAAUUAAUCGCGAAUUUGAACCCGAUUUCAAAAAUUGAAAGUUCUAUCAUGUCACGAGUAAUUUUAGGAACGUUGACUAAUCUUUCGAGGAAUUUUCAAUGAGUUCGGGAUUUUUACGGAAAAUCGAUUCGGACGAUUCGGAAAUCGACGGAAAUUUGGAUAGGUCAAUUUGAAGGGAUUUUUGGCCUCCAGUGUGAGUUACUUGGUGAAAUGAGAUUUUGUGGGCUUUUUCUUUAACAAAAUUGGACAUCAAUCGGGGAGAUUUGUUAAGAAAUUGGAUUAUGGGAAAAAGGAAAUAGAAUUCGAGAUUGAGAGAAAUUCGUAGACUUGAGAGACUGUCACAUUUUGAUCUUUAUUUGGAUUUCAAUUGGGACAAUUUGGUGUUGAAAUUGGCCUUGGAUGACCAAUUAUUAAUGUUGUGGGAAGUUGUGCUAAAGUUAUUUGUGUUUAAUUUUUUUCAUUCCCCUCCAUCGGACCCCCCUUCACGCCCACGUCUGCCCCCUCCUCCGUUCGACCGUCCGCCUCUACUGUAGUCUUCAUUUGCUUUUAAACUUCUUUGACUUUUGAAACACCAGUUGGCUUCCCCUUCGAUCUCUCUCUUUCUCUCUCCCUUAGUCACACGUUUCUUUUUCCUUCCCCCUCACAGCCGACAAGCUCCAUUGCCUUAUCUCUUCUCUUUCUCCUUUGAUCCUUUUCUCUCUAGCCUCGACAGCUUCGUCGAUGCCCCAUCUGCUUCUACCUCUCCUUCACUUUCAAUUUUCCUCGCAUGUCCUCUGCCCCAUAGAUGCCCCCACCUCCAUUGAAGUUUGUAGCCCCACGUUUGCCCCCAUCGAAUUUCCUUGCAGCACCACACGUGUUCCACUAGCCCACAUCAACCCUCACAUCUUCCACUUUCGGCUGUUUCCCUCCUCUCACGAAGCUAGCCCAUACUCCAUUUGAACACCAAAGCAGCCCAUGAUCUUUUCUCCAUAGAUCUCAGCCCAACAGCAGCUCCAUUUUCAGCGUUCCGUGACCGCCAAAACCAUCCCGAGCUACGUCCGUUCAGCCACCAUCCUUGUCUUCACAGAACUGAAGUAGCAAGACUAGCCCAUCCGCGGACUUGCAUUGCCGAUUUCGGCCCGAUUCGGGCCCCCGUUAGUGCCACCGCUUUGGAGUUUAUCGGCCGCCGUUGCGUCACCGUCAUUAAUCUAGUGAGUUUAAUUCACUAAUCCUUGCUUAGUAAGUUAAUGGCGUUUAAGGGUUGAUUAGUUUAGACUAAAUAUGGAUUAGGUGGAUAGUUAGAUUAGAUUAGCAAUUUAAUUAAUUGUUAUUGCAUGUUAGGUGGUUAGAGUAGUAUAACUAGAGCCUAGAUAAGCUCUAGUAUUUAUUUAGAGUGGUUCGAAAAUUUUCCGAACUCGAAUCAACUUUUAAUUAGGCUUUACAAGCCUAAGUGUGCAUUUUUACUAUUUAAUAAUUAAUUUCCUUAAUUAUUUAAUUAAUUAUUAUUUUCCGAAAAUUAGACCGGGAUAAUCGAUGAUCAGAAUUUUAUGCUGAUUACAAUGGUGUGAUCUGUUUAUUUAAUUGACUGUUAUUUUGUGCAAAUUAAGUGUGAUUUGUGAUUGUGGGUAAUUAUCUCAAAAUUAAUUAAUUUCAGUAAUUGAUUAGAAAAUCACCGAGCAUCGGUUUACAACGCCAAAAAGGAAUUUGUGGACUGAUGAAAUUAGUGGGAUUUUCAAGUGAGAAAAUAUUAUAUUUUGGCUAAGGCCGACCGUGUACCCACACAUGAGUAUUUUUAUUGAGUAUGAUAAAAAUGACAAAAUUGUUAAAUGAUCAGGAUGGUAUAUUAUCAGCCUACGGGCGAUAUGGCAACUUCUGGUGAGCAAUAUACCUGGUAGCUUCUGGUGAGCAGUAUACCUAGUAGUUUAUAGCGAACAUUAUUAUUAUACUAUAUCAGUAUACCUAGCAUCUUCUGGUGAGUAUUAUUAGUAUAUUAUAUCAGUAUACCUAGCAGUUUCUAGUGAACAUUAUUAGCAUACUAUAUCAGUAUAUAUGAUAGCUUCUGGUGAGUUAUACUAUCUACUAUCAGCUUAGAGUGAGCAGUCCUGAUUAUGAUUGGACUUUAUAGAUAGUAUUGAUUAAGAUGACCGAGAGAUGGUUGUGAUGACAUGUAAUCAACUGAGUCGAUUAAUUGAUGAUUCAAUCAAAUUGGUUGAAAUGAUUGGAUGGUUAUUCAAAUUGUAUUGACUUGUACGAAAAGACUGAGGCUAAAGUAAGUUAUCUGACUUGUGUUUGUGCUUAAGCAGCCCUCAAGGCAUAUUUUCUUCCUAAUCGGGUUUUAUGAGGUUGAACUCACUGAGACGUUGUCUCACUCUGUUGUGAGAUAACAUUUUCAGGAUCUUAGAUGGCGUACCCCCCGAAGCAUCAUAGCCAUCCCAUGAGGGUUACUGAGUGAAUUUCUAGUUACCUCGAUCUCGGAGGUUUUAGGGUUUACGAGCUAGUUGUAACCACUGUCUAGGUCGAAGAGUUUCCACAUUAGGAGAUACCUAAUCGAUUCAAAGCAUGGUUCCGCAUUGCUCCCUAUGGCGUCAGACUAGGUCCCCUUAGGACUUUCGAUAUCGCCUCUAUGGUGAUUGAUGGUGUCCAACUUACCCUCUUGAUGGGGUCGUGGAGGACCUGCCAUCUUGCCCUGACCCUGUGGACUCUGCCGAAUAAGAGAACGAGUCGGACUAGCUGAUCAUAGGACAACUUGUUUUGGAGAGUCGACCUUUUUGUAGAUUUUGUAAAUAUCGGCUAGUAAUGUAUAUAAAUUAGUCUGAUAUGUAUAAAUGUGUGAUUUGCUUUUCAAAAAAAAUGUGGUCCUGCUUUUCUAUCCCACCUUGUUGUUGUUUGGGGAUUAAUCUAUUUGCUUCCGCAUGUGCAUUAAAAAGAAUGGGUUGGCGACAUGUCUUAGGACGUUGCUAGUUAAACAACCGCAUAGGUAUGGGCACGCGCUCGGAGGAUCGGGGCGUGACAGUUAACGUGGGAGAGUAGAUGUAGGCUUGAUCUAAAAUGAACCACUAUAAAUUAUGUGUUCUUAUUCUCUUCCCUGAACUCAUUUAUUCUAUUUGUAGUUCUAUUUAACUGUUAAAGUCUGAACUCACUCAAAGUCUGUUGUUUUUCAGACACAAUUUCAAAAGUUUGUUAUUCUUCAGACUCAGUUUCGAAAGAAAAAUAUUUCUACUAUUCUUUUGCGAAAAUUUUUGUUCACCUAUUCACCUAUUCACCCCCCUCUAGGUGUUCAUACUAGCCCAUUUAAUCUUGAAAGAUAUUAUUGCAUAUUCAUGGAUACUCUUGCUAUAUUUUUAGAAGAUAUCUUAUAUCUAGCAAGUUUGAUCCGCAAAUGAGAUGAAGGAAUUAUAUGAUAUUUUUGCAAGGAUUGUUAUCUAUUAUACAAGAAUUUGCAGGUAGCAAAAGAAUCUUCCGUAUGGAUUUUGGAAAGCUCAAUCUAAAAGUUAUGGAGAUUCUAUACUAUUUUCUGGAGGCUCAAAGAUUCUCUUCCUCGUGCAAAAUUUUUGCAAAUUAUUGAGGAAAUCCCUUAUGUGACGUACGAAAGGGAGAAAGUGAAUCCAAAAGAAAUGGAAAGAGUCGUGAUCACCUCUAAAAGGCAACUAAUUGAGGGGGAGCAUUGAUCAAUUAUGGAAAAAUCUUUUUAAUUCGAUCGUGAUCUUGAUUAUUAUGAAAUGAAGGAAAAGAUAAAUGUGUUAGAACUUACCAAGUUCUACGAAAUCCGGUUAGUGCAUUUUUUAUUACAUUUUGUCAUUAACAAAUCUCUUAUUGAUAUUAUCAUUUUAUUAUGACAAAAUGGGUGAAGUGAAUUUUAUAAUGCAUCCGUGAUUUUUAUUGGAUAUUUGCUGAUAUAUAUGAUCGAAGUGAGCUACAUUGCAUAUCUUUAAUAUUUGACUUACUUUGUAAAUGUUGAUUUUUUUUAAAAUAGUGUUUCAUGCAAGAUAUUUUUCAUCAUUUUUUAUUCUCUACACGAUACUUUUUAUCGCUUUUUGAUUAUGAGAAAAAGGGGGAGAGAAUAUAUAUAUGCACAUGUGUUGAUUGGUUGAUAUUAUUUAUUGCAUAAUAUUGAGCUGCGAUUAUUUUUCUAUAUAUUGUUAUGCUCAAUCUAUUUAUCUUCUGCUAUCUUUUGAUUUGAAUUAUAUUUUAGAAAAGUGUGAUUACACAUCUACAUAUUCAGAGAUUUUUUUGUCAUCAUAAAAAAUAGGGAGAUUGUUAGGGAAUUCAUUUAUGAUGUUUUGAAGAUGACAAAAUAAAUUAAAGGCACCAUCGGCCGUGGUGGCUCCGCUGGAUAAGAGCUCCAUUGAUCCUUCCCCAAAGGUGAGGGGUUCGAAACCUAGUGGAGGCACUUGGUGUCUUAAGUGUGAUGCCGGGGUGGUGGGUCCUCCGCUAGCGUCACCCUAGGUUGCUUGGCCGGCUGUCGGCUGUACGAGGUUCCUAGGUCAUCAAAAAUAAAGAAAUAAAUAAAUAAAUAAAUUAAAGGCUACUAAUGUGUUUAAUGGUUGAGUAACAAACUAUGUAGAUGAUAGAAUGUAUAAAUGAUAUUGUCAAAGUCUAUACUUGGAAGAUUCAGAAAACAGACUCUAUGCUGAAACUGAACUUAUUCAGACUGUGUCCAAACUUUAAAGCUAAAUCUGUUCAAAAGCAGAAUAUGUUCAGACUUACAUCCAGAUUGUAAAUUCUAUUUCAGUUUAAAGACACUCAGACUCUACUUCAGUCUGAAGAUUCUCAGACUUUACAUCCAGAACGAGACACAAGUUCAGAACAUAGUAGAUUCAAAACGAAACAACUUGACAGAAAGUAACACAAACCCCAAACAUAUAAUGGCUAGUAAUUUAGUUUGGAUUCCACAUCAAAAUAGAUUUGAUUAACUCAAUCUAAUUGAUUAACAAUUGGAUAUUGAAGACAAGAACUUUCUAAACGAAGAAGCUCUAUUAUGAAAACCAAGAUUCUGUCUGUAUGGGUGAUCAUAAUCAAUUUGGGAUUAUACUUCUAUCACUCAGUGGCUACUAAAUCUUCUAGAUACAGAUCUGUCCAAUGGGUAGAAUGGAAGAUGAUUCUUUAGAUACUAUCCAACGGCUAGUUUGGAAGUGGAGAAAUAUUUAAGGAGAUCAAGGACUGAUAAGCAAGAAAGAGACGAAGCAUUGAAUUUAUAAUUCUAAAGUCUGAGCGACCUUUGUUUAUACACUUGUCUUUAGUGAGCUUAAACACUUGUGAUCGUGAGAGAAAUACCAAAAGAGUGACUUAGUGAGAUAGUAUGAUCUACCAUUGAGUGUUUGCAUUCAAAGUUGUAAUCUCUUGUUGAUUGCAUAGUCGAAUCCAGAUAAAAGGCUGUUAACGUGGGAGAGUGGAUGUAGGCUUGAUCUAAGCCGAACCACUAUAAAUUAUAUGUUCUUAUUCUCUUCCCUGAACUCCUUUAUUCUAUUCAUAGCUCUAUUUAACUACUAAAGUCUGAACUCGCUCAAAGUCUGUUGUUCUUCAGACUCAAUUUUAAAAGUUUGUUGUUCUUCAGAGUCAAUUUCAAAAGAAAAAUAUUUCUACUAUUCUUUUACGAAAAUUUUUGUUCACACCUAUUCACCCCCCUCUAGGUGUUCAUACUAGCCCCUUUCACCCAUCUUGUUCUACAUAUUGCAAACCAAGCACAACAAAGCUAAUCAUUGCAGACAAAACAUUGCUCAUGUUAUAAACUCCUCUGCUCCUCGCCUCAAAAUCCCCAUCCAAAUAGAGAAGCAUAGAUUCUCAAAUACAUCGGUAAGAAGGAACAACUUAUUCCCACCAAAAAUUGACAAGAUAAAAAGGAAAAAGGAGCAACCGAUACAUCUAGUACCAUAAAAUUCAAGUAACUACAAUAUUUAUUGAUAAGUUGGAGCUCAGCAAGGGAAAAAAAGAGAAGAAUUAGCGACCUUAUAACUACAGGAACACAGUAAUUUAAGUGCAGUGUCUAAGCUUGCUUUAGUUAAGCAGGAAACAAAGGUAACAACACUAAAAUCAGAGGACUGAAGCAGAAAAAGUCUUCUUUCAAGGAUUGGAGUAGAGUAACGAAAGUAAGAUUAAUAAGAGGAUAGAAGGCAAUUUGACUUGUGAUAAUAGUGCCUUCAGCCAAAUUGAACAAAGAUAUUUGUAUCUGAAACUAGAAAUUCAGGGAACAAAACAUAUUUAGAUCAGAUAGAUUUACUUCAAAAGUACAUCAAGGUAACCAUUGAUUUAUCUACGCGAUGAAAGAUGCAAACCUUAAAGUGCACCAACUAUUGAACCUAGCUUAUGUGUCCUAUCAAUGAAUGGUUAAAAGACAACAGACUGCUCCCAAUUACUAGAUGUACAUUGGGAAUUCAGAAGAGAUUGAAAGCUUGAUAUGGAAUAGAACUUAAAUCCUAAAAAAGGAAUCCUUGACAAACUCAGUUUGCUAUAUAACAUUUUAUCAUCAGUAAUCCAGUUCACUUGUUAAGGAUUGGAUUCCAAAAAGCAAUACAUCCAUCAUCACCAACAAAAGAAAAACAAAUUCAUCGAGGGAACUCCACAAGCACUCAGCAUACAGUAAACUAAACAACAAAGUAAAUAUCUAAUGUACCCAAAAAAAAACUACCAAUGGCAAAUUUAAGUGCACCUGAGAUGGAACAUCUUCCUUCAACAUCCACAAAAUCUUAAGCCAUGAGGUAGACGGCUACACCAAGCUCUAACAGUCACACUAAAUGUACCAUAUAAUCAUCCUACAGUAGAAGCGUUUGUAACAUGCAUUUGAGUGAUAGCGACAGAAAUCCAAAUAAUUUAGCAGGAGGUUCUGCAGAAAAUCUUACAUGGCCGUGUCACGGUCCGUGAAUCAUUCCGUACUCGUGACACUUGUGAGUGGGGCUUGGGAUUAUCUGGUGAAGAGUGUGGGCAGAAGGGUAGAACACAACUGGUCCGUGGGAGUGGCGUCAGGACGGUUCGUGCUAAGAGUUCUAGGAUAGAAGGAUUACAUCACUUAGGAGCUCUGAAGACGGGGUAGGCCUCCCGUGCACAAACUGGUUGGGAGCUGAUGCCGCUCUCCUGACGAGGCCAUGGUAGGCCGAAACCAGUUGUUGUGCCUAAAGAGAACUGUUGUAUUAAUCGAUGGACUAGACGCCCAAGCGAAGCUAGGCGUGGUAGGAUCUUGUACGAAGAAUCAUUCACCGUAUCGUUCAUGGAACAGCUAAGAAGGAAGGCUAUCUUAGCGAAUCCCGCUCGCUAGGUGCCCGCGGGUCGUUCCGAGGCCAAGGAAACUCUCGGCCCGUGACAAGUGGUAUCCGAGCAAGAAUCCCUCCAGUAAGCAAGUGAGCAAGUCGGAGAAUCAGACUCCUCGCUCAAGUGCGGGUCAAACAGACAAGUCCUAGUGGAUGGGUGCUAGGACAAGUUGGCUUCUCGCCGAGCGGAAUGCGAGUUAGAGAAGAACCGAACCCUUGUUGAAUGGGGAUAACGUUCCUAGAUCGAUCGGUGAAUACGAAGAAGAGGUCUACUGCUGCGUUUUCAACAAGAAAAGAACCUCCAUUGGUUUGCUGGGGUCAAGAUGCUGGUUAGGCUGAAAUGGUGCUGCCAAAAGAUGCGGUUGGCGAAAGAUGCCACACUUGCUGGAAAGCGCAGGUGACCGAAUGGUCGAGCGGUUGAGAUCAAAAGAGGCCACCAAUGAAGCAAAAGCUGUUUUGUUGGGCGGGCGUGAUCGUUCGAUGUGAAUUCCCAAAAGUGGCACAUCAAUGGUUAAUUGACGCGAGGAAGCGACAGAGCAGAUCGCAACGAGGGCGUUGCGAAUUGAGUGGGGGAGAAUGUCACGGUCCAUGAAUCCUCCCAUACUCGUGACACUUGUGAGUGGGGCUUGGGGUUAUCUGGUGAAGAGUGUGAGGCAGAAGGGUAGAAUACAACUGGUCCGUGGCAGUGGCGUCAGGACGAUUAGUGCUAGGAGUUCUAGAAUAGAAGGAUUACAUCACUUAGGAGCUCUGAAGACGGGGUAGGCCUCCCGUGCACAAACUGGUCGGGAGCUGAUGCCGCUCUCCUGACGAGGCCAUGGCAGGCCAAAACCAGUUGUUGUGCCUAAAGAGAACUGUUGUAUUACUCGAUGGACUAGAUGCCCAAGCGAAGCUGGGUGUGGUAGGAUCUCGUACGUGAAAUAGCUAGUACGAGUACCUAGAGGGGGGUGAAUAGGUAUAUAAAAAAAAUUUCUCGAAGCUUGCACGAUAUUUAAACAAUUAAAGAAUUUGCAACAGUUAAAAAUUCAAUCGCAAGACUGAGUAAGGGAAAGAGAGAAUUGAACACUCAGUUUAUAGUGGUUCGGCUUGAUUCAAGCCUACGUCCACUCUUCUGCACUGACAGCCGAUUGGCUGGAUUCCACUAUGAUCAAAGAGUUGUUACAGUGUUGAUCUUCCUUGAUUUCUAGGUGUAGAUGAUCUACCACACUCGCUCAAGGCGUUACCAAGUAUAAACACUCUCUGUGUACAAUUUCGCUCAGUCUCGACUAACAAUCAAGGAUCUUCAGACUCUGGAAUUUUUCUAUCGAUCACACUCUUAAAACAACUAGAACAUCUUCCUUUUAUAUUCCUUCAUGCCAUCAUAGCCGUUGGCACUUACCAAAGGAAUUCCUCCAAUCUACCCGUUGGACGGAAUCAAUCAAGAAGAUCAUCCGAGCUAUUUAAGGAAUCUGAUGAUAGCCCAUCAAUCAUGUUCGCCUAUACAAUCAGGAUCUCGGUUUCCAAGAAUAGAAUAAUCCAAGAUUAUUUUGUCGACCAUCGGAUCUUCAAUUGAUCUUAGAUAAGAAUUAAAGAAUCCGAAAUGAUUAUCCAACCAAAGAAUCUAUUCCAGAGGAUAGAAUCAAAUCCUCAACCAUAAACCUCGACUUUGGAUUUUCUUCAACACUGGAUUAGAAAGACUGUCAGUGAGAAUAAUUUUGAGUCUUGAGUCUUGAGUCUUGAGUCUUGAGUCUUGAGAUAACAAAGUCUUGAGACUAUAAAUUCUUGAGACUUUAACUAUCGAUAUCCAGACUUAGACUGAUAGAAAUGUUUUGUCAGCUUCAAAAUAUUCUGGAAAGAUUUCUCCAACAAUCUCCCCCUUUUUGAUGGUGACAAAACUUUCUUGAAGAUUUGAACAACUUUGACCUGCAAAAACAUUUCUCAAGCAAUAUGGCUAACUCAUAAAGAUUAAUAAACAACCAGACUCUGCAUCCACAGCAAAUUGGUUAGUCUUUCAUGAGUAAUACCAUGUAACAAUACUUGAUAUUAAUGCAACCAGUCAAGCAUCAAAAUCCACAACCAAUUCAGUCUAACACUCAAGUUCAAGUUCUCAAGUCAUACUCAAAAAUAAACAUAAACACAAAAGUCACUUCACAAAAGUCUUAAAAUAAUGUUUGUUCAAAUUGGUUCUCCCCCUUUUUGUCAUCAUUAAAAAGAGGGUGAGAAAGGAGUCAUGUCUGCUUGGGAAUGCGCACGAUCUGGAAAUCCCCAAUUGACUGGACUACUCCUUCGAGCUUCUUCAGAUCUUCUCGCAGAUGAGCUACCUCUUCUCUCUUCGCAUUGGCUUGAAGUUGCAGAGCAAGGUCUUUGUAUUUAUCUUCCAGAGAGACUGAAGAUGCUUGUCCAGCAUGCUUCAAAGCUUGGAUUUCACAGUCCAGAAUAUAUAUCUGGUUACGCAUUUCCAGAAGAAUAUUCAUGAUACUACGAAGAUCUACAGAAUCAUCCGUCUGUGUACUGGCAUUGGCUUUCUCAGAUGGUGUGUGUGCAGACGAUGGCGCUUCUGAACGGUCUGGCAGAUUUGGAAUCGUCGUAUCAUCUUCUUCAGGCAAUUGAGAGACCUGAACGUCUUCUGGGUCUUCUGGAGAUUGUCUUAGAUCUUCAGCAGCAUGAGGUGGAGACCUCUCUUGCUCGCUAACUCCCCCUGUCUCUAGGACAUCGAAAGGGGAAGAGUGAUGAUCAUGCUCUUGAUUUCCCUUCUCUCCAGAUUUAUCAGCAGACUGUUCUUUUUCUUCUUCCUCAACUUCUUUCUCCUUCUCUCUCUGUUCUUCUUCUUCUCUGCUCUGCUGAAGUUCUGUCGGAUAAGACACAGAACGUCUUGUUCUUGUCAGUGCUGGAAUAGUGGGAUCUUCAUCAUCUUCAUCCUCAUCCUCAUCCUCCAGAAUAAGAGUUCUUUUCCUCUUUUUCGAAGAAGCACCAAUGGCCUUCUUUCCUUUCCCUUUUGAAGCAGACUGGACUGGAGAUUUCACUUUGAAUUUCUCCAUUGCCUUAGAGAGUUCUUGCAGACGCAUCUUCAUUAACAUUUUCAGCCCUACCACCAUUUUAUCACACGGUCGAACACAAAAAGUAUGUGGCAGUUCAAUAUUCAGAUGUCUGAAGAUCUUGGUCACCAGACCAGGAUAAGGCAAUUGUCCUUUGUCUUUUGACACUGCUCUGUACAUAUGGAAAAGAAUAGUGUGCGGGAGAGAGAACUUUCGUCCUGAGUUGAUCGCAUACAUCAACUUUGCUUCAGAAAGAGACACAGAAGUCUUUGAAGUAGACUUAGGUCUGAGACAAUUGAUCACAAUCUUGUGAAGCACAAUGUUGAUGGCAUUCAUCCUGGAAUAGAUAAUUUUCUUAUCUACAUCCCUAUCUUUGACAAGAUCCAGAGUAGUUCGAGCAGGUGAGACUUUGAUUGGGAGAUAGCGUCCCCGUUCAACUCCAACUAUGUCCGCCAACAUAUUCACAUCUACCACAUAGACUUUGUCUCGAACACUGAAUGAAAUUCUAUUCGCAUCCAAAAAGCUAAGAUUUGAAUAGAAAUAAGCGGUCAGAUGAUCAUACCCGUCUGUAGAGUCAGAGCAGAAAGUCUCAAGUUGAAGCAAAUUCAACUUCUCUCUUAGGUUCAAGUUGAUGGAAUCCAGGAAGUCAAAAUCGACACUUCUAGGGUUGAUUACCCCUCUUUUCAACAGACUGUAAUACACUUUUUCCUGAUCCUUGGAUUUAAACAAAUCCAUCCGAUUUCCUUUCACCUUUGCCGCCACACCCAUUUUAGGUUUAAAUUCAAGGAACAUUUUGUCAUCAUCGUUCCCGUCAAUCAGAUUUUGUCCUGGCAUACGAGGAUCUCUUGGAAUGUUCGCAAGUGCUUCUUCUGCUUUUCCUUUCGGGGCAAUUCCCCAUUCCUCCAUUUUCUUCAGAAAAAGAUACUCAUUCCCAUAAUUUUUGUCCUUAAGGAAGUCAUCUAUAUAGUUCAAUGGAGUACCUGUGCUUUUCAAUGCACGAUAAAGAUUAUACAAAAAGGAGGGCUUUUGAACUCUUACUGGGUCGGCAUCCUCGAUUAUCUCUUCUUCCAGAUUAUGACUUGCACUAUGUGGGGCAGGAGAUGCUGAAUGACGUGGAGGAGAGCGAAUCGGACUCUGUCGCUGACUUGGUAAGUCUUCUUCCUCAGUGAGAUCGAAAUGUGUCGGUCCCUUCUUCAUUCUUUGUGGUCCCCUGUUUGCGAUUCUUGAUGAUUUCCUCGAAGACGACAUCUUUCUUUGUCUAUUGGAGGAUUCCUUCACUUGCUUUCCCAAGAAAAAUGACCACUUUCUCGACGAUGAACAAAGAGUAGAAACAGUAUCGAGAGGAGAGUGCUUUUUAGGGUUUUGAAAAUUGGGGAAAGGAAAAAACUGUAUAUAUAUAACUCAGUUUUUGAAAAAGGAAGUUCAAUCGGUGCAAGGAAAGUGAACGAUUACUUCUUUUCAAAAUCGAUAACUGCCAAAAUUAUUAAACAAAAGAUCGUACCUUUUCGAGUUAAUUAUGAUAAUUAGUACCUUUUAGAUGAAAUACAACUUACAGUCUUUAGCCAUGAAUGUCUGAGUCUCAGGACUUAGAGUCUAAGAGAUCAGAGUCUUAGAGUUGGUGAGUCUCUAGACUUUAACUUCUUCAAGCUUCAAAAUGUUGAGUCUCGAGCGGAUAAAGUCAAACUGAUUCUUCUCCAAAGGCUUUGUGAAUAUGUCCGCUAGUUGACUUUUUGAAUCAACAAAUUGAAUCGAGAUUUCUCCAUUUUGAAUAUGAUCUCUAAUAAAGUGAUGUCGAAUCUCAAUAUGCUUUGCUCUUGAAUGAAGGAUUGGAUUUUUGGUGAGAUUUAUCGCACUUGUGUUGUCACAUCUGAUUUCUGUGCAUGAGUCUUCAAUGCCAAAGUCUUGUAGCUGUUGUUUUAUCCAUAGAAUUUGCGAACAGCAGCUUCCAAGAGCUACAUACUCUGCUUCUGUCGUUGAAAGAGCUACAGUGCUUUGCUUCCUCGAAAACCAAGACACCGUUCUGUUUCCAAGUAGUUGACAAGUUCCAGAAGUGCUCUUUCUAUCGACUCUGCAACCGGCCAGAUCUGCAUCUGAGUAUCCUAAAAGAUUAAAGUCUCCCCUCUUUGGAUACCAAAGACCGAUGCUUGAAGAUGAAGCAACGUAUUUGAUAAUUCGUUUCACGGCAAUGAGAUGUGAUUCUCUAGGAUCUGAUUGAAACCUAGCACAGAUACAAACACUAAACAAAAUAUCAGGUCUAGAAGCAGUAAGAUAAAGAAGUGAACCGAUCAUGCUCCUGUACAGCUUUUGAUCUACUUUCUUCCCUUCUUCAUCCUUGUCUAUCUUCUGAGAACAUGACAUUGGUAUGUCGAUCUUUUUGCAUUUUUCCAAUCCAAACCUUUUGACAAGAUCAUUCGCAUAUUUUUCUUGAUGGAUGAAAGUUCCUUCCUUCAUUUGUUUCACUUGGAGUCCAAGAAAGAAUGUUAACCCUCCCAUCAUACUCAUUUCAAAUUCAUCCUGCAUAGACUUAGAAAAUUUCUUGCAAAGACUUUCAUUAGAGGAUCCAAAAAUAAUGUCAUCAACAUAUAUUUGAACAAGUAAAAAGUUUUUGUUUUCCUUUUUGAUAAACAAAGUAGUAUCUACUUUACCUUUGACAAAACCAUUUUGUAAUAAAAACUUACUUAAUCUGUCGUACCAAGCUCGAGGUGCUUGCUUUAGACCAUACAGAGCCUUUUUCAGUCUGAAGACUGAGUCUGGCUUCUUUGGGUCUUCAAAUUCAGGCGGUUGUUCCACAUAAACUUCCUCAUGGAUAAAUCCAUUUAGGAAAGCACUUUUGACGUCCAUUUGGAAUAACCUGAAAUUUUUGUAACAAGCAAACGCAAGUAAUAGACGAAUAGCUUCUAACCUUGCAACGGGUGCGUAAGUCUCGUCAUAGUCUAUUCCUUCUUCUUGCGUAUACCCUUUGGCCACGAGUCUCGCUUUGUUUCAUACGACUUUUCCUUUUUCGUUCAUUUUGUUCCUGAAUACCCAUUUGGUUCCAAUAACAGUUUUACCUUUUGGUUUAGAUGUCAAUUCCCAGACAUCAUUGAUUUUGAACUGUCUUAGCUCUUCUUGCAUAGCUUCGAUCCAGCUUUCAUCAGAUAAAGCUUCUUCUAUGCUUUUUGGUUCAAUUUCAGAGAUGAGAGCCACAUCACUAGAUUCUUCAUGCCUUUUUGAUCUGGUGCGGAUUCCUUCAUUAAGUUCGCCAAUAAUAAGAUCUUUGGGAUGACUGGAUUUGUGCUUCCAGUUACCAGGUUGAUGAUCUCUUUCUUUAUUUGAUUCUCCAUGAGCGUCUUGAUGAUGGACUUCCAGAAUCUGAGAUGCUUCUUGAGAUGUAGACAUUUGAAGAUCUAGAGCGGAUUCAGUCUCUUCAUACUGAGUCUGGCCGGAUUCAUCUUGCACUGAGUCUUGGAAUUUGACAUUCAUUGAUUCUUCCACAGACUGGCUUUUUUUUUGUUGUAGACUCUGUAGGCUUUGCUUGAUGUAGAAUAUCCAAGGAAGAUGCCUUCAUCUGAUCUUUCUUCAAACUUACCAACUCGAUCAUUUGCAUUUUUCAAAAUAAAGCAUUUGCAACCGAACACAUGAAAGUAUGAAACAAUAGGCUUCUUACCUUUGAACAAUUCAUAGGGGGUUUUGUCAAGAAUAGGUCUUAGAAAGACUCUAUUUAUAAUAUAGCAAGCAGUUGAAACAGCUUCAGCCCAAAAUCGUGAAGAAAUUUUACUUUCAAUUAAAAGUGUUCUAGCCAUUUCUUGAAGAGAUCUAUUCUUUCUUUCCACAACUCCAUUUUGCUCUGGAGUAUACGGAGAGGAAAAUAUGUGAUUAACACCAGAUUUAUCACAGAAUCUCGUAAAAUCUUGAUUUUCAAAUUCACUUCCAUGAUCUGUUCUUAUACUAGAAAUAGCACAUCCUUUUUCAUUUUGAACCUUUUUAGCAAACUUUUCAAAGUACGAAAAGGUUUCUGAUUUAUUUGCAAGAAAAUAUACCCAGGUAAAACGAGAGUAAUCAUCUACAAUUACUAGACAAUAUUUCUUACCUCCAAUGCUCUGGGUUCUUGUUGGUCCGAAGAGAUCUAUAUGAAGCAACUGUAUUACAUGAUUAGUAGAUACAUGAUUUAUUUGCUUAAAUGAAUUUCUUACCUGCUUUCCCAGAAUGCAUGGAGUGCAUAAGUCAGACUUUUGGUAUGGCAGUUUAGGUAGACCUCGAACAAGCUGUUUUGAAGAGAUUUUGGCUAAUUGCUUCUUGUUGAUAUGGCCAAGUUUUCUGUGCCAUAGAAUUGCUUCAUCUUGAAUUGAGAUUAAGCAUUGUUCUUCAUUUGGCUUUACAUCAAGGAGGUAGAUGUUUCCAUGCCUUCGACCCAUGAAAGACUGAGUCGAAUCUUUGCUAAUUCCAGAACAUAUGCCUUCUUGAAAGAAGAUCUUGUAACCAAUAUCACACAAUUGGCUAAUGCUGAGUAGAUUGUAGUUGAGUCCUUCCACUAGAGAGACAUUGCUUAUUGUGAGAUUUCCAAUUUUCGCAAUUCCGAAUCCCACAAUACUUCCUUUGCUAUUUCCUCCGAAUGAAACUUUUCCACCAUUUACUUUAAUAAGCUUUAUGAAACAUUUUGAGUCUCCUGUCAUGUGUCUUGAGCAUCCGCUGUCAAGAUACCACUUUACCUUCUUUUUGACAGAGACCUGCAUUCAAAAAAGAGUCUCAAGCUUUCUUUGGUACCCAAAUUUUCUUGGGUCCUUUCGUGUUAGUAGGAUGAGCAUUAUUAGGCCAUACUCUCUUAAUAGGCUUCCAAACCAUAGGUUCGGCUUUAAGAGCUUUUCGAAAUUUCUCAGCUUUUCCUCUUUUCUUUUUCAGAAGAGGACAGUUGGGUCUGAUGUGUCCCUUCUUUUUACAUUCGAAGCAAACUACUUCUUUGUUUGGUUCCUCAUCAUCAACAGACUUGGUCUGCUGUCUCUGAGAACUUUGUUUCUUUGGGAUGAACCUUCUGCCUUUUCUAUUCAGUUUUCUGAAUCUUCUUAUCAUGAGGGCGAGCUCCUCAUCAUCCAUAUCAUCUUCAGAAUCUGCAUCAUCAGAAUCAUCAUUUGAUUUUAGUGCAAUAGAUUUCUUACCUCUUGGAUCUUCGUCUUCAUUAAUUCGUUCCACUUCGUAAGACUGAAGAGUUCCAAUCAGUUCGUCUACAGAUAAUGGCAUGAUUCUUUGCGUCUCUCUUAUUGAAGUCUUUAUAUGAUUCCAAUCCUUGGAGAGUCCACGUAGAAGCUUGUUCACCUUCAUGGGAUCAGAAAUUUUUUGUCCUUGGUUCUCAAGACCAUUGACAAUAUCUGUAAAACGACUAAACAUGUCAGUUAUUGAUUCUCCUGGUUUCAUUUUGAAGGAUUCAUAUUGACCAAGAAGAAUGUUAAUUCUGGUCUCCUUCACUCGAUCUGUCCCUUCAUAAGUGAUAUGUAACCUGUCCCAGACUUCUUUUGCUGUGACACAAGAAGAUAUUCUGUUAUAUUCAGUUGGUGACAAAGCACAAUAUAAAGAAUAAAUUGCUUUAGCAUCGAGUGCUUGUCUCUUGUUUAUUUCUUCUUGAGACAUUCCGCUGGUUUCAACGGUUUCUUUUCCUCUUUCAGUGAUUGAUGCAGCAGCAGGAGUGAUUCCUUUUUCCACUACGUCCCAUUCCAGAGGAUCCUUUGAUCGUAGGAAAGCUUUCAUCUUGUUUUUCCAGAUGUUGUAAUCCUUUCCAUCGAAGUAGGGAGGUCUGGUAUUGCUUUGCCCCUCCAUCAGCCCCGGUGCUAGCAUACUAGCCAUGGAUCUUUUACUCUGAAGUAAAACACUUCAAACAAAGUAAGAACACGGGCUCUGAUACCAAUUGAAAUAGCUAGUACGAGUACCUAGAGGGGGGUGAAUAGGUAUAUAAAAAAAUUUCUCGAAGCUUGCACGAUAUUUAAACAAUUAAAGAAUUUGCAACAGUUAAAAAUUCAAUCGCAAGACUGAGUAAGGGAAAGAGAGAAUUGAACACUCAGUUUAUAGUGGUUCGGCUUGAUUCAAGCCUACGUCCACUCUUCUGCACUGACAGCCGAUUGGCUGGAUUCCACUAUGAUCAAAGAGUUGUUACAGUGUUGAUCUUCCUUGAUUUCUAGGUGUAGAUGAUCUACCACACUCGCUCAAGGCGUUACCAAGUACAAACACUCUCUGUGUACAAUUUCGCUCAGUCUCGACUAACAAUCAAGGAUCUUCAGACUCUGGAAUUUUUCUAUCGAUCACACACUUAAAACAACUAGAACAUCUUCCUUUUAUACUCCUUCAUGCCAUCAUAGCCGUUGGCACUUACCAAAGGAAUUCCUCCAAUCUACCCGUUGGACGGAAUCAAUCAAGAAGAUCAUCCGAGCUAUUUAAGGAAUCUGAUGAUAGCCCAUCAAUCCUGUUCGCCCAUACAAUCAGGAUCUCGGUUUCCAAGAAUAGAAUAAUCCAAGAUUAUUUCGUCGACCAUCGGAUCUUCAAUUGAUCUUAGAUAAGAAUUAAAGAAUCCGAAAUGAUUAUCCAACCAAAGAAUCUAUUCCAGAGGAUAGAAUCAAAUCCUCAACCAUAAACCUCGACUUUGGAUUUUCUUCAACACUGGAUUAGAAAGACUGUCAGUGAGAAUAAUUUUGAGUCUUGAGUCUUGAGUCUUGAGUCUUGAGUCUUGAGAUAACAAAGUCUUGAGACUAUAAAAGCUUGAGUCUUUAACUAUCGAUAUCCAGACUUAGACUGAUAGAAAUGUUUUGUCAGCUUCAAAAUAUUCUGGAAAGAUUUCUCCAACAGUACGAAGAAUCAUUCACCGUAUCGUUCGUGGAACAGCUAAGGAGGAAGGUUGGCCUGGCGAAUUCUACUCGCUAGGUGCCUGUGGGUCAUUCCGAGGCCAAGGAAACUCUCGGCUUAUGAUAGCCGACUAUUAAUUCUGGUUCUACAGACGCUGGCAAAAAUCUGGUUUUCAUUUCAAUAACCGAAAGAAGAAAUGGCAUUGCUUGGAAAGAGCGAGCAUAUGGCUGGACUACUCUAUCAUUUGCCCAGCUUACAAUACAUAAGUAAACCAUCAAUGUAUCUCCCAAUCAAACCUUUUUUGAACACAACUGAAGGAAAUGAAAACACCAGAUAACAAGCUUGUCGAAGCCAAAAGAUUCCUUUUUAUUUAAAAAAACGAUGUCGUCAGAUGAAUGAACAAUCAAGUCUCGACAGAAAUUUCCUCACACGAAUUACUCCUAUUCAGAACCUCGAUAAAAGGACAGAAUAAAGCCACAAUCAUCUUGCCGUAUUUUCCGGUUAUGCUUCAAGAAUCGAGAAUUGAAUCGUAAAAUUCAGGCAAAAUAUGAGUAUUCUUGUGUCACAAAAUACCUAAAUUUACAAAUGAAAAGAAGUAUCAUACAGAAUGAAAUUUUGAGCAAAAUCCAUAUUCCACAGCAAAAAAUCAUUAUUUCGAGUUAAUUUUACCAUCUCUAUAAAUAUGCGUACCCUUUAUUUUAUUAAUAUACGGAUUACACUUAAAAAAACAUGACAAAUCUCUAAAUGUUAUCUCAUUUAUGAAUGGAUUGCAAAGUACAAAAUAUAGUGCUUGCUAUGUAAUCAUCAAAGUAUGAAACACCUCAUAAAUAAGACAAAAAAAAAAAAAAUUUUGAUACAUUGCAUCAAUGGGUAGGUAUUGGAUCCUAUAUCUGCUAGUGGUGAAUUGAUAAAUUCGCUUGUACUUCAGUAUACUAUAGAUUCAUCUGAUAGAUGCAUAUUGUUUAGAUCUAACGAUUUGAAACUUCGAGAAAUUCUGAUAGCUACUUUUAAACAGAUGCAAUUGCUUUCUUGAUAAAAUUCUCAGGACAACAAAAAUUAGGGAUUAUUUGCUUCUCUAAGGUCCUUGCUACUAUUCUGGGAUCAGUAGCUAGCACCAGAUGAAGUCAGAGUAGGAAAAGCCUACACAGAGCAAACAACUGAUUUUGGGCAAAAGGGUAUCCUUAAGACUCCAGGACAAACAAUAUCUUAAGAGGACCCUUUUGCCCAAAAUCAACUAUCAGUCGCAUCUGACAUAUUUGGACACUUGAGAAAACAGGUUCAAGCGCGAAUCAACAAGAAAUUAACGAGGUGAGAAGCUGUUAAGGAGGGCUGUUGAGACUUGCUUGAGAUGGAUCUGGAAGAAUCUGACGAAGGGCUCACAGAGAAGAUGCAAUUUUUGAGGUAUUCGAGCAAUCAUUCAAAAAAGAUUCUUACCUGAAAUUGAGGUUUUGGCGAAGGAAUGAAACGUGCACUAAAGUUUUUUUUAACAGUGUAUUGAGCAGCUAAUGAAUUUAACAUGAAAAUCCAACUUUUACUCAGAAAAAUCUUCUUCAGACGCCUGAUAUUACCUCGAAGAUGUAGGUCGCUGAGGCGUCUAGCUUGCAUAUGGUUAGAGUGGUAACUUCCAUUUCUAUAUAUUGGCAUGGAUCCAUAGGACUUUGGUUUUAUACAUUGAUGUAGGUGUAUCAUCUGGUUGACAUGUCAUGGGAUGACCUAUUGUCUCAUCUCAAAUGGCAAUAAGUCAUAUAAUAAUAUGUCAUGUCAUGUCGCAUAAUAUCACAUGAUGUUGUGGAGUGUCAUAUGACAACACGUUGUGAUGAAGUAUUUUUGUAUUGGAGAACAUAUCGUGUAAUGAUGUGUCUCAUCAAAUGAAAAAAGUUCAUGAUGUGAUGUGCAUGCAGAAUCCAAGUUCGAUGUGUAAACAUUUGCAUUGGAUGUUUUAAUUUGCAUUGAUGUAUAUACAGCAUCUUGGAUUUUACUAAUUAGGCUUGCUAGCUACAUGGCAUUUAGUUCCCAAGAUCUUCUCAAAUUUUAGGUUCAGGGAUCUCGCAAUAUGAAACCCAUUAAACUCGUAAAAUCAUAUUAGAGUUGGCAACAAUCCAUUUAGGGAAAAACUGAGUCGACUAAAAAGUAGUGUCAAAGAAGUCAAGCUAUCUAGGUGCACACGUAAAGAAUUUGGUCUAAUGAAUCCUAGAGAUCUUAACAUCCCAUACGCCCUUUUCAGUAGCGCAACCCCAGUUGAAAGGCACGGGCCAGUCUUGCUCCAUCUCUAUCUUUCUUCCGUCAAAUGCAAAAUAAAGCAUAGCAGAGCUGAUAGCUGCAGAAAAAUCAUUGGUCAUCGGAUAAACUCCUCUGCUCUUCACCUUGAAGCUGCCAUUCAAACGGAGACGCCAGUAGAUUUUGAUAUACGUUGGCAAGGAAGAACCACCUAUUCCCACCAAAAUCAACAACAAAAGAACACAAUAAAUGCAUACAGCAGGGUAAAAAUCAAGAAACCACGAGGAUGAUUGAUAAGCUGGAGCUCAGUAAGGGGAGAAGAGGAAAAAUCAGUGAGUUACCGUGCAGAGUUAAAGCUUGCUUCAAUUAAUCGCUGGAAACAAACUAACAACACUAAAAUCAGAGAACUGAAGCAAAAUAUGUCUUCUUGGAAGGGUUGGAGUAGAAUGACAGAAGUAAGAUUAAUAGGAGGAUAGAAGGCAUUGGACUUAAGGUAACACAAUGCCUUCAACCAGAUUAAACAAAGAUAUUUGCAGUUCAAAGGAGAAAUUUGACGAACAAAACAUGCAGAUCAAGCUCGAAAGCACAUCAAGGUAAAUCUAGAUGUGUAUCAAGUGUCGUGUCCCUAACUUAUGUGUCCUAUCGCUGAAAUGGUUAAAAGUCGAUCGACUGCAAUCCCGAGAUAUUUGGGUACCGAGUGCCGUAUCCCCAGCUUGUGUGUCCUGUCCCCUACAAGAAACCGUAGACGGAAGGCAUUUGCUAGAACUAGCAGUUGAGCCUUCCUAACGGAAUAAUUUUUUACUCGAUCAGAGACUAUCCGUGGACGGAGCAAAAUAGCUAAAUGUGUCAUCACGUCCACAGCGCAAAAGCUUGGCUACUUGCUUCUUUAAGAAAUCCAGUUUCUUUCUGGGGUAAGCGCCCAAGUUCAAGAUUUGAGAGUCAAGCCGAUGAUAAUGCGGUGCUUCCCAAAAGAUGCAGAUUCAAAGCAGGAAAGAUACGAGGCAGGUUGACGCUGGGUAGCAAAAAUCAGAGAGGCAGCCUAUGCGCAGAGGUCGUCACCGAAACUUUUGUUUUAAAGGCUUACGCCCAUAAGCAAAAAUUGUAGUGAAUCUCGUAGAAAGGAUCGCGUGCAUUCUUGACGAUGGGAUGACACCGCACUGAGAUAGCUAGUAUAAUCACCUAGAGGGGGGUGAAUAGGUGCACAAACAAAUUUUCGAGAUACAGAAGCGAUUUUAGGCAAUCGAUAGAAAAGAAAAUACGAUCAAAGUAAAGUAAAGGUUAGGGAAGAGAGAAAUGAACACAAGAUUUAUAGUGGUUCGGCUUAUUCCAAGCCUACGUCCACUCUUCUGCACUGACAGCCCACCGGCUAGAUUUCACUAUGAACAAAAGAGAAGUUACAGCACAGCUUUUCCUUGAUUCCACAGUGUAGAUGUUCUACCACACUUUCUCAAGGUUUCUCACGAAUAUAGACUCUCUUUUGUUUACACGAUUUUGCUCAACAAAUGAAUUGACGAGGAACAAGGAGCUUCAAAUUUUGGAAUUCUUCUAUCGUGCACUCCCUUCAAACAAUUAGAACGUCUUCCUUAUAUACUCCUUCAUGCCAUCAUACCCGUUGGCACUUACCAAAGGAAUUCCUCCAAUCUACCCAUUGGAUGGAAUCAAUUAGGAAGAUCAUUUGAGCUAUUAAAGGAACAUGUCGAUAGCCCAGCAAUCCUGUUCGCCCAUACAAUCAGGAUCUCGGUUUCCAUAAGUAGAACCUUCCUAGUAUACUUUGCCAAUCAUCGGAUCCUUAAUCUUCGAAUCAAUUAUGAUCAAAUAAAGAAUUCCGUUAUGUCAUAUCCAGCCAAGAGAUCUUCUCCAGUCGAUAAGGUCACAUCCUUAAUGAAACAUCCAGUUCUGGAUCGCCUUUCUUCAACAGAUUAAAAACUGUCAAUGAGGAUAGACUUUGAGUCUUGAGUUUGGCUAUCUGGAGGUCUUCAGACUUUAAAUAGCAGAGUCUGCAAGCCUUCAGACUAGACUGAUGGAAACGUUUUGUCAACUUCAAAACACCUCAAGAGGAUUUCUUCAACAAUCUCCCCCUUUUUGAUGGUGACGAAACUUUCCUGCAGAUUUGGAAAACUUUGACCUGCAAAACAUUUCUCAAACACAUAUGCAUAUCUUAUAGAUAAAUGGCUAAAUGAAUAACACUAGAAUCUGCAACCACAGAAAAUAGGUUAGUCCAGUAUGUAAUAAAGCCAUCCAUAAGAUAUCAAUAGUAGUUAAUAAUAAGCAGUCAAAUCCAAAUAGCAGAUUUAGUCCACAUCCAGACACAAGUCAAGUCAAAACAAACCACAAACCAAAUAACAAGCUCGACAAAUUUAAGUUCAAAGUUUUUCAAGUCUCGCAACUCUCCCCCUUUUUGUCAGCAUAAAAAAGAUUGAGAUGAAAAUGAAGUCAAGGAUUCUUGGGAACACGAACAAGCUGAAAAUCUCCCAUUGACUGAACGAUGCCUUCCAGCCUUUUCAAGUCUUCCUUCAGCUGAGCAACAUCCUCACCCUUAGCAUUAGCCUUAAUCUGAAGAGAAAGGGCUUGGAUUUGAUCAUUUAACGAACCCAAAGAGACUUGUCCUGCAUUCUGCAAGUUCUGAACUUCACAUCCCAAUGCAUAUAUCUGACCUUGCAUCUCCAAGAGAAUAUCCAUCACUCUGCGAAAGUCUACUGUAUUUUCGGUCUGCGUACUGGCAUUAGCAUGAUCUGAUGGAGUAAAUGCAGACGAUGGAAGAUCAGCAUAAUCACGCAGAUUGGUGAGGAAACAUCAUGACCUUCCUCAGGAAAUUGAGAGACAAAAACCUCCUAUGGAUCUGCUGGGGAUCGACUGACUCCCUCGCUGGUUGCAGGAUUUGAGGACAUUCCUAUUUUCUCUUGGUCUCCCCCUGUGUUCAUGCCUUCAGGUGGAGAGUGCUCAUCAUGUUCUCCUUCUUCUUGAACUCUUUUCUCUUCUUCUUCUUUUUCAACUCUCUCUUGCUCAGCAUCUCUUCUUCUUCUUCUUCUUCUCUUUCCUCUGCCUCUUUCUUUGGCUCUUUCUUCUGUUUGCUGUUCUGACUCUUUCUCUGGAACAGAUUGACUGAGAUUCUUCAAAGCAGAAAUAGUGAUGUUAUCCUCAUCAUCUUCAUCCUCAACGAGGAGAGCUCUUCUUCUCUUGGAUGGAGCAUCCAUGGGCUCCUUCCCUUUCCUUUUUCCUGCAGAAGAGAAUUGAUGAGAUUUGACUGAAGUCUUCUCCUUAAAUUUCUCCAAUGCCUUGCUUAGUUCCUUCAGACGCAUCUUGGUCACCAUUUUCAGUCCUACCACCAUAUGAUCGCACAAUCGAGCACAAAGGAUUUGCGGAGGCUGAAUGUUCAGAUGUCUGAAUAACUUCGUCACAAGACCUGGAUAAGGAAGUUGUCCUCUGUCCUUCAUCACAGCUCUAUACAUAUGGAACAUAACAGUGUGAGGAAGUGAAAACCUUUUCCCAGUGAUGAUUGCAUACAUUAGCUUUGCCUCUGAACUCGAGACAUCAGUCUUGGAAGUUGAUUUCGGUCUGAGGCAAUUGAUUACAAUUUUGUGCAGCAAGAUGUUAAAUUCACUCAUCCUUGAAUAGGAAAUCUUUCCCUCUGUUCUCCUAUCCUUAACAAGUUCCAGAGUAGUACGAGCAAUAGAAACUUUGAUCCGUUGAUACCUUCCUCUCUCAACUCCUAACACAUCUGCCAGCAUAUCCAUAUCCACAACAAAGUCUUGAUCUUUGACACUGAAGGAGAAUCUAUUUGCAUCCAAGAAACUAAGAUUUGAAUAGAAAUAAGUAGUUAGUUGAGGAUAUGCCUCUGUGGAGUCAGAGCAGAAUUUCUCAAGUUGAAGAUGACCAAACUUUUCCCUUAAGUUCACAUUUACAGCAUCCAGAAAAUCAAAAUCCACACUCCUAGGGUUUAUCACCCCACGCUUCAGUAAUUUUGAGUAUAGAUCCAUCUGUUCCUUCGAUCUAAACAACUCUCCCAUUUUUCCUCUAUUUUCCGCCACAAUUCCCAUUCUUGGCUGAAAUUCGCUGUAUAAUUUGUCAUCAUCAUUUCCAUCCACUGGAUUAACUCCCCAAUCACGAGGGUCACUUGGGAUAUUCGCAAGGGAUUCUUCUGCCACACCCUUACGAGCAAUUCCCAAACUUUCCAUUCUUCGCAAAAAGAUAUAUUCAUUUCUAUAUCCUUUGUCCUUAAGAAAAUCAUCCACAUAGUUCAAUGGAGUACCGGUCCCUUUUAAGGCACGAUACAGCUUAUAAAUAAAAGAGGGCCUUUGAAUUCUUACAGGGUCUGCAUCUUCAAUGAUUUCUUCAUUUUGAUGAUGAUCAACAUCUUGAGGACUAGAUGGAGGAGAAUGACGCUGCUGAGAAUGUUGUGGGCUCUGCUGCUGAUUUGGAGACACUUCUUCUUCAAUGAGAUCAAAGUGCGUAAGCCCCUCACUUAUUCGCCGUGGUCCCCUACUUGCGAUCCUCGAAGACUUUCUUGAAGACGACAUCCUUCUUAGUCUUUGAAAGAUUCCUUGCUUGACUUUCCCAAGAAAGAUGACAACUUUUUCGAAGAUUAAACAAGAGAAGAAAACAGGAAUGGAAGAUUGGUGCUUUUUAGGGUUUUGGAGUUAAGCGAGGAGAAAACAACUGUAUAUAAGACAGUCGUAAGGAGAGGAUAUCAACCGUCGUAAUGGUAAGUGAAAAGAUGCAUUUUUUAAAAAAUAACUGCCUUUUUCGAAAGAUGGUCACAUCAAAAUAACUUCUUUUUAUAAAAGAAACGAUGCAAUAAUUUCGUCAAUUAAAGAUAGUGAUUGAGAUAACAAUAAUCAACACGGUUGAUGAACGUACCUUUUCAAAAUGAGAUUAGAGAGAGAGAUAAUAACUUACAGUCAAAGUCUUGCAGUCAAAGUAUUAUUUGUCUGAGUCUGAGAGUCUCUAGACUUUAACUUCUUCUAAUUCAAAAUGUUGAGUCUUGAACGGAUAAUUUCAAAUUGAUUUUUCUCCAAAGGCUUUGUAAAUAUAUCCGCCAGUUGAUUCUUUGAGUCAACAAACUGAAUCGUAAUUUCUCCAUUUUGAACAUGAUCUCUAAUGAAGUGAUGUCAAAUCUCUAUAGGCUUUGCUCUUGAGUGAAGAAUUGGAUUUUUGGUGAGAUUGAUUGCGCUGGUGUUAUCACAUUUAAUCUCCGUGCAUGAAUCUUCAAUUCCAAUGUCUCUUAGCUGUUGUUUUAUCCACAGAAUUUGUGAACAACAACUUUCAAGAGCUACAUAUUCUGGUUCUGCUGUAGAGAGAGCUACUGUACUUUGCUUUCUUGAAAACCAAGACACUGUCCUACCUCCAAGUAGUUGACAAGUACCUGAGGUGCUCUUUCUAUCAACUCUGCAUCCAGCUAAGUCUGCGUCUGAGUACCCAAGAAGAGUAAAGUCUCCCCUUUUAGGAUACCAGAGACUGAAGCUUGAAGUUGAUGCUAUAUAUUUGAUAAUACGCUUUGCAGCAUUUAAAUGUGAUUCUUUAGGGUCUGCUUGAAAUCUGGCACAAAUGCAAACACUAAACAAAAUAUCAGGUCUAGAAGCAGUAAGAUAAAGAAGUGAACCGAUGAUACUCCUAUAUAACUUUUGGUCGACUUUCUUUCCUUCUUCAUCUUUAUCUAUCUUCACGGAGCUUGACAUUGGUAUAUCAGCCUUUUUGCAAUUAUCCAGUCCAAACUUCUUCACAAUAUCAUUAGCAUAUUUUUCUUGAUGAAUAAAAGUUCCUUCCUUCAAUUGUUUUACUUGAAGUCCAAGAAAGAAGGUUAACUCACCCAUCAUGCUCAUUUCAAAUUCAUCCUACAUAGUCUUAGAGAAUUUCUUGCACAGACUUUCAUUAGAGGAUCCAAAAAUAAUAUCAUCGACAUAUAUUUGAACAAGUAGAAAACUCUUGCUUUCUCUUUUAAUGAAAAGAGUAGUGUCUACUUUACCUUUAACAAAUCCAUUUUCAAUUAAAAACUUACUCAGUCUGUCGUACCAAGCUCGAGGAGCUUGUUUCAAGCCGUAUAAAGCCUUUUUGAGUCUGAAUACUGAGUCUGGUUUCCUUGGGUCUUCAAACCCAGGAGGUUGUUCCACAUAGACUUCCUCUUGGAUGCAUCCAUUUAGGAAGGCACUUUUGACAUCCAUUUGGAAUAACCUGAAAUUUUUAUAACAAGCAAAAGCAAGUAAUAAUCGAAUUGCUUCUAACCUUGCUACUGGUGAGUAAGUCUCGUCAUAGUCUAUCCCUUCUUCUUGUGUGUAUCCCUUGGCCACGAGUCUUGCCUUGUUUCUUAUGACUUUUCCUUUCUCGUUCAUCUUGUUCCUGAAAACCCAUUUAGCUCCAAUAACAGAUUUACCUUUUGGUUUAGGAGUCAAUUCCCAGACAUCAUUAAUGCUGAAUUGCCUGAGCUCUUCUUGCAUAGCUUCAAUCCAGCUUUCAUUAGAUAAAGCUUCUUCUAUGCUUUUGGGUUCUAUUUCAGAAACAAGUGCCACAGCACUAAAUUCUUCGCGCCUUUUGGAUCUAGUGCGAAUUCCUUCAUUGAUGUCGCCAAUAAUAAGAUCUUUGGGAUGAUUGGACUUAUGUUUCCAGUUGCUGGUUAACUUGUCAGAUUGAUGGUCACUUCCUUCACUUGAUUCUUGAAUAGUCACUUGUUGUUGAUCCUUCAAAGUCUGAGCUAUUUUAGACUUUGUAGAGUCUGGAGCAGGUUCAGAUUCUUCAAGAUGAGUCUGAAUGAAUUCAUUUUGCAUAGAGUCUUGGAAUUUAACAUUAAUUGAUUCUUCCACUGUUUGAGUAUUCUUGUUGUAGACUCUGUACGCUUUGCUUGAGGUUGAAUAUCCAAAGAAGAUGCCUUCAUCUGACUUUUCUUCAAACUUACCAACUCGAUCAUUUGCAUUUUUCAGUAUAAAACAUUUGCAUCCAAAUACAUGAAAAUAUGAAACAAUAGGCUUCUUUUCUUUGAAUAGUUCACAGGGGGUUUUUUCCAGAAUAGGCCUUAGAAAAACUCUAUUUAUUAUGUAACAUGCUGUAGAAACUACUUCGGCCCAAAAACGUGAAGAGAUGUUACUUUCAAUUAAAAGAGUUCUAGCCAUUUCUUGAAGAGAUCUAUUCUUUCUUUCCACAACUCCAUUUUGCUCUGGAGUAUAUGGAGAAGAGAAUUUAUGCUGAAAACCAGAUUCAUCACAGAAUUUUGUAAAAUCAUGAUUUUCAAACUCACCUCCAUGAUCUGUUCUUAUACUCGAGAUAACAUACCAUUUUUCAUUUUGAACCUUGUUAGCAAAUUUUUCAAAGAGAAGGUUUCAGACAUACUUGCCAAGAAAUAUACCCAAGUGAAUCGUGAGUAAUCAUCCACAAUUACCAGGCAGUAUUUCUUACCUCCAAUGCUUUGCAUUCUGGUUGGUUCAAAAAGAUCCAUAUGCAGAAGCUGCAGUAUACGGUUAGUGGAAACUUGAUUUAUUGGCUUAAAGGAAUUUCUUACAUGUUUUCCCAAUAUACAUGGUGUAUAUAGAUCAGACUUUUGAUACGAUAAAUUAGGUAGAUCACGAACAAGUUUCUUUGCUGAGAUUUUGGCUAUUUGCUUCAUAUUGACGUGCCCAAGCUUUCUGUGCCAUAAGUUUGCUUCGUUUUGGAUUGAGAUUAGACAUUGUGAUUCAUCUGGUUUCACAUCCAAGAGGUAGAUAUUUCCAUAUCUUCGACCCAUGAAUGACUGAGUAGAAUCUUUACUAAUUCCAGAACAUAUUCCCUCUUGAAAGUUGAUUUUGAAACCAGUAUCACAUAGCUGACUAAUACUGAGCAAAUUGUAAUUGAGCCCUUCCACUAAAGAAACAUUGCUGAUUUUGAGAUUUCCAAUCUUUACAGUUCCAAAUCCCACAAUUUUUCAUUUGUUGUUUCCUCCAAAAGAAACUUUUCCACCAUUUACUCGAACAAGCUUUAUGAAGUAAUUUGAGUCUCCCGUCAUGUGUCUUGAGCAUCCACUAUCCAAAUACCAUUUUACCUUUUUCUUGAUAGUGACCUGCAUUUAAAAAAGAAACUCAAGCCUUCUUUGGUACCCAUAUUUUCUUGGGUCCAUUGGUGUUAGUAUGAUAUGCGGUUUUUGCCCAUACCUUUUUAAUAGGUUUCCAAAUCAUAGGACAUUCUUUUUCAAAAUGAUCUGCACUAUUGCACUUUGAGCAUCUGAGAGCAUUGCGACCUACUGGUUUUACAAAGAUUCUUAUAAAAUGAUUUUUGUAAGCAUCUCUUGUGGGUCUUUGUUUGAUUAUUUCCUUCACCUUAGGAAAAUCAAUUAAAGGAAUGGUUUCAUCAGUCAUUCCCAAACCAGAUUUAUUAAAAUAAGGUCUUUGAACAGAAAGAAUUUUUUCUAGUUUCUCAGAUCCUAUAGAAAAUCUUUUGGAAAUAUUUGAGAUAUCUCUUUUCAAGAAUGCAUUUUCUUUUAAUAAAUUAUCUUCACUUUCUUUAAGAGAAGAAACAUUCUUGUCUAAACUUUUCACUUUUUCUUUCAAAAUAUUUUCCCGUUGUUUUAGAGCAGAAUUUUCUUUCUUGAGUUCGGAAAUUCUUUUAAGAGAAGUCUUAAGACUGAAACACAAUUCAUCAAUAUACUUUGAAACCUUAAUAGGGAUUUUGAAGUUACUUACCUCAAAUUCGCUUUCUGAGUCUGAAUCUAUCUCGGAAUUUGAAUCUGAAUCCGAUUGUGCCAUCAGACAUAUAUUGGCAUAAUCAUCAUCACUUUCUUCACACUCUGUAUCACUCCAUGUUUCAGCUUUAAGAGCUUUUUGGUACUUUUCAGUUUUUCCUUUCUUCUUCCUCAGAAAAGGACAGUUGGGUCUGAUGUGUCCCUGUUGCUUACAUUCAAAGUAGACUACAUCUUUGUUUGAUUCAUCAUCUUCAACAGACUUAGUCUGUUGCUUUUGAAAACUUUGUUUCUUUGGAUUGAAUCUUCUUCCUUUUCUGUUCAGCUUUAUGAAUCUUCUUAUCAUGAGAGCAAGUUCCUCAUCAUCCAUAUCGUCUUCAGAAUUUGUAACAUUAGAAUCAUCAUUAGAUUUUAAUGCAAUGGAUUUCUUACCUUUUGGGUCUUCGUCUUCAUUAAUUCGUUCCACUUCAUAAGACUGAAGAGUCCCAACCAACUCAUCGACAGAUAGAUGCAUGAUUCUUUGGGUCUCUCUGAUUGAGGUCUUUAUGUGAUUCCAAUUCUUGGAGAGUCCACGCAGUAGCUUGUUUACUUUCAUGGGAUCAGAAAUUGGUUGACCUUGAUUUUCAAGACCGUUCACAAUAUCUGUAAAACGACUAAACAUAUCAAUUAUAGAUUCUCCUGGUUUCAUUUUGAAGGCUUCAUAUUGACCGAGGAGAAUGUUGAUUCUGGUCUCUUUCACUCGAUCGGUUCCUUCAUAGGUAAUAUAUAAUCUAUCCCAGACUUCUUUAGCUGUAACACACGAAGAUAUUCUGUUAUAUUCAGUAGGGGAUAAAGCACAAUAUAAAGAAUAAAUUGCUUUUGCAUCAAGAGCUUGUCUCUUGAUUUUCUCUUCCUAAGUCAUUUCGCUAGACUCAACAGCAUCUUUUCCCCUUUCUGAGACAGAGGCAGCUUUAGGAAUGAUUCCUUUUUCUACAACGUCCCAUUCCAGAGGAUCCUUUGAUCUUAGGAAUGCUUUCAGCUUGUUUUUCCAUAUGUUGUAAUCAUUUCCAUCAAAGUAAGGUGGUCUGGUAUUGCUUUGCCCUUCUACCAGCCCUGGAGCCAACAUACUAGCCAUGGAUCUUUAACUCUGAAGUAAAACACUUCAAACAAAGUGAGUACACAGGCUCUGAUACCAAUUGAGAUAGCUAGUAUAAUCACCUAGAGGGGGGUGAAUAGGUGCACAAUUUUUUUUUCGAGAUACAGAAGCCAUUUUAGGCAAUCGAUAGAAAAGAAAAUACGAUCAAAGUAAAGUAAAGGUUAGGGAAGAGAGAAAUGAACACAAGAUUUAUAGUGGUUCGGCUUAUUCCAAGCCUACGUCCACUCUUCCGUACUGACAACCCACCGGCUGGAUUUCACUAUGAACAAAAGAGAAGUUACAGCACAGCUUUUCCUUGAUUCCACAGUGUAGAUGUUCUACCACACUUUCUCAAGGUUUCUCACGAAUAUAGACUCUCUUUUGUUUACACGAUUUUGCUCAACAAAUGAAUUGACUAGGAACAAGGAGCUUCAGACUUUGGAAUUCUUCUAUCGUGCACUCCCUUCAAACAAUUAGAAUGUCUUCCUUAUAUACUCCUUCAUGCCAUCAUACCCGUUGGCACUUACCAAAGGAAUUCCUCCAAUCUACCCGUUGGAUGGAAUCAAUUAGGAAGAUCAUUUGAGCUAUUAAAGGAACAUGUCGAUAGCCCAGCAAUCCUGUUCGCCCAUACAAUCAGGAUCUCGGUUUCCAUAAGUAGAACCUUCCUAGUAUACUUUGCCAAUCAUCGGAUCCUUAAUCUUCGAAUCAAUUAUGAUCAAAUAAAGAAUUCCGUUAUGUCAUAUCCAGCCAAGAGAUCUUCUCCAGUCGAUAAGGUCACAUCCUUAAUGAAACAUCCAGUUCUGGAUCGCCUUUCUUCAACAGAUUAAAAACUGUCAAUGAGGAUAGACUUUGAGUCUUGAGUUUGGCUAUCCGGAGGUCUUCAGACUUUAAAUAGCAGAGUCUGCAAGCCUUCAGACUAGACUGAUGGAAACGUUUUGUCAACUUCAAAACACUUCAAGAGGAUUUCUCCAACACGCACAACAUGGCAUUGAAGACAAGGAGACUUGCUACGAUUAUGGAGAGAGUAUGCAAAUGUCCAUUGCUCGAACCUAACAUCGCCAGUCCUGCUUAUCAUCAAUGCCUUCCUCAACAAAGAACCAGCGAGCACAAAAGAACAUCAACAGAAUUGUUUUGAGGGAAAAAAUGGAACACACAACUAUCAGAGAGGACAAUAUUAGAAAGAAAAAAAAAAGUCAUUUCCCUCAUAAUAGCAUUUCCAAAAUGUUGAAAUCCCCUACUUGCCUUGGGCUUUUAGCUUUUCCAAUGUUAGCAUUUUGCCAAUGGGAUUCCAAAAAUACUUAUUAAACACCUCAUAUAUUUCCCACGGCCAAAAUCUGAACGCAACAGGACCUUAGACCAAUUACCUUGCACAUGCCAUCUACUUGGUUUUUUUGCCCUGAAACUACAUAGACAUUCUAGGUGUCCAAUCAUCCUAACUUAGAUAAAUCGAUUAGAGACGACUCAUUUUUUUUUUAAUUUACAUAAUAGGUGUGAUAACCAAAUUAAACCAAGGAUUUGGGAAGGUCCCCUAAAUCGGGGGUGCUAUGGACCGGUGGCUCCUGGUUGCAAGAUUCAAGGUGCUAUAAAUGACGUAUGGCAUUUUCAUUUCUCUAUCUCAAAUAGAAAAAAAUGACUUUAGUCAAGCCCAUUUGGGGUUGAGUGUUUCCUUUAUGUAUACCUAGUCAAUGACUAUCCCCCACACCGGGCAGGGGCAUGACGAUCUUUGCCGAAGGAGCGAUCAUUAAAUUCGAAAUAUCUUGCAACUAUUUGUAUUCUAGUUUGUUGGACAUCUAGUCCCUGAUCAAUGUAAAAAGUGUGGUUUUCAGACAUCCUCCAGAAAAUCAGAGCAAAAGGAUAAAACGAGAAUUGAGUCAUGACGCGAAAAAGAAGCACCGCGACCACAUAAAAGCAACGGCUAGUGUCGGAGGCCUUCAAAAUCUGCAAAGUUGCUGGACCCAAGGUGGAUUGAACAUAGAAGAUCAUCCAAAAAGCCAAGACAGGGAUUUGAUCUCUUACUGACAUCAUGGGUGCAUGUGAUUUGGGCCGUGUUGAAUCUCACGGCCCAAAUGAAGGUCCAACCAAAGUAAGAAAUCUGUCUGAUAUAUAAAAAUUCUCGAUUAUGAAUUUAUACAGGAGAAGUACAAGGAGAUACAAGAAGAUUGGUGGUGAAAUGAUCAACAUCACGUUUCGUUUGAGCCUACUUGAUCUUUCCCGCAAAGGAUCAAUCCUUAUCAUUUCUCGUCCUAACUUUACCCGCUUUAUGUUUAGAAAUUUAUCCACAUAGUCUCAAACCAAUUAUAUAGCAGUCAAUUUGAUCAUAAACUUUUUAAUUUUACUAAUUUAAUUCUAAAGCCAAUUUAGUAAUAAGCCUUUUAAUUGUGUCAAUUUAGCCUAGCCCUAAACAUUUUGAUGAUUUGUUAAUCAAUCAUAAACUUUUUAACGAUUUGUCAAUUUAGUUUUUUCGAUCAAUUUUAACCGAAAAUCACUGACAUAAUGGUCUAGUCAGCACUAGCCAUUCAAUGUGACUCCGCCAACACUAAGUUGGACAAUUUUUGUAAUGUCUUUAAUUUUUCCUUUUUUCUUUUAUUUUUUGUCCUUUUUUUUCCCUCCAACGACCAUUGCCAAACCACAUUGAUGGUUAGCAACUUGCUGGCCUCAAGUGAGAGACACCCACACUUGGGCUAGCAAGGGCUACCCUUGCGUGAGGUUGCCAUCGGGAAAAGAAAAAAAAAAGGACAAUGAAAAAAAAAAGAAAUCAUAAAAUUACAAAAAGUGUUCAUAUCAACACUAGUCAUAUCUUCAACCAAAAAAAAAAAAAAAAUGGGAUAGUCAUAUUAGUGAUUUCUCAUCAAAAUUGAUCGGAAUGAUUGAAUUAGCAAAUCAUUAAAAAGUAUAGGACUAAAUUAACAAAUCGUUAGUUGGCUUAGAACUAAAUCAACAUAGAUGAUAAAUUUAAGACUAAAUUGGUAAAUUGUCAAAAAGUGUAAGACUAAAUUAAUGUAAUUAAAAUGCUUAAGACUGAAUUGGUCAUCAUAUAACAAUUUUCCCACUUUAUGACCUAGGCAAGAGAGUUCAUUAUUUUCAUUUUUGUGUGGAAAAUAUAGUUUCUUAGACAAAAGAGUCUUUUGAGUGAAAGCUACCUUCCCUUGGUCUAAAUUAGAAAUCAUAAGUACCACUUUUUUUAUUAAAAAAAAAAGGGAUAAUGAUUCAAAUGUUCACUAAACUUUAAUCAAAUAUGAAAUGUUAUCCAUAAAUUUUAGCCUAAUGAGCAAUAUCAUCCUGAACCUUCAACUUAUUCAAUUUGGUCCAUAAACUUUUGGUAUAUUUUCAAUUUACCUUAAAUUGUAUGAAAUAUUCAAUAUUAUCCUCAACAGUGGGUAUUUUCAUACAGUCCAAGAAUUAAGUUGAACAUAUGCCAAAAGUUCGAGGACCAUAUUGAACAAUUAAAAAAUUCAGUGACGAAGUGUGACAUCCUGGAUUUUUACAUAUGCUUUCAAUUAAAUUAAUCGAGCUUUUCAUCGAUGCGCCUAUAGUAAUAUUCUCAAAGCUGAUCACUCCUAAGAUAACUAGACUAUCUAGGGAAGUCAAUAAGAGAUUUUAAUGCAUUAGACUUGAGAAUUCGACUAGAAUCGACUACUCAACCGUGCUCAUUCGCAGAGAUCAUUACGACACAAUAAGAUCGAUUAGAAAUCAAAUAUAGGUCGGUUCGACUGAGAUGUGUGGCUAAACGUGGAUGAUUCCACUAAAUUGCAAAAUUCUCAUUAAUCAGCUCUAGAUUGGUUUUUCUGUCGUUUUGGUAUCCUGUAUCCGUAUUUGAAACCUCGAGAUUUUCACGACAACAGAGAGUUGCCAAUGUGUCGAACAGGUUCAUUGUGACUUGAAGAAAAUCGACCACUAGUCAUUUGUACUAAAAAUUUCUGAACAUUACCUAGUCACCUAAGUCACGCUAAAAUCGCACCAGAUCAAAAUUAAUUGCGAAAGUUUUGUCAUGUCACAAGUCAUUUUAGAAACGUCAACUCGCCUUCCGAGGGUUACUCUGCAAAUCGAGACUUUUUGGGAAAAAGUCGAGGUAUUGCCGUUUUUGUCUAGAAAAUUCAGAAGACCAUUUUUUAUUGCGAAAUUAGGAUGCAAGUAGGAUCAAUUGGCGAUGAAAAAUGCCAAUUUGAUCGAGGGUGUGAUGGUUGAAUUUAUGGAAGUCGUUUUGGGUUGAUUCAAUGAGGAAUUGAAGUCUAUUUAGGGGAAAUCAAAUGAAAUUUGUAUGCCCCCCAGGACCUAACUUUUGGACCACUUCAAGCUUCUAGAAGAUGGCUUUUUUGUCUAGAAAUUCACCGUGGAGGAUAGCUUGCUUGGUGGGCCAUGUUGGGGAGACAAAGUGAUGAGAGAGAGAGAGACCAAAGGUGUUCCCCCCUUGGCAGCCGAUUGCCUCUCCCUUUCCUUCCUCAUUUCUGUCGAGCCCUCCCUCCAUUUGCAGACCAAAGAAGUUCCAGCAAACCUAGAAAAUCAUGCAGAAACCGAGCCUCCCUCCUCCAUCGACUAUCAAGCAAUGGUCGCAUGCUCGGAGCUCCACCAUGUUGCCAUCGCGCCUCACUCAUGAGCCGCGCAUCCUCCGUGCAAGCUAGCAUCCUAGCCACUUUGUCCCUGCCUGUCCAUGCAUCCAAAGGUCCCGACCUGCUCCGCCAGCCACCAUGCGCCGCCGUUUUGCCGCCGUGAGGCUCCUCCUGUCCACCGCCAGUCCUUGCUAGCUCAGCCAGCCGAUCGAUCCACCUCUCUCGACCUCAACCAGCACCAAGCAGAAGCUGGGCCAAGUGGGUCUCUAGGCCACUGUUUGGGCCGUUUUCGAGCCGUUCCCGACCCCGUUUGACGGUCCCGCUUUGGAGUUUCUCGUCCCUCGCCACUUCCUCGUCAUUUUGAUCCGAGUGUAUCACUUAACAAGUGAGUUUAACUCACUAAUCUCUACUUAGUAAGUUAAUGAUGUUUAAGGGUUGUUUAGUUUAAACUAAGUAUGGAUUAUGUUGAUAGUUAGAUUAGAUUAGCCAUUUAAUUAAUUGUUAUUGCAUGUUAGGUGGUUAGAGUAGUGUAAUUAGAGUCUAGACAUACUCUAGAUAAAUAGACAUGCUCUAGUAUUUAUCUAGAGCAGUUCAAAAAAAUUUUGGGCCCCUCUUGGCUUUUAAUUAGGUUUUUCCGGCCUAAGUUGCUAUUUUUGGUAUUUAACAAUUAAUUUCCUUAAUUAUUUAAUUAAUUAAUUAUUUUCCGGAAAUUAGAUCAUGAUAGUCGGUGACCGAAAUUUAUUGCUGAUUGUAGUGGUGUGAUCUGUUUAUUUAAUUGACUGUUAUUUUGCACAAAUUGAGUGUGAUUGGUGAUUAUGGGUAUUUAUCUCAAAAAUUGAUAAUUUUGAUAAUUAAUUAGAAAAUUACCGAGCGUCGGUCUACAGAGCUAAAAAUCUAUUUUGGGACUACUGAAACUGGUGGGAUGUUUAAAAGUGAAAAUAUUAUAUUUUAGCUAAGGCCUAUUGUGUACCCAUACACGAUUAUUUUUAUUGGGUAUGAUAAAAAUGGUCAAUUUGUUAGAUGGUCAGAGUGGUAUACUAUAUCAACCUACGAGCUUUGAUAUGUCAGCUUAGCGCGAGUAGUAUACCUUAUCAGCUUAGAGUGAGCAAUAUUACUUAUCAGCUUAGAGUGGGCAGCGUUAGUAUACUAUAUUAGCCUGAGGGCCUUGAUAUGUCAGCUUAGAUAGAGAGCAAUAUAUUAUUUAUCAGUUUAGUGCGGGCUAUAUUAUCUAUUUAUCAGCUUAGAGGGAGCAGUUUUGAUAUGAUCAAACUUCAUAGAUAGUAUUGAUUUGGCUGACCGAGAGAAGGUCGUGAUGAUAUGUAAUCGACUGAGUUGAUUGAUUGAUAGUUCAAUGUGAUUGAUUGAAUUGUUUGAGUAAAUUGAUUGGAUGAUUAUUCAAAUUGUAUUGACUUGUAGGAAGAGACUGAGACCAAGAUAAGUCCCCCAACUCGUGUUUGUACUUAGGCAGCCUUAGGGUGUAUUUUCUUCCUAGUCAGGUCUUAAGGGGUUGGACUCGCUGAGACGUCAUCUCACCCCGUUGUGAGAUAACAUUUCAGGUCCUUAGAUGGUAGCUCCUCUAGAGCAUUUUGGUCAGCCGAGGAAAGUUACAAAACAGACGUCUUACAUUCCGUUGCAUGGGAGCCCUAGGAGCUGGACUUAUGAGUUGGUAAGGUCCAUAGUCUGGGUUGAUGCAGGCCUAUCCAAAAAGAUACCCCAUCGAUAUAAAUCCUAGUACCGCCAGGUUCAGGAUGGCCAGAGAGAGGGUCUCAUACCGGAAUCGGAGAUACCUCUGUAUGUGAUGGAGGUUGCUUUUGAAAAGGGCACUGCAGACCCUCUAGAUGGUUCGAUGGACCUUGACCUUGAAGAUCCAGGAUCUCUUGCGUAUUCAACAGUAGGCUUUAGUUAGAGUGUGGAGGGAGAUGACGAGGAGGAUGAGGACCUAUAGUUGUUUGGAAACCCCCCUAUUUUGUGGACAUAUAAAUAGAUCGGCUGGUAUGUAUAUAUAACGUGGGUUGUUAUAUGCAUAUAUUGUGAAUGUUGGUUUUAAAAUUAUGGCCAUACUUUCCUAUCCCAUUGUGUUGUUGUCUGGGGAUUAUAUUUUUGCUUCCGCAUGUGUAUUUAAAAUGAAUGGGUCGGCGAUGGGUCCUAGAACAUCACUAUUUAAUCGACUGUAGAGGGAUGGAUACGCGCUCGGAGGAUCGGGGCGUGACACGAAGUUACAUAUUGAGUUAAAGUUUAAGGAUUACAUCGAGCAAAUUUAAAAUUCAUGAAUCACAUUGCAAAUUAAAUCAAAUUCAAAGAAUCAAUUAUUUCAUUUAGCUUUUUUUAAAAUGAAAAAUUGAUUGUUUUUGCUUUCAAAAUGAAUUCGGCAAAAGAGUAGUAUAUCUCCAGGGAGAAGAGAAUCUUCUAAGCAAUUCCAGUAAAAAGGCCCUCAAAGGAGGCACUGAGAUAAUUGUACUUCUGACUAAACAAGAAAACAGAAGUACAAUUAUCUCAUAAUACUUCACAGUUUUAUUCUCCAUACCAAACGUAGCUAUGAGAGACUAUCAUAAAGUACACACCCUAGGCCCCAAACAGCACCUUAAAAAAGUCUCAGAAUGAGGAUACAUGCAAGUCAAAUGUGCUAAAUACGAGUGAUGUGCAACUUCACACGUCUAUUCAAACAAUCAAAUAGGUGCAAACCAUGUCAUACUUUGUCAAUCAAAACAAAGAAGACUAACUAAUCAGAAACAAGCGCAAGUAGAUACAGUAAGUCAAAAGCAACCUAUUAAAAUGAUACAGGCUAGCAGGAUUCAACUCCACCAGUUGAACUUUUCAGAACUACAAUAUUGACAUAACAGAAUAUCUGUGGUCCCCGUUUGAUCUUAUUUCCCAUUUCAACCAAUAAAAAACAGGGAAGUCCAUAAACAGCGAGCCUAGUUGCCGUUCUUGCCUUUCGCAGAGAAGAAUGUGCUGAAUCCCCUCAUUUGCUUCUCCGGCAUUGGAGAAGAAGAAGACGAAGAACCUGAUGAGGUGGCUCUGUGUUUCGGAUGCUUGGAAUUGACAGAUGUGCUACCUGGGGAAUCACACAAGGCUAGUGCAGAUUCGGAACUCUCUCUCUGCAAAUUAUAUGAAGUGACACUGUCCACCUCAGCACAAUUGACACUUUGCAAUUGCGUGCUAGUACUUGUUGGUUCUUCCUUAACAGUUCCUUCAGCGUCUUGACUGAAUUCAUCUGUUGGCACAGUGUAGAGCUCUGUUUGGGGACAUAAAGCUUGCAACUGUUUGCCGAGAAGAAAUAUGGUCACUUGGCACUCUGCUAGCUUCUCUGCUGCUGCUCAUAAUUCUUUCUCCUGUGAGAAUGAAAAGAAGUUUUAAAUUCUGCACUCAACAAUCAUUCAGUGUGUAAGGAGUCCCCAACCCCCCCCCCCCCCCCCCUCCCCCUUUCCUNNNNNNNNNNNNNNNNNNNNNNNNNNNNNNNNNNNNNNNNNNNNNNNNNNNNNNNNNNNNNNNNNNNNNNNNNNNNNNNNNNNNNNNNNNNNNNNNNNNNCAUCAUGAUGGGGAUGAUACGACCCUCCUUCCACUCAAAGGACGCAGCCUCAAAGCUCCCAAAAUCCAACCACAUCCAUAUCGCUCUUGUACCUACUCAUCGUUAGUCAAGGAACCUGAAAAAGAUUAGAAAAUAGAGAGAUGAGCAACCACAGCUCAUUGAGUAGUGCAUUUCUUUUAAGCGGAUCGAGCACCCACUAUGCAUAUUUACAAAACCAAACUACAACUCUUUUAACUCAAAUCCAGGAUAUAACAAACAUACAGUAAAAUAAUAAGUACAUACGCUUCAACACAACUAUAUUUAUAAUAGAAAUAAUCAUUUCACAAUAAUAUCAAAAUAAACAUCAAUGAUCUAAUUCAUUGAUCAAUCCCAUUAAUUAACACACCAAUGGUCUAUUCCAUUAGUUAAUCUCAUACCACAUAUUAAUGGUCUAAUGAAAUUAUAUGUCGAUGGUCCAUUCCAACGACUAAUCUUAAAUUACACGUUGAUAGCCCAUUCUAUCGACCAAACUCAUAUCACAUGUCAAUUGUCUACUCCAUUGACCAAUCCGUUGCUCAAUAUCAAACCAUGGUCACGAUACAACACCUGGUGACGAGGCGACCAAGAUUCCCCCUUUAACAAGGUCUCCACCUAUUAUUAGCCAGUGACUCUGUGACAUCCCGGAUUUUCGCUUCUGUUUUCUACUGAAUAAAUUGGGCAUUUCAUCGACGCGCCUAUAGGGCUGUUCUCAGAACCGAUCACUCUUGAGGUAACUAGACUAUGUGGGGGAAGCCAUUAGGGAAUUUUAAGGCAAUAGACUUGAGAAUUUAGCCAGGAAUCGACUUCUCAACCGUGCUCAUAUUUAGAGGCCGUUACAGUAUAGUUAAAAAUUGAUUUGAGAUUAGAGAUAGGUCUGUUCGACUAAGAUAUGUGGCUAAUCAUGGGUGACACCACUCAAUUAGAAAAUUCUCAUCAACCGGCCUUAGAUUGAUUCUUCCGUCGUUUUGGUACUUGGGGUGGUGUAUUUGAAUCCUCGAGAUUUUCAUGACAACCAAGAGUCGCCAGUGAGUCGAGUGGGUUCAUUGUGGUUCAAAGAAAAUUGACCACGGGUCAUUUGCACUAAAAAUUUCUGAAAGUUAACCAGUAGCCUAGGUCACGCUAAAAACGCACCAAGUUAAAAUUUACUAUGAACUCAAUUCCGAUUUCAUAAAUUGAAGAUCCUAUCAUAUCACAAUAAAUUCUAAGAGUGUCAACUCAGUCUCAAAAGAUUUUUUUGAAACCCUAAACUUUUUGGGAAAAAGUUAGCAUAUGACCGUUUUUGUGCAGAAAAAGCCGAUAAUCGUUUUUUAUUUCAAAUUUGGGAAGCAUGAUGGAUGUAUGGGUGGGGAAAAAUAUUGAGAUGACCGAUGGUAGGUGGAUUGAAUUUUAUGAGAGCCAAUUGAGAGUGACUCAGAGAGAAUUGAUGUCCAAUUGAAGCCAUCAUCUCCCAAUUUCGUAACUCCCCCCAUCNNNNNNNNNNNNNNNNNNNNNNNNNNNNNNNNNNNNNNNNNNNNNNNNNNNNNNNNNNNNNNNNNNNNNNNNNNNNNNNNNNNNNNNNNNNNNNNNNNNNUUUCAUAAGUUGUUGGGUAGGCAUUGGUGGCUCAAUAGCAGCCAAGGAUCCAUGCAUGGCCAAGAAAGGUCAAGGGGAACAAACCCUUGGAAAAUUUGGCUUGGGGGAGCCCUUGUUCCCCCUUAUCUCUAUCCUCUCCCCCUCUCUCUUCCUUAGCCGGCCAAACCCUCACCACCUCCUCUCCAUUUUUGAAAAAUCCUCAAGCCAGCAAGAAGCUAGUGGAAGGAGCAUGCCAUCCACCGUCGUAUGCCCAUGCCGCCGUGGCCAUUCACGCACGCUACCUUGCCGCUCGCUGCCCUGCACCGGCCCGUUGCUGCUCCACCUCCACCGUGCGACUCACGCCGUCCCAACCCCUUACCGUGUGUCCCAGGAGUCCCUCCAAGCAACCCAAGCCACCACUGAAGCUCCCAUCACCAUCGGUUUGCCCCGAUUUGACCUCCUCAACUCAUUUCGAUCCAUUGCCGCCCCAAACCAACCUUAUUUCCUUAUGUUUUGCAACUAGAACAAAGAGUUGAGAAGUGGGUUUCACAACCACUUGUAGGCCUGUUUUUGAGGUGAUUAUAGGUCCCGAACCUUAGGCUCGCUUUGGAGUAAAACGUCCCCUGCGACAUUCCUGACGUUUCAAUCUAAGCAGAUUGUUAAACGGGUGAGUUUUGCUCACUAAUCUCUCAUUAGUAUGCUAAUGAUGCUUAGGGGUUGAUUAGAUUUAAUUAAGUGCAAUUAGGUGAAUAGAUUAGAUUAGAAUAGUUAAAUUAUGGAUUUACCUAUGUAUGUUAGGCAAAUGGUUAGUGUAAUUAGCAAGUAAACAAGCCCUAUUAUUUAUUGAACGAACCUUGAAAACUUUCCGAGUCUGUCUUGGCUUCCAAUUAGGCAUUACGGGCCUAAAUUGGAUUUAUUGUAUUUAUUUAAUAAUUUUCGUAUUUAUUUAUUUAUUUAUUUAUGUUUUGGAAAUUAAGCAAGUAUAGCCAACGACCAGAAUUUUAUGUUGAUUAUCGUGGUGCAGUCUGUUUAUUUGUUGAGCGUUAAUUUGUGCUGAAUUAAAUUAAAUAUAAUUUUGGGAUUUUAAUUCUAAGUUAUUCAAUUUCAAGAAUUGAUUGGAAAUGACCGAGCAUGGGUCUAUAGCGCCAAUAAUGUUUUGAUGAGCUAUAUAUAAAGUGAUAGAAAAGAAAAUCGUAUCACGUGGCUCGGAGACCAAGAAGGUCAUCCUGGAGAAUGCACAUGACUCGCAGAUUAAAUAAAUCACCUAUGGAUAGCAUGUGGCUUGGUGAUUAGUACCUUGCCUUGGCGUAUAUGUCGCCUUAGAGAAUGCACGUGGCUCAGUGAUUUGAUAUAUCGCCUUAGAGAAUACACAUGACUCGGUGAUUAGUACAUCGCCUUAGCGUAUAAGUCACCUUAGAGAAUGCACGGGGCUUGGUGAUUAGACAUGUCGCAUUUGAGAUUGCACGUGGCUCGGUGACGAAGCAUGUCACCUUAAAGAAUGCAAAUGGCUCGGUGACUAGAUAUAUACCAUCUGGGAAAAUAAUUAGUAUGAAUUGAAAUGACCGAGAAAUGGAUUGAAUGACAUGUAAUCGACUAGGUCGAUUGAUCAAUGAUUCGACAAUGUGAUGUGAUAGUGUAUAUUUAAUAUAUAUACCAACUUGCAUGAAUGGAACUGAGACCAAGGUAAAUCCUUUGACUCAGGUUUAAAAACUAUUCUCAUUUUGCUCGUCCGCUUUUGGAGUGAUUAUAGAGUCUCCUGAUAAUGAGCAAUUCUCCUUCGUUUGGCUGCUCUCGAUGAUUACAUCUUUCUCCUUAGAUUCGAGUCAAUUUGUUCAUUGCCUUGCAUAGCUUCUUGAAGCCCCAUGUCAAUCUACUUGAUUUCUUAGAGAGUCACAACUCUUCAAUUAGGACAAUUGGCUUUGAAGUGUCCAUAGCCAUGACACUUAAAGUGCUUUUGAAUACUACUAUUAUUGGUCUUUUUGGGGAGUUCUUUGGUGGGCUCUAUGGCUUUCUCCUUGCCUUAUGUAUUCUUGGCCUUGCUAGAAGGAAAAUGUCCCCCUUGUUGAUGAGUUAGUUGACAAACUUUUGCCACACUUUAGUUGUUUCUUCACUUUCAUGGCUGGCUUACAAACAUUUUCGAAAGACCAAUAUGGUUGAAAUUCAACCAAAUCGAUAAAUGUCUCUUUUCAAGCCACAAGGAGUUGUUCAAACUCUCUAAUGUAUUCUUCAAUGCUCAUUAUGCACUGCUAGAGGGAAUUUAUUUUAAGGAAAAGGUCUUGUUUGUAGUUGUCAUAACAAAACCUCUUCUUCAUAAGUUUCUUGAGUGUUUCCCAAGAUUUGAUUCGGCUUUUUCCAUCAUGGACUCUCUAGUUCUUAAAGUCUUCCCACCAAAAUGAAGCAUAUAUAUUCAACUUGAGAACAACAAUCUCGUGACACUUCAUUUGAUUAUUUGUGGAAGUCAAAUACUUAUUAGAUAUCAUGAAGUCAACUGACAAUAUCAUAUAGGUUUUCUAGCACCUCCACUUUUAUUUCAUGAUCAUUGUCCUCAAGCCUUCCUCUUUUACUCUAAACUUGGUAAUCCAAAUCAUUAGAGUUGCUUCCAGUGUCCUUGAAUUUAUUGCCUGAGUUUUGAUGGGGAUGUGGAUUGACAUGGUGUGGUCGCUUAGUAGGGCAAAUUGAUGGUGCCUCCUACCUCGCUCAAUUCUCCAGGAGAUUGAGGACAUGCCUCAUUUGUUGUUGAAGCUCCAAUAUGGCAUGGUCAUGCCUUUCAUUGUGUACUUGUUCCAAAAUCAAACCUUUUGAAACUGGAUCACCCUUUUUUUAAGGAAAAAAUAUGAACCAGGGGAAUAGAAAGAAUCAUUCAAAAUGGGUUCAACCUUGAACCCUAAUGUGAGAUUGAUGCAGUUGCGAGGGCAUGCAAUUGAUGUUUUGAAUGAUGUCGAGAUAAUCAAUGACAUAUCAAAGUGUAUAGGGAUGUAAAUGCAAAUGCAGGAUAGAAGAUUCUGAUUCAUCAAUGUUGAAAAGAAUUGCUCUUGCAAAAGUAGACUUUUCAAUACUAUUACAUUCCUUAGAAGCAUUGGUACCAAAAAAGUCUUAAACAUAUUAUAUUGGUACCAAUUCUGUUAUAAACCUUUGGCAUUUAUGUUAAUGGAGUCCAUUGAUCAAUUUUGCUAGAAAAUCGCUAACAUGAAUGCCAAUUGUUUUAUAUGAUAUAUGAUACAAUCAACACUAACAUGGACAAUUUUACAAUCUUUAAUAUAUAUAUAUACCUUCAUUAUGGUUGGCAAGGGUCACCAACAACUAUCACUGGCCACCAGGCGAGGGCCUACAAGCCCUUACCAACCGCUGGUGAGUGCUAAGACCGUCGCCCAAGCCACAAGUGUCAAGCCCUUGCCAAAUCUCUGUCAAGUCAAUCAACAUUGUUGCUUACUUGAUUGUGCCAUCGGUUUCAUCUCUACGAUUACAACCCAAAGAAGAAAUCAUUGUGAUUCAUAGCUGAGUGAAAACAAUAGAUGGAAUUUGGCGGCAAGGAAGCAGUAAAGGCAGCUCCCGAACCAACAAAAGUAGGCCCAUUUCAUGGUCGACAAGGGUCACUUUCAUCGGAUUUGGCGAGGGCUCAACCCUUAAAGCUUGGGUGAGGGCUAGUAGACCACAAAGAAUAAGAGAAAAAAUAAAAAUAAAAAUAAAAAUAAAAAUAAUAAAAAUUUGUAAAAUUUAUCCAUGCCAGCGUCAAUUAUGCUAUAUAAGAUGGCUGAUAUCCAUGUCAAUAAUUUUUCGAUCACAAUUCACCAAUGGACUCAAUUUGUACAGAUGUAAUAUAUUUAAGAUUAAAUUUAUAUAAUUAAAAGGUUUAGGACUGAUUUGGUAUCAACGCAAUAGGUUUAUUAUGAUUCUUUGAUACUUAGGUUUCUAAGGCUGUAAAGAAAUUUGGGACAACAUUUUUUUUUUCUGAUCUUGUAUUUACGGAAGAUAAGAGGUAGCGUGGGAAUUAUGUGUUUUUGGAUCACAACAUAAUCGUUGUUAACUAAAUCUAACAUGACUAACAUCAAUGCUGAAGCAAUCCUAUAAUCUAAUUCUUAAUGGUGAUCGAACUUAAAACAUAGGAAGUAAGAACACUCCUUGUUCGUGCACAACCAAGAAAAAGCGGAAACAAAAAAAAAGAUUUGUUCUUGAUUGUGGGUCUUGUUGAAUGGCCGAGGCAUGUUAAUGUCUUUGGCUAUUAGGAAAAACCUUCGCAGUCUUUUCUGAAGUUUUCAGUGACGAGAGAACUUUCCAUCCAAUUAUAUCAUGGCUUUUCUCCCUUUUUCUCGCUUUCCUUUCAUGGAAAAAAGAACAUAAAUCUUCGGAGCACUUAUGGUCCACUUCGAGGUUUGAGCAUCGAUUCAUGUUCAUGUGUUGUUUUGUAAUUCGUGUCAAUUUAUAUCCAUCUAAUAAAAUAUAUUGAUUUGGAUUCCACACGCUAAAUGCAAGAAUUAUGAUGAAAUCGAGUUAAUUCAUAUUAAUUAGUGCCCUCAUAUAGGAUUCAGACAUGUCAUAUCAUGUUACAUUCAAUUUUUACUUCGUAAGUAGUAUUAAUCUCGUUUCUGAAAAUGGGUCUCCAAUAUUGCCAAUCUUACUUGGAGACAAAUUCCUCCCUCCCCCUUUUUUCCGUUGAUAUCAUACUUAGUUAACAAUAAAAGGAAUGUACAGACUAUAGUUCAAAGUAUCACAUUUACGAGAUGCUGCGAUUGUCGUCUUUCGGUCUCUCUCUUCCGCCAUGGAAGGAUUCCCCCUCACCUGGGUGAGCUAUUUCCCUAUCCCCAUGGUGAUAUUCAGCGCACAAAAUCCCUUCCCUUAAAACCCUAAUCCAAAGCUCUUCGUCACUUCGCCUCUUCCACCCACGAAUUUCAAGGCGCAUUAACCCCCAUCAAGACGAACAUCUAGGUAUCUUAGGUAUAAAACCCUAGAAACCCAACACCACUUCAUUACUACAUAAUGUAAUUGUCGUAGCCUCUGGUAAGAGCUCCCUUCAUUCCCAGAAACUUGAAGAUUCGAUGUUCCCCUAUCACGCCAGGUGGAAGGACCCAUAUCCCAGCAGCUCUUGGAAACCUCUCUAAUAAGAACCCCUCUCCUAGNNNNNNNNNNNNNNNNNNNNNNNNNNNNNNNNNNNNNNNNNNNNNNNNNNNNNNNNNNNNNNNNNNNNNNNNNNNNNNNNNNNNNNNNNNNNNNNNNNNNNNNNNNNNNNNNNNNNNNNNNNNNNNNNNNNNNNNNNNNNNNNNNNNNNNNNNNNNNNNNNNNNNNNNNNNNNNNNNNNNNNNNNNNNNNNNNNNNNNNNNNNNNNNNNNNNNNNNNNNNNNNNNNNNNNNNNNNNNNNNNNNNNNNNNNNNNNNNNNNNNNNNNNNNNNNNNNNNNNNNNNNNNNNNNNNNNNNNNNNNNNNNNNNNNNNNNNNNNNNNNNNNNNNNNNNNNNNNNNNNNNNNNNNNNNNNNNNNNNNNNNNNNNNNNNNNNNNNNNNNNNNNNNNNNNNNNNNNNNNNNNNNNNNNNNNNNNNNNNNNNNNNNNNNNNNNNNNNNNNNNNNNNNNNNNNNNNNNNNNNNNNNNNNNNNNNNNNNNNNNNNNNNNNNNNNNNNNNNNNNNNNNNNNNNNNNNNNNNNNNNNNNNNNNNNNNNNNNNNNNNNNNNNNNNNNNNNNNNNNNNNNNNNNNNNNNNNNNNNNNNNNNNNNNNNNNNNNNNNNNNNNNNNNNNNNNNNNNNNNNNNNNNNNNNNNNNNNNNNNNNNNNNNNNNNNNNNNNNNNNNNNNNNNNNNNNNNNNNNNNNNNNNNNNNNNNNNNNNNNNNNNNNNNNNNNNNNNNNNNNNNNNNNNNNNNNNNNNNNNNNNNNNNNNNNNNNNNNNNNNNNNNNNNNNNNNNNNNNNNNNNNNNNNNNNNNNNNNNNNNNNNNNNNNNNNNNNNNNNNNNNNNNNNNNNNNNNNNNNNNNNNNNNNNNNNNNNNNNNNNNNNNNNNNNNNNNNNNNNNNNNNNNNNNNNNNNNNNNNNNNNNNNNNNNNNNNNNNNNNNNNNNNNNNNNNNNNNNNNNNNNNNNNNNNNNNNNNNNNNNNNNNNNNNNNNNNNNNNNNNNNNNNNNNNNNNNNNNNNNNNNNNNNNNNNNNNNNNNNNNNNNNNNNNNNNNNNNNNNNNNNNNNNNNNNNNNNNNNNNNNNNNNNNNNNNNNNNNNNNNNNNNNNNNNNNNNNNNNNNNNNNNNNNNNNNNNNNNNNNNNNNNNNNNNNNNNNNNNNNNNNNNNNNNNNNNNNNNNNNNNNNNNNNNNNNNNNNNNNNNNNNNNNNNNNNNNNNNNNNNNNNNNNNNNNNNNNNNNNNNNNNNNNNNNNNNNNNNNNNNNNNNNNNNNNNNNNNNUGGCUGGCAGCCCUCUGUAGAAGUUUGGGAGAGUUGUGGUCUGAGGAGGAUGUGCUCACAAUUAAGGGAGAUGUACCUGUAGAAAAAAAAAACAUGAGUGUGAAUUAACCCUUAUAGGCAAACUUUAUUCCAAGCCAAAUGUGAAUCUACAGGCUUUCUUCAGCACAAUGGAAAGGGCGUGGAAAACAUAAUUGGUGUCGUGUGAUCUAAUAGCACUAGGGCUAUUUUCAUUCACUUCUAUGACUAUAGCUGGUAAGAACAGAUCUCUAACUUCAGGCCCUUGGUCAUUCUCUAGUAAUCUGCUAAUUUUACAGCAAUGUGAUCUUGAUACCCCGGACCAUUCUUAUGUUUUCACACAUUGUGACUUCUGGGUACAUAUCUUGGGGCUCCCGAGAGAUAUAAUUACUAAAAAAACAGUCUCUGAUAUUGCUACAAAAAUAGGAAAAGUGCAGGAAGUGAAGCUAGAAAAUAAAAGCUUUGGUAAGUCAAAUGUGGGGAAAGCAAAGGUGAACCUAGACCUAUCUAAACUCCUAAGGUUUGGGACUAUUGUUGACCUGGACAACAAGAAAAUUUGGGUGGAUUUUAUAUUUGAAAGACUUCCACACUUUUGCUACUAUUGUGAACGUAUAGGGCACUAUACGACCUACUGCAAGAUUAUCCCUUACGAACAAUAUGGGCUAGAAGAAAAUAGAGUGGGCAAGUUUGGUAGCUGGAUUAAAAUAGAAGCAAGAGAAAACAGCCCUUACUAGAAAAUUUUCAAUGGAGAGAUGACUCCAGAACUAGAAACUGAUGAAAUAAUACCAAAAACUCCAAUUCAGAGCAACAUAGAGGCCACUUUUCAGCAAACAAAAUAGGAGAACAUAAACCCACUAGCUAUGGUCAUAGUGCCGGAGAAAAUGCCCUAAAACAGAAGAGGGUCAGCAACUUGGACCCAGAUUUUCUUGGUGUUGAACUCACACAUAAGGAGAAACAUCUUAUGUUAAAUGAGGCAUCCAUUCCCAUGGCACUUGCUACAUUUCUAACGAAAGGAAAGAGUGGGAAGAAAACUCACACGGCAAAGAAAUUGAAACAAUUUAGCCCCUAUGAACAGCAAGGCUCCCUCUCUCAAUCCAUCGAUGAGGGGACCCUUCUAGACACACCAAUCAAAGAAGCGAAAGAAAUGGAGGAGUGGGCUUUGGUGGCUAGCCCUAACAAGCUACUGGGGUUUAAAUGAAAAUUUUGAGCUUGAAUUGUCAAGAUUUGGGCUCUCCUCUGACUUUCCAGAACCUUAAAGCCCUAGUGGCGCAAGAAAAGCCUAGUUUAGUAUUUCUCAUGGAAACAAAAAAUAAGGAACUCGAAGUGGAAAGGGUAAAAAAGCGCUUGCAAUUUCAGCAUUUGAUGGUAGUUGACCCAAUCAGAAUCGUUGGGGGGUUGGCUUUGAUGUGGAACAAUAUCAUGGCGGUGGAACUUGUAUCAAGCUCGGGAGAGAUGCUCGAAGUAAAAUGUAAAGAGUUGAACAACAAUAUCAAAAUGAGGGUUUCCUUUCUACAUGCCCCUACGAACUGCCAGAAAAGACUCCAAUUAUGGAAGAAACUCAUAAUGAUUCAUGCGAGAAAUGAUCUACCCUGGAUAUGCAUUGGAGACUUCAAUGAAACUUUGUAUCAUUGGGAGAAAUAUGGUAAGAGGGAGACAGACUAUUAUCAAGUGGUGGCUUUCCGGGAACUGUUAAAUGAUUGUGCACUCAUGGACGUCGAAAGCAAAGGAUGCGCCUUUACUUGGGCAAAUAACUGAGAUGGGAAGGAGUUGGUUAAAAAGAGGUUAGAUCAGGUUCUCUGUAACAUAGAGGGCAAGUUAGGUUCUUACAUGCAGAAGCCUAUGCUUUACCGGCCAUUGGCUCAAACCAUAGUCCCAUAUUAUUGUCAUUACUUCCGCCAUUGAUGAAAAGGAAAAAAGAAUUCAGAUUUGAAGCUUACUGGAUGGAGGAUGUUGAAUGUUGAGAGAUAGUACAGUCCGUGUGGAAAGAUCAAAGAAAUUCACAGUUGAAUUUGCCUAACAAACUAAAAGAAGUUGCUGCAACUUUAGCCAAGUGGAUCAAGGAGAAUUUUCUAAUGCAUUUAGAAGGAUAGAGGACCUCAAAAAAGAGAUAACUAGGAUAACUAAUGAAAAUGAAAGGGGAUUGAGAAAGGAAGAAACUCGGCAAAUAAAGAUGCAAAUUGAACAACUAUGGAGACAGGAAAAUAUGUAUUGGGGAAUGAGAUCGAGGAUUGAGUGGCUAAAAUAGGGAGAUAAAAACAUGAAGUUUUUUCACACUACAAUGGUGCAAAGAAGGCAACGAAAUAGAAUAACCAUGCUGAAACUUGAAGACCAAAACUAGUGCAGGGACCUAGAGCUAAUUAAAGAACACAUUGUGAACUUUUAUCAAGAUCUUAAUGGCACGGUUGGCCCAAGGAAUUUUCAGCCGGUGCUAGAUCAAUGCUCUUGCAUAGUAGGAGAUGAAAUGAAUGAAUCUUUAACAAGGAAAAUCACAAUGGAGGAAGUGAAGGCAACGGUGUUUCAAUUGAGGGCCACUAAGGGCGCGCAUGAUAAAAUUUCUACUUCUUUAUUUCUCUAUUUCUAUGUUCCCUAGAACAGGUUUGGAACAGAAAUCCAUUUGGUAACGCAAUUUGAUAUUUCUAUUUCUGAAACAAAUUUCUAUUCCAGAAAUAGAUUUGAAGAAGAAAUCAUAAGCUAAAAUUUGUAACUUCUCAAUUUCUGGCCAGAAAUCAAUUUAUGUUCCAAAAAUUUUGUCAUGUGCACCCUAAGGCCUAGGUCCAAAUGGGUUUAAUGGAAAGUUUUUUCAAAAUCACUGGGAGAUAAUUCAAAGAGAAGUGCACAAAAUGGUUGAAGACUUCUUUGUGUCAGGUACUCUAGACCCCUCCAUUAACAAUACUCAUAUCACCCUUAUUCCAAAAGUGGCUAUCCCUAAAUCUAUAGCACAAUAUAGGCCCAUCAAUUUAUGUAAUUACAGCUAUAAGAUUAUCUCCAAAGUAAUGGCAAACAUGUUGAAACCAUGGUUGUCCAAUCUGAUUGAAAUGGAGCAAAGCGCCUUUAUCGAUGGACGACAAAUUCAAGAUAACAUAUUAAUUGUCCAAGAAGUGCUGCACCAACUCAAAAUCAGGGAAAGAAAAAGGAAGUUUUAGGCGUACUCAAACUCAAUAUGCAAAAAGCAUACAAUUGUGUGGAAUGGGUUUCUUGUGUGAGUGCAUGACUAAGAUGGGCUUCAGUGAUUGCUGGGUUUCUUUGGUCAAAACAUGCAUUUCGACUGUCACAUUCAACAUCAAAGUCAAUGGAGAACCUCUCCAACCUUUCAGACCAACUAGAGGCUUAAGGCAAGGGGACCCCCUCUCUCCCUACUUAUUCAUUAUUAUGACUAAUGUGCUAUCUCCGCUUAUACAUAGAGCACUAAGGGAUGGAAGUGUGAAAGGAAUUAAACUGAACAGAAGCUGUCCAACACUAACGCACCUAUUAUUUGUGGAUGAUGCGAUAUUCUUUUUGGAUGGAACAGUUAAGGAAUGCCAAAACUUGGCAAACCUUUUGAACCAAUAUUGUUACGCAUCAGGUCAAGCAAUCAACCUCAAUAUUUCCGGCAUUUUUUUCAGCAAAAGCAACCCACAAUGAUUAAGGAGGAAUAUGGCACAAGAACUUAGAGUGCCUAUCAUCGAAAAAAUAGGGAAAUAUCUUGGCAUUCCAUCGGAUUGGGGACAAACAAAGAAAGAAAUUUUUGUGUGGAUUCUAUCGAGGGUCAACAUGAAAUUAGAGGGAUGGAAGGAAAACAUUAUAUCUAAAGCAAGGAAGGAAAUCAUCAUUAAAAUAGUUGUACAAGCAUUGGCGCAAUAUGCUAUGUCCAUUUUCAAAAUCCCAAUAUCCAUUUGUAAAGCAAUUGAACAAAAGAUUGCUACUUUCUGGUGGAAAAAGAACAGUGCAAAAAAAGGUAUACAUUGGAAGAAAUGAGAGGUGCUAAAAACUUGAAAAGACUGUGUGGGCUUGGGUUUCAAAGACCUUAUUGCUUUUAAUAAGGCCAUGCUGGGAAAACAGGCUUGGAGACUUAUACAAACCCCUUCAGCCUUAUGGAGUCAAUUGUUAAAAGGCCUAUACUUCUCGUCGGGAGAUUUCGUGAGGGAAAAUAAGGGAGCUAGAUCAUCCUGGGGAUGGCAAAGCUUAAUGCAAGGAAGAGAGGUAUUAGGAGGGCAAAUUAGAUGGAUAGUCGGGGACGGAUCGCAGAUCAGGGUGAAAGAAGAUAGAUGGUUAGCUCAUGGAUGCAUUAGAGGACCUACAAACCAAGGCGAACCCCAAUGUUUGGUUGAGCUAAUUGACCAAGGGUCCAAGCAGUGGGAUGAGCAUAAACUAAAGAAAUUAUUUGAUGAAGAUUUAGUUAAGGAAAUCCUUGCAACCCCACUAAGUCUUACUAUGGAGAAAGACAAAAUCGUAUGGAUGAAAAACAGUUCCGGCACCUACUCAGUCAAGAGCGGAUACAACAGUAUACAAACAGUUGCCAACCACAACAAUUCUCAGGCAUCCUCAUCUUAUUAGCCCCCCAAAAAACUAUGGAACUUGAUCUGGGAUCUCGUGGAACUUAAUCUGGGAUCUCCACACCCAUCCAAAAAUCAAGUUUUUUAUAUAGAGUAUAUGUGCUAAUGCGCUACCAACGAAGGAAAACCUCUUUAGGAGAGAAAUGAUACCUGAUCAAAGUUUCCCGGUCUGCCAUCAAAUGCCAGAGACGCCAGAACACAUUUUCCUCCUCUGUCCAUGGACGAAUGAAAUUUGGUCAAACCCAAAAUUGAGACUACAUCUUUCCCCAAAAUGUAUCACAAGAAUAGAUAAACAGUUUUUCGAAACCCUUACCUCUUGUAACAGGCCUCUGUCGAAGGAGUUAGUAGCUAGUGUCCUUUGGCAGAUCUGGAAAAGAAGAAACUCCAUGGUCUUCAAAGGCGAACCCCCGAACCCAAGCGAAGCUGUGAACCAAGCAACCAUAGAUCUAUAACUUUAUAACCAGUGGAACCCAAGAAAUCGAAACCGACACCAAGAUCCCACAGACUCACCUACGGAGUGGGUCUCUCAUUGAAGGGUUCUCUAAAAUAUAAUGUUGACGGCUCAUGGAAGGAAGAGCGGCGAGAAGGAGUGAUGGUCAAGAUUUGUAGGAAUGAACAAGGGAUCCUCAUAGACGGUUUUGCAGAGAAAAUCGUUAUUGAUUUAGCCCUAAAAACGGAGGCUUUGGCCCUUCGUGCAGCUUUGUUGAAGUUAAUGGAGGCAAGAAAGAGAAAUGAGUCUUUAGCAGGAACAGGGAAAAGUCUUCAACUUCGCCUAAACUAACCUACAAGUGUGAAGUACACUCUGAUAGCAAAGUUGCAAUGGAAAGUUUAAUGGGCUUAAUUCCGAGCCCAUGGACGGUGCAAGCAAUUAUAGAAGAUACCAAAGUGUUGCUGGCCCAACUUCAAGGAGUCCAAGUAUCUUAUGUGCCAAGAGAAGCUAACAAGCUUGCCGACUGGGUAGCAAAAGCCUAUCGAGACAACCGCCUUCCUCAGAAUUGGGUUUUAUAUCCCCCCCUAUCCACUUUCAGUUUUAUUAUGUAACGAUCUCGAACUUAGUCGCAGUUCAGCAAUAAAUUAGUAAUGGUAAGUGCUUAAUCGACCAAAAAAAAAAAAAAACACAAUAAAAGGAAUAGCAUAAAAAGAUUCUCGAGAAUUUCUAUGCUCCAGCAUCCAAUCCCGAAGCCAAUACGACCAUUGGAUAAAAAAGGAAUAAAUUCAAAAUGGUAACAACUCGCCAGAGUAUAAGGAAAUUCAACGACUAUAAAAUUGUCAAAGCUAUAAUUGAGGUACAAAAAUUACGACGUACAAGAACAAUUACUUGUUGAUAAGUUCUUUAGAUUCGAUGGACUGUAGAAGGAGUUUUACAAUCAUUAGGGAAAUUCAAUAAGAACAUGAAAAAGAGAUAGAGAUUUCAAUAAGUACCAACAAUUCUCAUGUCAAUGAACUCAAAAAUCAAAUUAUUGCCAAGGGAAAUACGUUAGUAAUUGUAGAUGCAAUCGAGAUUUCGACAGCUUCAAAUAAAUUACCAAAAAUUGAAGAGUUCCAAAGGGAAAAAGCUAUUAAAAAAAAAAAACCAAUAUAUACCUUGAACUUUAUAUUUACUGCAAUACAUUUAUCCUAAACUUUUUCUUGUGACAACAAAAAAAAUUCCAAACUUAUACAACAUAAUACUUUUACUACUUCAAGGUCGGUAGAUAUUUCAGCUAAUACGUGUUUUUAUUUNNNNNNNNNNNNNNNNNNNNNNNNNNNNNNNNNNNNNNNNNNNNNNNNNNNNNNNNNNNNNNNNNNNNNNNNNNNNNNNNNNNNNNNNNNNNNNNNNNNNUCAGUACUUUCCAGGCAUGAAGGCCGAAACUUUGCUCCUCUCUGUCUUUUUUAUUUUAUAUUCUUGUCCGCCUCUCCUUCAAUGGCCAACCAAAAAUGGUGGCUGUCUCCGUCUGCUGAGGCUUGCGCCCCACGUUAACCCUUGCCCAAGGCAAAACCCCAUUUUUGACCACUUUUCAACACGCGAGUGCACGAAUGGCAACACAUCGGUAGUGAGUUGGAGCUUCGAGUGAAAAUUUCGAGACCUCGGAGGUAUAGAAAUUGAGACUAUAAGUAAGGCCGUAGUUCCUAAAAUUGGUGACUUGUGAAGUGGAUUCUUAGAUAUCUAAAAAGGACAACUUUGUAGUGUAUCGAAUGAAUAGCAAUAGCAAUAAGACCGCUGGCUAUGUUGAUUCAAAUUGCACUAGUGACUUGGAUGGGUGCAGGUCUUUUGUAAGAUACAUAAGUGGUGGUGUUAAUUGGAAAGCCUAGGUUGUCUUCGAUUGAACUCGGUCCUUGCGCGAUGUGUCGACAAAACCAAGGACGUCACGCAUGUUCAAUCCCGCCCUUGCGCGAUGCGUCGUGAUCAUUUUGGAUGGUGUUCUGGUUAAAGUAACGCCAGAAAGGGGUUGGCUUUUCACUUGCUUCUGCUGCCAACUCGUGUUCGAGCCCUACUUGAACGAUCGUUUUAUCAGCGCGUAAUGUUCUCGUGUUUACAAUAUCCGGUGACGUGUGUUCGUUUGGUUUGUGGAUAACGAAAAGACGGGAAAGAAUGUUAGCAGGGGAAAAUCCCGAAAAAUAUGAUCUUUUUCGAAAUCGUGCAUGCAGUUUUGAACCUCUACAGUCAAAUGUGUUGAGGGGGUGAUGGUUUCCUCUGCUUUCUUUUACUCGUGCUUUUUCAACCCGUGUGAUCUUUGUUACCGCUCUUCUUUGCAUGACAGGUUUCGGGCUGGCUAAGGAUGGAGCUAAGCUUGACUUGCGGGAGCAUCAGGAAGAGGCCUGCAGAUCAGGCGAUGAAUGAUGGUGAUAUCGACAGGAUAUAUAGAUUCGCCAUAUUGUUGCCUAAUGGGACUACCGUGGGAAUCGCAUUAAGGGAACCCAACCCGACCAUGGCCUUCCGAGGUUUCAUGCUAAUGGCCAAAGAAAGGUACAAUCGAGCCAAAGCGCAAGAUCCAUCACUAAGGUCGAAGCGUCCCAUCUAAUGGGAGAGUAAUGAGUUGCAUCUCGAAGAUGCAAAUGACAACCAGAUCAAAAGUCGAAUUAUUUUCGACAACUUUAAGCCUCACAAGCGCCACAUCUUGCGUCUUUGCAUGAGUAUUGGGCAAAAGUCAUAUGUUGUUCGCUUGUUGUGUCUUCUUUUAAUUUACUGAGAGCGUGCAUAUUCACUUUAAUGGCUGUACUUAUUUUACUGUUUGUUUGUAUGUAAUAUCUUUUUCCAAUUAGGAUGGCUCUGGCAACACAACUGAUACUUUUGAGGUUAGUAUUUUAUUCAUUUUCGCACCGUACCCAGCUGUCGAUAUAUUCUCAAGAAUGAGUAUCACUUGCCUUUUAGGAGUUCUCUUGAUGUCCUCGCCAACCGACUCCAGCUCCGACGAUGGCAGGUCUUUUAGAUUGAACACCAUCCAAAACGAUCACCCCUUUCUGGUUAUGUUGAUUCGAAUUGCUGACUAAACUCAGUCCUUCAAUUGGCGUGUGUAAAGAGUGAGUGUCCAUUAGGAUAUUGGGAGAAUAAUAUAGAUGAUGAGCAUUGUGACCUGAUUUUAAAAGUCGAGUCAAGGUCAAUUGUUAAAUUACAUCUUGAAUUUGGCUUGGUUUACGGAACCCGAUUAGAUUAAACUGAAAGGGAAGAACUCUCGGUCACUACAUGGCAAAAUAAGGGGCUCAUGUAUUUAUGAAAAAUUAUUUAUUUAUGGGGUAGGAAAUAAGUCUUUGGCUAAGAGGAAAUAAAGAAGCGGACGUCGCUUCUUUUUUGAGUAGUGAUCGGUCAAUAAGGGUUUGAGGAGAGGGACCCACAUACAUAUAUUAUAUAUAUGGCCUGCGGUGGCAGCAUACGUUGUUUUCCUUAAUCGAAGAGCUGCGCGGUGAAAACGUUAGAGCCGCUGUACGAGAAACGAAAAACAUCGUUCAGGAGUCCUUGUUUAUCCGCCGUACGUAAAGCUUUUUCUUUAAGCUUGAAAACCGGAGAUUUUGUUUGGUAAGUUUACACCUAAUUAAAUUAGUUAUUUGUAAAUAUUUUGGAUUUAAACUUAAAUUUAGGUGGGUGAAAUAUUCGAACAUAUCCAAGAUUAUAAUUCUGAUUUUUCAAUUGUAUUGAAUUAUUUAUUGCCGACCCUCUUCUUAACUACAUAAAUCUCUAAUGUCAUUUAUUUCUUUAGUUCUCUUGCAUUAACUUAACAAGAAAAGUGAGUAUAAACUAGAUAUAUGGUUCUCAAUCAACUAAAGUGGCUUGUUGAUAAAGCAUAAAUAUCAACACGUUAAUUCAUACAUAGUUUCUACUUAAUUAGUUGAAAUUUGAAUAAUUUUUUUAAAAACUUUUACGUAAAUGUAAAAAGUUGCUUUUUGCUUUCCUAUUUUAAAUAAAAACCAAUCAUUUUAUAUAUGUAUGACAAUUGUCUGCCAAUGUAUGUUACAAUGACCCUUCGAAUGCAAGAGAGCAAAGGAAAGGUACACCAUAAAGUUUUUGGGCCUUGGACUCAAUUAGACCUUCGGCGAAUGGGAAUGAUGAAUCUCGGGUCAAAAUUGCUCAAAUAAUUUAAUUUGUUAAAGAUAUCUUAUAAUUCUGUUGGUUCUGGAUGUAUAUUUUUUUUUUAUUGUGUAUAUAUUAAUUGAUAAAUAUUACGUUAGAUUGCCAUAUCAUAUGGCAGUGUACUUCUAUUGUUACAUGUCGAAAUAUUCUGAAAUUUUUCAAUUAUGUUUUAACCCUGUUCAUGGGCAUUUUUAGCUGACCUUUGCCACUAUGUCCGUUCUUCGCCGCUCCCGUACUCCCGUAUUAUAUAGCCUCCCUUCUCUCCUUCAUGGAAGAAGGCGCAUGAAAACACAGAACGUAGACAUCCAGUGAUUCCCCCGAAAAAAAAUGGAUCCUUUCGAUUCAUCAAAGCAGGUGCUUCAAAACUUCCUCUCGCACUCCUCCACUCUGAUGUAUUCAGGGGGCGAUUUUCUGCUCAACACCACGUUUUUACGUGGCUUCUCUGGUUCUCUUCAUUUGGUUUUGUUACUUGGAAUCCUGGUUUCAUGGGCGGGCAAGAAAAUAUGGGCACAACGAAAUGGUGUAGGCUCCGAACAAAGCCGCAGAAGAAGCAGAAUUUGGUACUAUAAGCCCACUCUGUUUUGCUGUUUAGGCUUAUCUGUGUUUAAUAUGGUUUUGUGUGCGGCGAACUACUUUUAUUGGUAUGCAAAUGAUUGGUCGGAAGAGAAACUGGUUUCUCUUUUGGAUUUAGCACUGAAGUCUCUCGCUUGGGGAGCUCUAGGUGUUCGUUUGUACGGCCAAAGCUCAUAUUUUGGAGUAUCAAAGCUCCCUCUUUCGUUGAGAGUCUGGUGGGGUUCCUACUUGUCCAUUGCAUGUUAUUGCCUCGUCAUUGACGUUGUUCUGUAUGGAAAGUGUGUUCCGGUGCGAACCCUGUAUUCCAUUUCUGACGUUGUCUCUGUUGUCACCGGUUUCUUCUGCUGUUAUGUGGGGUUCUUUGGUAAGAUUGAGAUUGAUGAUUGUCUGCUCGAAGCGCUUUUAAAUGGUAACUCGGUUACAAGCAAUGCCAAAUUAAGCAGAAGUCCAGGAGGUGAAACUGUGACCCCGUAUUCUAAAGCGGGAUUACUGAGUAUAAUUAGUUUCUCGUGGCUGAGUCCUUUAAUGGCUGUCGGGAAUGAGAAAACACUGGACCUAGAGGAUGUCCCUCAACUUGCUCCACGGGAUAGGAUAGCAGGGGCAACGCUAGGUUUCAAGGAAAAGCUCAAGCCAGAUGCUGGUUCCAGUAAUGGAGUGACAGCGUUUAGGCUGGUGAAGGCUUUGAUCAUGUCCGAAUGGAAAGAAGUAAUUUCCACUGCUGUGUUUGAGCUUCUUAUAACCCUAGCUUCUUAGGUUGGUCCAUACCUUAUGGAAACUUUUGUUCAAUUCCUAAACGGGCAACGCAAAUUUGAAAGUAAAGGCUACCUUCUUGUUUCAGCGUUUUUGGUUGCACAGCUUGUCGAGUGCCUUUCCUUUCGGCAGAUGAUAUUUAGGCUAGAUCUUGUUGGGAUUAGGACUCGCUCAUUGCUGGUUGCACUAAUAUAUGACAAGGGAUUAAACCUUUCAUGCCAGUCUAAACAGGGGCAUACUAGUGGGGAAAUCAUUAAUAUCAUGUCUGUAGAUGCCGAGAGAAUUGGUGAUUCUUGCUGGUGCAUGCACGAUCCUUGGCUAGUACUUGUACAAGUUGGGUUAGCCUUAGCGAUUCUGUAUAAAAAUCUUGGGCUUGCGGCUAUUGCAGCUUUUGUGGCCUCUGUGCUUGUUAUGUUAGCUAAUAUUCCUUUGAGCAAGCUCCAGGAGAAAAUUGAUGAAAAGUUUAUGGAAUCAAAGGACAAAAGGAUGAAGGCAACUUCCGAGAUCUUGCGAAACAUGAAGAUUUUAAAGCUUCAGGCAUGGGAGAUGACGUUUUUGUCCAAGAUUAAUGAACUGAGGAAUAUUGAGACGGGGUGGUUGAAAUUUUUUUUUUACACUGAAGCAAUGACCUCUUUUGUCUUCUGGGGUGCCCCGACAUUUGUUUCCGUGACUACAUUUGGUACAUGCAUGUUAUUGGGGAUCCCACUAUCGUCAGGGAAGAUCUUAUCUGCGAUCGCAACAUUCAGCGUCCUCCAAGAUCCCAUCUAUGAAUUACCAGUUGUAUUAUCCGUGAUAGCUCAGACUAAGGUCUCACUUGACAGAGUAGCAUCAUUCCUGCGCCUUGAGGAUCUCCAGAAUGACGUCAUUGAAAAGCUUCCUCAGGGCACAACUGAUACGGCAGUCGAGAUCAUUGAGGGGAAUUUCACGUGGGACUUGUCUUCCUCUGAACCCACAUUAAAGGACAUAAACUUGAAGGUCAUCAAUGGCAUGAAAGUUGCAGUCUGCGGUACUGUGGGUUCAGGAAAAUCGAGCUUACUUUCUUGCCUCCUGGGAGAAUUGUCGAAGAUAUCGGGAGCCCUCAAAUUAUGUGGCAGUAAGGCUUAUGUGCUCAGGUACCNNNNNNNNNNNNNNNNNNNNNNNNNNNNNNNNNNNNNNNNNNNNNNNNNNNNNNNNNNNNNNNNNNNNNNNNNNNNNNNNNNNNNNNNNNNNNNNNNNNNNNNNNNNNNNNNNNNNNNNNNNNNNNNNNNNNNNNNNNNNNNNNNNNNNNNNNNNNNNNNNNNNNNNNNNNNNNNNNNNNNNNNNNNNNNNNNNNNNNNNNNNNNNNNNNNNNNNNNNNNNNNNNNNNNNNNNNNNNNNNNNNNNNNNNNNNNNNNNNNNNNNNNNNNNNNNNNNNNNNNNNNNNNNNNNNNNNNNNNNNNNNNNNNNNNNNNNNNNNNNNNNNNNNNNNNNNNNNNNNNNNNNNNNNNNNNNNNNNNNNNNNNNNNNNNNNNNNNNNNNNNNNNNNNNNNNNNNNNNNNNNNNNNNNNNNNNNNNNNNNNNNNNNNNNNNNNNNNNNNNNNNNNNNNNNNNNNNNNNNNNNNNNNNNNNNNNNNNNNNNNNNNNNNNNNNNNNNNNNNNNNNNNNNNNNNNNNNNNNNNNNNNNNNNNNNNNNNNNNNNNNNNNNNNNNNNNNNNNNNNNNNNNNNNNNNNNNNNNNNNNNNNNNNNNNNNNNNNNNNNNNNNNNNNNNNNNNNNNNNNNNNNNNNNNNNNNNNNNNNNNNNNNNNNNNNNNNNNNNNNNNNNNNNNNNNNNNNNNNNNNNNNNNNNNNNNNNNNNNNNNNNNNNNNNNNNNNNNNNNNNNNNNNNNNNNNNNNNNNNNNNNNNNNNNNNNNNNNNNNNNNNNNNNNNNNNNNNNNNNNNNNNNNNNNNNNNNNNNNNNNNNNNNNNNNNNNNNNNNNNNNNNNNNNNNNNNNNNNNNNNNNNNNNNNNNNNNNNNNNNNNNNNNNNNNNNNNNNNNNNNNNNNNNNNNNNNNNNNNNNNNNNNNNNNNNNNNNNNNNNNNNNNNNNNNNNNNNNNNNNNNNNNNNNNNNNNNNNNNNNNNNNNNNNNNNNNNNNNNNNNNNNNNNNNNNNNNNNNNNNNNNNNNNNNNNNNNNNNNNNNNNNNNNNNNNNNNNNNNNNNNNNNNNNNNNNNNNNNNNNNNNNNNNNNNNNNNNNNNNNNNNNNNNNNNNNNNNNNNNNNNNNNNNNNNNNNNNNNNNNNNNNNNNNNNNNNNNNNNNNNNNNNNNNNNNNNNNNNNNNNNNNNNNNNNNNNNNNNNNNNNNNNNNNNNNNNNNNNNNNNNNNNNNNNNNNNNNNNNNNNNNNNNNNNNNNNNNNNNNNNNNNNNNNNNNNNNNNNNNNNNNNNNNNNNNNNNNNNNNNNNNNNNNNNNNNNNNNNNNNNNNNNNNNNNNNNNNNNNNNNNNNNNNNNNNNNNNNNNNNNNNNNNNNNNNNNNNNNNNNNNNNNNNNNNNNNNNNNNNNNNNNNNNNNNNNNNNNNNNNNNNNNNNNNNNNNNNNNNNNNNNNNNNNNNNNNNNNNNNNNNNNNNNNNNNNNNNNNNNNNNNNNNNNNNNNNNNNNNNNNNNNNNNNNNNNNNNNNNNNNNNNNNNNNNNNNNNNNNNNNNNNNNNNNNNNNNNNNNNNNNNNNNNNNNNNNNNNNNNNNNNNNNNNNNNNNNNNNNNNNNNNNNNNNNNNNNNNNNNNNNNNNNNNNNNNNNNNNNNNNNNNNNNNNNNNNNNNNNNNNNNNNNNNNNNNNNNNNNNNNNNNNNNNNNNNNNNNNNNNNNNNNNNNNNNNNNNNNNNNNNNNNNNNNNNNNNNNNNNNNNNNNNNNNNNNNNNNNNNNNNNNNNNNNNNNNNNNNNNNNNNNNNNNNNNNNNNNNNNNNNNNNNNNNNNNNNNNNNNNNNNNNNNNNNNNNNNNNNNNNNNNNNNNNNNNNNNNNNNNNNNNNNNNNNNNNNNNNNNNNNNNNNNNNNNNNNNNNNNNNNNNNNNNNNNNNNNNNNNNNNNNNNNNNNNNNNNNNNNNNNNNNNNNNNNNNNNNNNNNNNNNNNNNNNNNNNNNNNNNNNNNNNNNNNNNNNNNNNNNNNNNNNNNNNNNNNNNNNNNNNNNNNNNNNNNNNNNNNNNNNNNNNNNNNNNNNNNNNNNNNNNNNNNNNNNNNNNNNNNNNNNNNNNNNNNNNNNNNNNNNNNNNNNNNNNNNNNNNNNNNNNNNNNNNNNNNNNNNNNNNNNNNNNNNNNNNNNNNNNNNNNNNNNNNNNNNNNNNNNNNNNNNNNNNNNNNNNNNNNNNNNNNNNNNNNNNNNNNNNNNNNNNNNNNNNNNNNNNNNNNNNNNNNNNNNNNNNNNNNNNNNNNNNNNNNNNNNNNNNNNNNNNNNNNNNNNNNNNNNNNNNNNNNNNNNNNNNNNNNNNNNNNNNNNNNNNNNNNNNNNNNNNNNNNNNNNNNNNNNNNNNNNNNNNNNNNNNNNNNNNNNNNNNNNNNNNNNNNNNNNNNNNNNNNNNNNNNNNNNNNNNNNNNNNNNNNNNNNNNNNNNNNNNNNNNNNNNNNNNNNNNNNNNNNNNNNNNNNNNNNNNNNNNNNNNNNNNNNNNNNNNNNNNNNNNNNNNNNNNNNNNNNNNNNNNNNNNNNNNNNNNNNNNNNNNNNNNNNNNNNNNNNNNNNNNNNNNNNNNNNNNNNNNNNNNNNNNNNNNNNNNNNNNNNNNNNNNNNNNNNNNNNNNNNNNNNNNNNNNNNNNNNNNNNNNNNNNNNNNNNNNNNNNNNNNNNNNNNNNNNNNNNNNNNNNNNNNNNNNNNNNNNNNNNNNNNNNNNNNNNNNNNNNNNNNNNNNNNNNNNNNNNNNNNNNNNNNNNNNNNNNNNNNNNNNNNNNNNNNNNNNNNNNNNNNNNNNNNNNNNNNNNNNNNNNNNNNNNNNNNNNNNNNNNNNNNNNNNNNNNNNNNNNNNNNNNNNNNNNNNNNNNNNNNNNNNNNNNNNNNNNNNNNNNNNNNNNNNNNNNNNNNNNNNNNNNNNNNNNNNNNNNNNNNNNNNNNNNNNNNNNNNNNNNNNNNNNNNNNNNNNNNNNNNNNNNNNNNNNNNNNNNNNNNNNNNNNNNNNNNNNNNNNNNNNNNNNNNNNNNNNNNNNNNNNNNNNNNNNNNNNNNNNNNNNNNNNNNNNNNNNNNNNNNNNNNNNNNNNNNNNNNNNNNNNNNNNNNNNNNNNNNNNNNNNNNNNNNNNNNNNNNNNNNNNNNNNNNNNNNNNNNNNNNNNNNNNNNNNNNNNNNNNNNNNNNNNNNNNNNNNNNNNNNNNNNNNNNNNNNNNNNNNNNNNNNNNNNNNNNNNNNNNNNNNNNNNNNNNNNNNNNNNNNNNNNNNNNNNNNNNNNNNNNNNNNNNNNNNNNNNNNNNNNNNNNNNNNNNNNNNNNNNNNNNNNNNNNNNNNNNNNNNNNNNNNNNNNNNNNNNNNNNNNNNNNNNNNNNNNNNNNNNNNNNNNNNNNNNNNNNNNNNNNNNNNNNNNNNNNNNNNNNNNNNNNNNNNNNNNNNNNNNNNNNNNNNNNNNNNNNNNNNNNNNNNNNNNNNNNNNNNNNNNNNNNNNNNNNNNNNNNNNNNNNNNNNNNNNNNNNNNNNNNNNNNNNNNNNNNNNNNNNNNNNNNNNNNNNNNNNNNNNNNNNNNNNNNNNNNNNNNNNNNNNNNNNNNNNNNNNNNNNNNNNNNNNNNNNNNNNNNNNNNNNNNNNNNNNNNNNNNNNNNNNNNNNNNNNNNNNNNNNNNNNNNNNNNNNNNNNNNNNNNNNNNNNNNNNNNNAUCGACCCAGGUAACAACCGUCCUGCCUGAGAUCUUCUAAAUGGUGCCCUCUCUGUAUCGAUGAAUAUGUUAGUCAUCUACCUCCUGUUCUUCUCUCUGAAGCAAUCGCGGGCUUAGCUGUGACGUACGUACUUAAUUUGAACACGAUACAAGAAAUAGUUAUUUUUAGUUUGUGUAAUAUGGAGAACAUAAUUAUAUCGGUUGAAAGGAUAAUUCAAUACGCUGGCAUCUCAAGUGAGCCCCCUCUUACAAUAGAGGAUGAUUGCCCCUGUCCUUCAUGGCCAACAUGUGGAGAGAUCGCCAUUUCCGAUCUGCAGGUGCUAGGAAAACUUUAUGUUAUGCCGAAACAAUGUGUCAGCAUGUUUUGUCCAGUCAUUAGGACAUAAUUGACCUUUCUGACAAUUUGGGCGGAAUGCCAGGUCCAGUAUGCUCCACACUUGCCGCUUGUUCUGCGAGGCAUCACGUGCACUUUUCCUGGAGGGAUGAAAACAGGCAUCGUGGGGAGAACGGGCAGUGGCAAAUCGACUCUCAUGCAAGCACUUUUCCGCAUAGUAGAACCUUGUGCAGGUCAAAUCCUGAUAGAUGGCAUUAAUAUCUCCUCAAUUGGGCUGCACGAUCUGAGGUCGAGAUUAAGCAUCAUCCCUCAAGAUCCAACCAUGUUUGAGGGUACCGUGCGAAGCAAUCUAGACCCUCUUGAGGAGUACUCUGAUGAGCAGAUUUGGGAGGUGCAUUCAUUUCUUUUCACGAUUGAAGUUCCUUCUCUAGCUUAUAUAAUGUGGAACUAUAAUCAGCUGAUCCAUCCUGCAAUUGUAGGCAUUGGAUGAGUGCCAACUGGGGGAUGAAGUCAGGAAGAAAGAAGGGAAACUGGAUGCAGCAGGUUAUCUUCUGUACCCUUUCACUUGACCAUCCAAGAAGUGUUUUAACACAUUCUAGGACGGAAUUUGUCUCAUCUCUUGCUCUAUUAUCUUUGACCUGCAGUUACUGAGAAUGGUGAGAACUGGAGCAUGGGACAGAGGCAGCUUGUGUGCCUCGGUCGUGUGCUGCUCAAGAAAAGCAAGAUCUCGGUACUUGACGAAGCUACUGCGUCCGUUGACACAGCCACUGAUAAUCUGAUUCAGCAAACGCUGAGGCAUCACUUCUCGGACUGUACUGUUAUGACCUUUGCACAUCGGAUCACCUCAGUUCUUGAUAGCAACAUGGUUCUUCUUCUAGAUCACGGUAUGUAGUUUUCAACACGAUCUCAUCUCAGCCUUCUCAUUCAGCUUAUGCUUCAUCAUUCUCUUUUUUUUUUUUUUUUCACCACUCUCUCUCUCUCUCUCUCUCUCUCUCUCUCAAAUCAUGUCCAGGCCUUGUUGCUGAAUGUGAUUCUCCAAGAAGAUUGCUGGACAACAAAUCCUCAUCGUUCACGCAGCUUGUAGCAGAGUAUGCAACGAGGUCUAAGUACGGUUUUGGAAAUUGAUGAACCACCUACUUCAAGUUGAUCAAGAACUGCUACUUCUAAAGAUGAGAGGAGGUGUCAGAGUAAUUCGUCCAGCCACGUCAUUGCCAGUAGCUCCAUAUUGGCUUAAACAUAAUCUGAUGCAAUUAAACAUGGACCACAAAGUUGAUAACUCUUUCUUCAGAAAACGAAACAUAUUGUUGCAAUACUUAUCAUCCAAAUGCUGGAAAAUUCUCAUCUAUAGGAAUUAACAUGCUUUGCGCAUUCCGUUUGCAUCAUUCUACUUUGAACAUCAUAUGGCAUAUGCAGCGCAUAACGUCGUCAUCCCUCACUUCCACCCAAAUUGCCUUCAAUCGGCCUUAUCCAGAUUCAUGUAAUUCAAUCCUACAGAACACAUAUGUCCAUUAGGUCCCCCAAACUCCCCAUAACUACCAACCCUUCCAUGAUCACCCACUAUAGUUUUGCAAGAAUAUAAUGUUAGUAAAAAGCUCAAGGUUAAGAUUCUAAAAAUUGUUUUAUUCUGACAGAGAAGCAGUUGUUUGUUAAAAAAAAAAAAAAAAAACAAACUCACUCCCUUAAACUGCUCCGCAUUCACCGUUAUCAUUAUUGGGCCGCCAUCAUCGAUUGGAGAUCGCUCAUUGAUCAACAGUAGUGCAGCUGGUCACUGAAGCUGCCCAUGGCCGCCGCCCAACGCAGCGCCUCGAAACACCUGUUGCUAGACUCGAAAAACAUCCCACCUACCGCCUGCCGAUUACCGCCGCGCUUGAAGACAACCACCAUGGAAUCAAGCACCACCUUCACCACAAUCAGAUUCGGCCCCCACAGCCAACUUCACAGUUGACUGCCACCGAACUCAUCCUACCACCACAGCUAGCACCAUAAGACGCGGCCGCCAUCGCCAAACUCCCCCACCACCAUCACCAGAUCGGGUCGCCACCGCCACCACCAUGCUCGCGGCCACGGCAGCUGGAGCUUCGUUGAGCUAGUGGCCACGGCUGCUCAAGCUUCGUCGAGCUUGGGACCAGGGUCGCUUGAGCUUCGUCGAAUUCGAUAAAUCACGAACCAAGCAAUGGCCAGUAUCAGAAAAUCGAGCGCAUCUUCUCCUACAUAUAUCACAUAUCUAUCCAGUAAUGGAAGAAUCAACAAAUAACAGGUUAGAGAAAGUUACUGGAGACGGACGCAAGCAAGAUUUGUUCCCCCUGUUCUUCGUGUCCCUUUCUCUUCCCAUUUUCUUUUUUUUCUUAUUUUCUUUUUUCUUUUUUCAGUUUUCAGCUUCCUAUUUUUUUAAAUUUUUGAGCUAUUUUUUAAUGCAAUGCCUCGUGGGCGCCAUGUGUCUCCAAAUUAUAAUAAAUUCCGGGUCAUCUUUUUUCUGUCCAUCAAUUUUGCCGGAGUUAAAAGAGGAACUCAAUUGCCUUUUUUUUUCAAAAUAUACUACUUAAUUGCACUUUCACUACAAAUUAAAUGUAUUAGAGAAAUCUCGCAUUGAAUAGUUUGUGUGGUUUGAAGCCGCUAAUGUGUAUUAGUUGAUCCAUAAGUCAUUGGCUUUAGUGUUGAAGUAAAGAUUAGUCCAAUUGAAUAUGUAUGUAUUUUUUUAUUAUUAAUAAUUGGAUAUGUUUGUUGAUUGGUUCAGAUUUUGACUCUCUCUUGAAUAUCUCCCCAACUAAAGAUAUUGGACUUCUAAUUAUCGGCCCAACAUUUUCCUUGCGAAUGCUUUAUCUAACUCAUAGAACGUUGAUCAGCUUGCCUAUACUUAUAGGAAAACUCUUGUACAAUCACAAGGCACCUUUCCCUAUGGACGGUUAAGAGAAGGAAACUGUCUUAUGGGCAAUUUAGCAGGACCCUGAACUCCCAAUUCACCACUUAUUCCCACCGAUCAUAUAGUCAACGGUCAACUCAAGAAACCUCCUUUCUCUCAUCCAUGGGAGGCGUAUAGCUCCCACCCACUUGACAGAAAUCCCAAGGAGCUUACCGAGAAUGGAGCUUUUCGAUUCACCAAAGCAGGUUCUAGAAAUCUUUUUCUCGAACUUCUCCACUCUGAUGUCUUCAGGUGGCGGUUUUCUGCUCAAGACCACGUUUUUAGGGGGUUCUCCUGGUUCUUUGCACUUGAUUUUGUUGCUUGGGCUCUUGAUUUUAUGGGCGUGCAAGAGGCUUGUCCGUAUUUAGUCUGGUCUUGUGUGUGACAAAUUACUUUUACUGGUAUAGAAAUGAUUGGUUGGAAGAGAAAUUGGUGUGUCUGUUGGAUUUAGCGCUGAAAACUAUUGCUUGGGGAGCUCGGAUGUUUAUUUAUAUGGCCAAAGCUCCAAUUUUGGACAAGUUUCCCUCUUCUAUUGAGAGUUUGGUGGGGUUUCUACUUAUCUAUCUCGUGUUAUAUCCUAGUCAUAGACAUUGUUCUGUCUGCCAAGCAUGCUCCAGUGCAAACUUGGUAUAUUAUUUCUGAUAUAGUUACUGUUGUCACCAGUUUAUUCUGUUGUUAUGUGGGGUUCUUCGGUAAAAUUGAGAUCGAUGACAAUCUCCUCAAAGAACCCCCUUUAAAUGGUGAUCCAGUUACAGUUGGUGCAGAACUGAAUAAGUGCCGAGGAGGUGAAACUGCGAGCCCUUACUCAAAAGCGGGUUUGUUUAACAUUAUAACCUUCUCGUGGCCGAGUCCUCUAAUUGCUUUAGGGAAUAAGAAAGCAUUGGACCUGGAGGAUAUUCCUCAACUUUAUUCUCGAGACAGUUUAGUUGGCACGCUACCUGAUUUCAAGAAAAGGCUUCAGCCGGCUGUUGGUUCAAGCACUGGAAUGACUUCAUUUGGGCUGGCGAAGGCUUUGAUUUUUUCUGGAUCCAACCAUGUUUGAGGGUACCGUGCAAAGCAACCUUGACCCUCUUGAGGAAUACACUGAAGAUCAGAUUUGGGAGGUCGGUUCAUUUUCUUCCCCAGUUUGAUUACAAAAUUUCUGUGAAUAGAAGUUCUUUUGUAGCUCAUGCAACAUAAACCAUAGUCAGCAAAAGCUAAUCCAUCCUGAAAUUCUAGGCAUUGGAUAAGUGCCAACUCGGGGAGGAAGUGAGGAAGAAAGAAGGGAAACUGGAUUCGCAAGGUUCUUUCAGGACCUUUUCUUCAACUGUACUUGUUUGUGCUUCUAUUACCGGCAGAAAUUCUGCAGCAAUUCAGAAUUCAAAUUGUAGAAAAUUAAAAUUGAAAUUUCUUUUCUGCCAUAUUCCAGAAUUGUACUUGUUUUUAGCUCGCUCAUGAGACGCUUGACCUACAGUUGCAGAGAAUGGAGAGAACUGGAGCAUAGGACAGAGGCAGCUCGUGUGUCUCGGUCGUGUCCUGCUCAAGAAAAGCAAGAUUUUGGUACUAGAUGAAGCCACUGCUUCCAUCGAUACAGCCACCAAUAAUGUGAUUCAGCAAACUUUGAGGCAUCACUUCGCCGACUGUACGGUUAAUACCAUUGCACAUCGGAUCACUUCUGUUCUCGACAGCGACAUCAUUUUUCUUCUAGACCAUGGUUAGUAUUUCAUGACACGAUCUCAUCUCGGCCUUGCAUGUUUGGCUCAUGCUUCAUCAAUAUCUCUCUCUCACUUUGAAUCUGUGUCCAGGCCUUGUUGCUGAAUAUGACUCUCUGAAAAGAUUGCUAGACAAGGAAUCCUCGUUCGCGCAGCUCGCAGCAGAGCACGCAACGAGGUAGCGUUCAGUUUCAGCAGCUAAAACGAUGUGAAUUUUGUAUUUCUCCAGACAAAGAUGAGAUUUCAAAAAACUAAGUUGUAUUGAAUAGACAUUUCGAUAUCUGUAAGUAUGUUUCUUUUGAUUAACUAAUUAAAAGUUUCACUACAACAAACUGAAUCAACUGAAUAUUUCCAAUUAAGUCAUACUAGUUAUUGCUCCAAAAUAAGUAUAUGUCUUGCAUCACGAAAGAUAGAAUGAGUGCAUCUUAAAAGCAGAAAAUUAGAUUAAAUGAAUAUAAAUACUUUAUGUUUUGAAUAAGGUAUUAUCUUAAAUUUUUAUAUGAAGGUAUACUGCAAGUUUAAGAUAAAUAUUAACUCCUUCAACUAAAAAAUACAGCAGUCUAAAUUAACUAAAAAGAAUUCAAUUUAUAAAUCAUCUUAAUUAUUGAUCCAAAGUAAGUGGAUUUGUUGCAUCACAAUAGAUAUACUUAAAAUAAGUGCAUUUGAAAAGCAGAAAAUUAAACUAAAUAAAAUGUAAGUAUGUUAUUUUUUCAAUAAAGUAUUACCUUAAUUUUCGUUAUUUUAAAGAUGUAAUGCCAGUUUAAGAUACAUAGUGUUUCGAUUGUAAGCUUGAGGUGACGGGGUUCUUGUUCUGUUUAAUUGAUAAAGUAUAUCUCAAUAAGCUAUCCUUAUUAAAAUUUUAUUAUUUUUUAUUCAAGUAGCAAUAAAAAUAAUUUAUGUGUCAACUUAUAGAAUUUAACUACUCGAAUAAAGCAACUAUAUCUGUGACAUCCUGAUUUCAACCAUGUCUCGAUAAUGUGAAUUGAGAUUUUCAUCGACACACUUAUAGUCUUUUUCUCUGAGCUGAUCACUCACGAGAUAACUAAUAUAUCAGGUGAAGCUGUUAAGGAAUAUAAACGUGACUAACUUGAAAAUUCGAUCAGAAACCAACUGCUCAACCGUACUAAUCUGCAAGAGUUAAUACGGCAUCAUUAAAAUCAAUUAGAGACUGGAAAUAUGUCAAUUCGACAGAGGCAUGUAAUUAAAUUGUGGGUGAUUCCACCUGAUUGCAAAAUUUAUGUCGAACAGCACUAAAUCGAUUUUUCUGCCGAUUUUGUACCCUAUGCCCGUAAUUGAAAUUUUGAGAUUUUUACAACAACCAAGAGUUACUUAUGAGUCGGAGAUGCACGAUGUGAAUCGAAAAUAAUCGAUCACGGGUCAAACACGUUAAAAAUUCCUAAAAGCUACCCGAUAGGUUAGGUCACGCUAAAAUCACGUACGUUUGAAAUUAACCACGAAAUCGAAUCCGGUUUCAGGAAUCGAAAGUUCUGGCAUGUCACGAUUUAUUUUUAAGAUGUCGACUCAUCCUUUGAAGAAAUUUCGACAAGCUUGGAAUGUUUGGCGAAAAAUCAAAAUUCAGCAAAAUUGAUUCAAGAAAUUCGGAGGGCCACCUUGGUGUGAAUUUGGCAUUCAAGUUGGAUUGUUUGGUGAUGGAAAAGGUGGAAAUUCGUUUGGGCUUCCUCCUCAGCAACUUGACCAUCAAUUGGAGGUUAUUUGGAGUUAAAUUGAAUUGAAUUGGUGAGGGAAAUACUUGAAAUUUGUAGGCUAGGGGGCUGCAACAUUUGGCCAUCACCUUGGCUUGUUGGAGAAGUUUGAGAAGGGAAAUGGCUGCUGGAUAGGGGCUAAAGACUUUGGGGGCUAAUACUCAAGUGUUUUGAGAUAUUUUGGGUGGACUUUGGAAGCCCUUUGUCCCCUCCUUCCCUAGUAGUAGCUUCUUCUUCUUAUUCCUCAGUUUCUUCUUCAUUUCCUCCAGCUGAAACAUUCAUUUCCAAAGCAGCAAGACAACCACCGGCCCCUCCAUCCUUACUGCUUCGUCCGCCAGCCACUACACCACUGUUCGAGCCUGCCGUCACCCUAGUAGCCAAUCGCCAGUCGUCCCGAGCCCGUGUGUCCAAAAGGCCAGUGAUGUCGUUCGGCUCGCUAGCCGUCUAUGUGCCAUCCCUGCUGUUCCGUCGACCAAGCUGCCCGUUCGCCUACAAGCCACCGGCGUCGCUCCAACUUGUUCCCGUUGCCACCUGGUCCUGUCACGCCCCGAACCUUGAGCACAUGCCCAUCCCUCUCUAAUCGAUAAAAUUUUGCGACUUCCCAAGACGAGUCGCUGACCCUUUCAUUUUAUUGUGCAUGCGUAAGUGAAAAUAAAUCCCCUAACAGUAAUUAUCUCGAGAUAGAAAAGCAGGACAACAUAUUCACAAACAAACAUGCUUUUAUAUAUAUACUGAGUCAUGUACAAAAGGCUAAGGUCAAAAGACUACAAAAGACUAGUCUUCCAAAAAGAAGCGAUCCUAACUAACCUACGAUUCCGUUCACCUCCUCUCAGCUCUAAGUCCUCCACUCGACAACCCUGAAAAUGGUUAUAUAAUAACCAGUGAGACAAUGUCUCAAUAAGUCCAUGCUCUAAACCCCGAUUAGGAGGGAAAUACACCUAGAAGCACCCUAAUCAUGCAACCAUACAAUCACAGAGCCUUACCAUGGCCUCAGAUCCACCUUGCAAGUCAGUACAAUUUAUAACUCAGACAACAUGAAAGCAUGAACAACAACCAAGCUUAAUUAACUAGAACGUCAUAUUGAAAUUCUCAAGUAAGCACAGGAAUCCUGAUUAUAGGGCCAAAUAUUCAACUCAAUUAAACAUGCAUUCCUAGUUUUGAUCUCGGCAUAUAGCACGGCCUACUCUCUGUUUGACGGUCUUCUAGCAUUGCCAAGCAUCGUCUCACCCCAUUGAACACGGCACGUCUUUUUAUCAAAUGGCUUUCUCGAAAGAGCAUAGGGUCCAGAAUCUACUGCGACCGGCUUCCCGUUUUUCAGGGGGUAUCCCAAAUAAGGAUAACAUCCAGCUUAACAGCCCCGGACGAUUUCUCUUAACCAUCACACAAUCACUCAAAUAUGGCCUAGGGUACCGUGCAUUGCACUCAAAUACUUUAAUUAAAAUGGUGAACCUAGCAUUUUUCUUCGUAUUAGAAAUACGCUUGAAAAUAUUCGUGUGUGGGUACACGAUCAACUUGACCCAGAAAAAUUGACAUUCUUUCUUUUUAAAAUCCCACUAUUUUAUAUAGUACUUAAAGCCAUUUUCGAUGUCAAAAUCCAACACCUAGGAUUUUCUGAACAAAUACUGGAAAUUCACAAAUUUUUUGAAUUAAAUACCAAAAAUCAAAUUAGCAUUCAAUUUGCAUAAUUAGCACUCAAUUGUAGAAAUUAACCACACCAUUGAAAGUAGCACAAAAUUCCGGUCACCGACUAUCCCAGCCUAAUUUUUGGAAAAAUAAUUAAUAAAUAAUUAAAUUCGAAAUUUAAUUAAUUAAUUCAAUUUGAUUUCUAAAAAUACUAACCUAGGCCAAAAUUAUUAAAUUAAAUAUCAAUACAGACUCGGAAAAUUCCCAAACCCUUCUAGAAAAAUAAUGCAAUUUAUCUAGGCCUUGUCUAAACCAUGCUAACCGUCUAACAUGCUUAAUUAAAUAAUUAAAUUUCUAAUUUAAUCUAACUAACCACCUAAUUCCUAAUUACUAAAUCUAAACACCCCUUAAACGCCAUUAGCCUACUAAGAAGAGUUUAGAGUAUAAACUCACCGGUUAAUUGCGGAAACCGAUUCACCUCGACAACGGUGCGACGGCGGCCAAAUUUUGAAUUUUCGGCGACGUCGGCAGACACUCGGACUGGGCCUAAACGGGCCCAACAAAUCUCAGCCCAACCUAAGAUUUCCUUUUGAAUUGGACCAGGCCCGAAGCGAGCUAACUUCGCGGGCUUGGGCUGCUGAACUAGGCUUGGCUUCACGGGCUUCGAAUGGGCUGAGCUUGAUGGACUUUAUGUGGCACCCCGAACCCUUCGUAGGUCGCCACAAGCGCCAAUGUUACACCUUAUUACCUUUCUUCUUAGAAGAAGAAGCGUCGUAAUUCAUAGACACAUUUUUUUUUAAACGGUCCCAGCGUGACUCAUUAGCGGAAGCAAAUUAAAUCAUCACCAUCUCUCCCCCUACCAACCAUGAUACAAAUACACACCACUAAUCAUCAUGAUUUUAUAGACAAGCCAUGACACUUUAUUUACAUAUAUUUUCAAGAUGGGACUUCUUUGGGUCAAUACAUCAAAAGGAAAAACCAGGACUCAGCCACGUCCGGCCUAAAACCCCAAAAAGAACCCUCGACCCUCUACAUCUCACGUGCACAACUCCCAUCAUCAGUGUCAGCUAACUAUCCCAAAAAGAUCCAACUCCUACUCGUCACGCACGAACCUCACACCCAAUCCGGUGCAUCAGGGUGGUGGUGGCAACAUCCCUCUCAUCACCCCGUCGCGACGAAUGUGGACAAAGACAAACUCCUGGAUAAUCGGGCCCCUAGCUAGGCCUAUGCCGUACAUGACAAAACAACGCACUCAUAUAUACAUCAAUCCAGGCACAGAAGGACAGCUAAACUCCUCGCACUCAACCUCGACAUCGGAUGGUAGACUGUAAAAUACACCCUGCAUGACGGCAGGGAGCGGCAUGCUGCUAAUCUAAAAUGUUGGUCCCCAAAAGGGGUGAGUACAACCACUCAGCAGGUAAAUGAAUCCAAUAACCACUCAAUGCAUCAUACAAGUCAUACAUGCAUUUUAGGCAUUACUUACCUUGAAGCCAUGCGCAUACUAUCAUGCAUCAUCAUCACAAUCAUAACACAUACAUGUGUAUCAUCAUGUCAUACUCAUAUAGUUGUCAUCAUGACAUUAUUAUAUUACACAUAUGUCAUCAUCAUCAUACCAUACAUGUCAUCAUCAUCAUAUCAUACACAUAUCGUCGUCAUCAUGACAUCAUGACAUCACACAUGUCAUCAUGCCUUAUCAUAUAUCAUCAUCAUCAUCAUCAUCAUCAUGCAAAUCAUCAUGCCAUAUCAUAUAUCAUCAUCAUCAUCAUCAUCAUGCAUAUCAUCAUGCCAUAUCAUAUAUCAUCAUCAUCAUCAUCAUCAUGCCAUAUCAUAUAUCAUCAUCAUCAUCAUCAUCAUGCAUAUCAUCAUGCCAUGUCAUAUAUCAUCAUCAUCAUCAUCAUCAUCAUCAUCAUCAUCAUCAUCAUCAUCAUCAUCAUCAUCAAGACCUCAUCACACAUACUACAUGGUGCAAUUAUUUAUAAAAUAAAAUUCAUGGAAUUUAUGCCAAUUAAAAUAAUCCAUUUAUCAUGCCCCUUUUUAUUUUUUAUUUAUUUAAAUUCCAGCUUGUGCCAUUUUCAAAAAUAUUAAAUUUAAUUAUUUAUAUAAUCUCAAAAAUCAUAAAAUUAAGGCAAGUGAUAAACAAGACAAUAGGAUGAUGACUUCAUGUAAAAUACAUGGCCAAAUAAAAUUACACAUAAUUCCAUAAAUCACACAAAACAGCAUAUAAUUUUCGGAUGAAAUCAGAAUGCACAGUUUCCGAAGAAAUUCGAUUAAAAUAUCCAUAAGACCUCCAAAAAUUACGAAAUUUUACCAAGUUAUAGUCAAGACAUUAAAGUACAUUUUUCAUGAAGACUUCCAAGUCAGAUUCUUUUUAGAUAAAUUUCUACAGUCUCACGAAGCUUCUGGAUCCAACACCGAAUCGUCCAGUACAUGCUUCUCCGAAAUACUGCGUUUUCACCUACCUAUUCUUCUUCUUUUACUCUGAAAUUUGGAUAUGUUCUACAUCAAGAUGUUCUCUACAAGUUUCGUGAAGAGAUCCAAGUCAUAUAUCCAGAGUACAGUCGACAUUUAGGUCCAUGAAGUCUCGGGUGUCCUGUAAUACAUCUCCAGAAUUACCGUCUUCAAGAUCUAGUCGAUUUACUAGGUUAUACUUGUUCAUUUCACUUUAAAUUUGAGUAUGUUUUAAUUUAAUAUGUCCCCUACAACUUUCAUGAAGAAAUCUAAGAGAUAUUCUUAGCACAAAUCAACAUGCAACCACAAAUCCAUCAAAAGGUCAAUGAAAUCUUUCCAGAUCUGAGGUCUCCGUAGGAUGAGAGUUUAAGCCCUCAAAUCUCCAUCAUUUUCCACCAAAUUUUAGUAUGUUGUAUUUUAAGAUGUUAGCUACAACUUUCAUGAAUAUAUCAAAGCCAAAAUCGGACUUUAAACAUGCAUGCAAGCUCACACAACAUUCUGACUCGAGCGGAUUCAAACGAAAACAGCAACCUUGCUCAAGAACAAGUCAUCCAAGCUUCGGUUUUUCCUCUCCUAAUCACCCAAAAUUCGACGUACAUGUAACACACACACAUGCAAGAGCAGCUAGAGGACCCCAACUUGCCUCUAGACCGGACGGACGACGGCACACAGCGGCGAGCACGGCGGCACACGGCGGACAGACGACGAGCGACAGCGACUCCCUCCUCUCGGCUUCUCCUCUCUCGGCCACUCUCUCCCUCUCUCUCUCGCACAAUCUCUCUCUCUCUUUGGGCGAAUGGCUAACCGGCCACCUCUCUCUCUCUUCUUCCCUUUUAUUCCCCCCUAAACCUCAUCAUUAGUAAUCAUCACAUGCCACUUAAAUGAACCAAUGCAUAGAGGCUCUUCUUGCCACUUGGCAAGACCCAUGCAUGGCCCGACCACCUUCUUCUUGGGCCUCAAUGGGCCGGCGACAGCCCCUUCGUGGGCUCCUAUUGGGCCGACUAGCUUGGCCCACUAAAGCUUAGGCCAAUGGGCCUAAGGCCCAUCCUAAUAAAAUUUAAAUUUUCCCCUUUUCAUAAUUUCUUCUAUAAAUUUUAAAUUUUAAAUUCCACAUGGCUUAAGUCUUGUGACAUUUUAUUUAAUUCAUAAGGUGCAUGGCCAAGCAUAGAUUAUCAUUAUUAAUCUAUCAAAUUUAAAAUCUCAUGAACAUAAGCACAAAUCACCUAAUCUUAAAAAGAGACUAAUGGCUAAAGCAUAAACCAUAGGUAAUUUCAUUACCUAAUUAGAGGCUUUAACACACCUUAUAACUUGACUUUGAAUUUUUGGGAUGCCACACUUUACUAGGGUGAAUUCUUGGGUUGAAACUUACGGUCACAGCUGGGCUUGAAGAUGAAUUCGUGGGCCUGCGGUUGUGGGCCAAAGACUAAAGCUCACGGAAAAAUUCAUGGAGAUGCUGGACUUCGGCUUCGUUGGUGUGUGGACGACACUGCUGGCAGGAGCUUCUUCGGUUGAUGCUGCUGCUUCGCUGGCAGCUGAAGAAGACCAAAGCUGCUGGAGGUGGGCCAAACGUUGGGCCGAGCUGCUACAAACUGAAGUUACAACGGAGGAGAUGGCGAGACAUGGACGAAGAUGCUGGACAAGGAAGCAGUCAUUGUUCGUGGUGUGAAAGCUAGUAUGAGCACCUAGAGGGGGUGAAUAGGUGCAGAAACAAUUUUGCGAGAUAUGUGCAGUGCUAAUCAACAAUAGAUUAUGAAAAGGAAAUUCUCUCUUGUAAACAAAACGAGUUACGAUCAAAGUAAAAGAGUGUAAAGAAGAGAAUAUGAACACAGAGAUUAUAGUGGCUCGGCUUAAUUCAAGCCUACGUCCACUCUUCCGCACUGACAGCCCACUAGCUGGAUUUCACUAUGAACAAAAGAGUUGUUAUAGUUAGGCUCUUCCUUGAUUCCACAGUGUAGAGACUCUACUACACUUCCUCAAGGUCUCUCAAUGAUAUAAACUAUCUUUUGUGUACAAGAUUUCGCUCAACAGUUUAAUUGACUAAGAACAAGGAGCUUCAGACUUUGGAAUUCUUCUAUCGCGCACACACUUGAACAAUUGGAACGUCUUCCUUAUAUACUCCUUUAUGCCAUCAUACCCAUUGGCACUUACCAAAGGAAUUCUUCCAAUCUACCCGUUGGACAGAAUCAAUUAGGAAGAUCUUUGAGCUAUUUAAGGAACAUGACGAUAGCCCAUCAAUCCUGCUCGCCCAUACAAUCAAGAUCUUGAUUUUCAUAAGUAGAACAUUCCAAGUAUACUUCGCCAAUUAACGGAUCCACGAUUCCCAAAUCAAUCUUGAUUAGAAUAAAGGAUUCCAACAUGCUAUAUCCAGCCAAGAGAUCUUCUCCAGUCGAUAAAGUCAAAUCCUUGACGAAACAACUAGUUCUGGAUAAGUCUUCUUCGACGGACUAGAAACUGUUAAUGAGGAUAGACUUUGAGUCUUGAGUCUGGCAGUCCGGAGGUCUUCAGACUUUAAUGGAAGAGUCUCCAAGUCUUUAGACUAGACUGAUGGAAACGUUUUGUCAGCUUUAAAACACUCAAGGAAGUUUUCUCCAACAAUCUCCCCAUUUUUUAUGGUGACAAAACUUUCCUACAGAUUUGGAUAACUUUGACCUGCAAAACAUUACUCAAGCAAGUAUAGAUAUCUCACAAAGAUAAAUGGCUUAGUAAUAACACUAGAAUCUGCAUCCACAAAAAGUAGGUUAGUCUAAUGAACAAGGCCAUGAGAUAUCAAUAAUACUUAAGAUAAACAUAUGUUCAAACAGUCAAUUCCAAAUCCAGUCCAAAUCCAAAUAGCCAAACACAAACAUCGAGUCGAUCAAAAAAGCUUUAAAUCCAAACAGUCAAAUCUGCACAUCUCUCCCCCUUUUUGUCAUCAUUAAAAAGGUAGAGAUGAAAAGAGAAUGAAAUUAAGAUGGCUUGGGAACACGAACAAGCUGGAAAUCUCCCAUUGACUGGACAAUGCCUUCUAGCUUUUUCAAGUCCUCAUUCAGUUGCGCUACUUCUUCACCCUUAGCAUUUGCCUGAACUUGAAGAGCAAGGGCUUGGAGUUGAUCAUUCAAAGAAACUGAAGAAGCUUGUCUUGCAUUCUGCAUAUUCUGAAGUUCGCAUCCCAGAGCAUAGAUUUGACCUUUCAUCUCCAAAAAACAUCAAGAAUUCUGUGAAAGUCUGCUGAAUUAUCAGUCUGAGUACUUGCUUCUGCACGAUCAGAUGGUGUAUAAGCAGAUGAUGGCAAAUCAACAUUGUCACGCAGAUUGGGCAAUGAAACAUCGUGUCCCUCCUCAGGAAAUUGUGAGGCAUAGAUGUCCUCUGGAUCUGCUGGAGAGCGACUUACUCCUUCACUGGUGGCAGGGAUUGAGGAUGUUUCUCUUUUCUCAGGAUCUCCCCCUGUUUCCAUGCCUUCAGGUGGAGAAGAGUGUUUUUCAUGUUCUUUUUCUACUCUCUCUCUCUCUCUGCUUCUUCUUCUUCUUCUUCUUCUUCUUCUUCAAUUCUUUCCUCCUCUGCAUCUCUCUCCUCUGCUUCUUUCUCAAAAUCUUUACUUUCUCCAGUCCUCUGUUCUGUUUCAGCCAUGUCUUUUUCCUGUCUCUCCGUUGAUUCUGGUGUAGAACGACUCAAGUUCUUCACUCAUCCUCUUCAUCCUCAAUGAUGAGAGCUCUUCUUUUCUUGGAUGGAGCAACCAUGGGCUCCUUCCCUUUCCUUUUUGUAGUUGAAGAUAUUUAAAGAGAUUUGACAGGGGUUUUCUCCUUGAACUUCUCCAACUCCUUAUUGAGUUCCUUCAGACGCAUUUUAGAGACCAUUUUUAGUCCCACCACCAUUUGAUCACACGCUUGACCAUAAAGAAAUCGGGGAGGCUGAAUAUUCAAGUGUCUGAAUAACUUGGUCACAAGAGCUGGAUAAGGAAGUUGACCCUUGUCCUUCACCACUGCCCUGUACAUGUGGAACAUAAUAGUGUGUGAAAGAGAGAAUUUUUUCCCAGCAUUGAUGGCAUAUAUCAGCUUUGCCUCCGAGUUUGAAACAUCAGUCUUUGAAGUAGAUUUUGGUCUGAGGCAGUUAAUCACAAUCUUGUGAAGCAGAAUGUUGGUUGCAUUCAUCCUUGAAUAGGAAAUCUUUUCUUCCAUUCUUCGAUCUUUAACAAGUUCCAACGUUGCACGAGCAAUAGACACACUGAUAGGUUGAUAUCUCCCUCUUUCAACCCCAACCACAUCAGCCAAUGUAUUCAUGUCAACCACAUAAUCUUGAUCUCGAACAUUAAAAGAGAAUCUAUUCGCAGCCAAGAAACUAAGAUUCGAAUAGAAAUAAGCAGUAAGUUCAGCACAGGCUUCUGUAGAUUCAGAACAAAACUGUUCGAGUUGAAGAAGACUGAAUUUCUCUCGCAAAUUGACAUUCACAGAGCCAAGAAAAUCAAAAUCCACACUUCUAGGGUUUAUCACCUCACGCUUCAGCAACUUAGAGUACAGUUGCUUGUGUUCCUCCGAUCAAAACAAGUCUGUCCUUUUGCUUCGGAUUUUUGCUGCAACACCCAUUCUCGGUUUAAAUUGAUAGUACAUCCUAUCAUCGUCAUUCCCAUCUGGCUGACUCAGUCCUCCAACACGUGGAUCAGUUGGGAUAUUUGCCAAUGCCUCUUCCGCCGAUCCAGCAGGGGCAAUUCCCAAUCGUUCCAUUGUGCGUAGAAAAUAGGUUUCAUUUCAAUACCCUUUUUCUUUCAAAAAUUCGUCAAUGUAGUUCAAAGGAGUACCACCCCUCUUCAAAGCACGGUAAAGCUUAUAAGUAAAGCCAGGCUUAAGAGUUCUUACGAGUUCUGCGUCUUCGACGAUUUCUUCCUCUUCUCGAUGUGCAACAUCCUGAGGUCUAGAUGGAGGAGAUAGACGCUGCUGAGAAUGUUGUGGGCUCUGUUGCAGAUUAGGAGAUUCUUCUUCCUCGGUGAGAUCAAAGUGCGUAGGCCCCUCACGCAUCUGCUGUGGUCCCAUGUUCGCGAUCCUCAAAUACUUUCUUUGGGAAGACAUUUUUCACAGUUUUGGAGGGAUUCCAAGCUUGUUUUCUCAAGAAAGAUGACAACUUUUCGAAGAUUAAACAAGAGAAGAAGACAUAAAUGGAAGAUCGGUGCUCUUUUAGGGUUUUUGUGAGUAAAACGAAGAAGAACCGACAGUAUAUAAGACAAUCGAAGAGAUGCAUACGGAACGUCGUAAAAAGGAAAUAUAAAGAUGCCUUUUUAAAAAAUAACUGCUUUUUCAAAUAUUAGAUAACUGUCAUUUUAAAAAAUUUCUUUUUCAAAAAGGAAAGAUUACAAUAAUCAUGGAAAUUAAAAAUAGCAACAAUCAAUUACGGGUUGAUGAUCGUACCUUUUCGAGAUUUGAUUUGAGAGAUAAUAAAAUAACUUACAAAAAAUCUUGAUCGUCUAAGUCUGAGUGUCUUUAGACUUUUAGUCCUGGGUCUAAACUUCCUCAGACUUUAAGAUAUUGAGUCUAGAACGAAUAGCUUCAAAUUGAUUUUUCUCCAAAGGCUUUGUAAAUAUAUCCGCCAGUUGAUUCUUUGAGUCAAUAAACUAAAUCGAAACUUCUCCAUGUUGAACAUGAUCUCUAAUGAAGUGAUGUCGAAUCUCUAUAUGUUUUGCUCUUGAGUGAAGAAUCGGAUUCUUGGUGAGAUUGAUUGCGCUGGUGUUGUCACAUUUGAUUUCAGUGCAUGAAUAUUCAAUUCCAAAGUCUCUUAAGUAUUGUUUUAUCCACAAAAUUUGUGAACAAUAACUUCCAAGAGCUACAUAUUCUGCUUCUGCUGUAGAAAGAUCUACUGUACUUUGCUUCCUUGAAAACCAAGAUACUGUCCUGCUUCCAAGUAGUUGAUAGGUGCCCGAGGUGCUCUUUCUAUCAACUCUGCAUCCGGCUAGGUCUGCGUCUGAGUAUCCAAGAAGAGUAAAGUCUCCUUCUUUAGGAUACUAGAGACCCAAAGUUGAAGUUGAGGCAAUGUAUUUGAUAAUACGUUUUGCAGCACUUAAAUGAGAUUCUCUAGGGUUUGAUUGAAACCUGGCACAAAUGUAAACACUAAACAAAAUAUCAGGUCUAGAAGCAGUAAGGUAAAGAAGUGAACCAAUGAUGCUCUUGUAUAGCUUCUGGUCGACUUUCUUUCUUCCUUCAUCUUUGUCCAACUUCAAGGAAUUUGACAUUGGUACAUCAGUCUUUUUGCAAUUCUCCAGUCCAAACUUUUUGACAAGAUCUUUAGCAUUCUUUUCUUGAUGAAUAAAGGUUCCUUCCUUCAGUUGUUUUACUUGGAGUCCGAGAAAGAAGGUUAGUUCACCCAUCAUGCUCAUUUCAAAUUCAUCCUGCAUAGACUUAGAGAAUUUAUUGCACAGACUUUCAUUAGAAGAUCCAAAAAAUAAUAUCAUCAACAUAAAUUUGAACUAGUAGAAAACUUUUGCUUUCUCUUUUGAUAAACAAUGUAGUAUCUACUUUACCUUUGACAAAGCCAUUUUGGAUUUAGUCUAUCGUACCAAGCUUGAGGUGCUUGCUUUAGACCAUAUAGAGCUUUUUUCAGUCUGAAAACAGAGUCUGGUUUCCUUGGGUCUUCAAAACCGGAUGGUUGUUCCACAUAGACUUCCUCUUGGAUAAAUCCAUUUAGGAAAGCACUUUUGACAUCCAUUUGGAAUAACCUGAAAUUUUUAUGACAAGCAAAAGCAAGUAAUAAUCUAAUUGCUUCUAACCUUGCUACUGCUGCGUAAGUCUCAUCAUAGUCUAUCCCUUCUUCUUGCAUAUAUCCCUUGGCCACGAGUCUUGCUUUGUUUCUUACAACCUUUCCUUUCUCGUUCAUCUUGUUUCUGAAAACCAAUUUAGCUCCAAUGAUGGAUUUACCUUUCGGUUUAGGAGAUAAUUCCCAUACAUCAUUGAUAUUGAAUUGCCUGAGUUCUUCUUGCAUAGCUUCAAUCCAACUUUCAUCAGUUAGAGCUUCUUCUAUACUUUUGGGUUCUAUUUCAGAAAUAAAAGCUACAGCACUAGACUCUUCGCGCCUUUUGGAUCUUGUGCAAAUUCCUUCAUUAAUAUCGCCAAUAAUGAGAUCUGUGGGAUGACUGGACUUAUGCUUCCAGUUACUGGUUGAUUUGUCAGACUGUUGAUCUUUUUCUUCAUUUGAAUCUUCGACUAUCAUUUAUUGCUGGUCUUUUGAAGUCUGAACUACUUAUGGAGAUUUAGACUUUGUAGAGUCUAAAGCAGAUUCAGAUUCUUCAAGUUGAGUCUGAAUCGAUUCACUUUGCAUAGAGUCUUGAAAUUUGACAUUCAUUGAUUCCUUCAUAGAUUGAGUCUUUUUGUUGUAUACUCUGUAAGCUUUGCUUGUGGUCGAAUAUCCAAGAAAGAUCCCUUCGUCUGAUUUUUCUUCAAACUUCCCAACUCAAUCAUUUGCAUUUUUCAAAAUAAAAAAUUUACAUUCAAACACGUGAAAAUAUGAAACAAUAGGCUUCUUACCUUUGAAUAACUCGUAGGGAGUUUUCUCCAGAAUAGGUCUUAGAAAAACUCUAUUAAUGAUAUAACAUGCUGUAGAAACUGCUUCAGCCCAAAAACAUGAAGAGAUGUUACUUUCAAUUAAAAGAGUUCUAGCCAUUUCCUGAAGCAACCUUUUUUUUCUUUCCAUGACUCCAUUUUGCUCUAGAGUAUAUGGAGAAGAGAACACAUGCUGAAAAACCAGAUUCAUCACAAAAUCUUGUAAAGUCUUGAUUUUCAAAUUCGCCUCCAUGGUCAGUUCGUAUACUUGAAAUAACAUACCAUUUUUCAUUUUGAACCUUUUUAGCAAACUUUUUGAAGUAAGAAAAGGUUUCAGACUUACUUACCAGGAAAUAUACCCAAGUGAAUCGUGAGUAGUCAUCCACAAUUACUAGGCAAUAUUUCUUACCUCCAAUGCUCUGAGUUCUGGUUGGUCCAAAGAGAUCUAUAUGCAAAAGCUGCAGUACACGAUUAGUAGAAACUUGAUUUAUUGGUUUGAAUAAGUUUCUUACCUAUUUUCCCAACACGCAUGGUGUACAUAGAUCAGUCUUUUGAAAUGAAAGAUUGGGUAGACCACGAACAACCUUCUUUGCUGAAAUUUUGGCUAUUUGCUUCAUGUUGAUGUGCCCAAGUUUUCUAUGCCAUAAGUUUGCUUCUUCUUGAAUUGAGAUUAGACAUUGAGCUUCAUCUAGUUUGACAUCCAAGAGGUAGAUAUUUCCAUGUCUUCGACCCAUGAAAGACUGAGAGGAAUCUUUACUAGUUCCUGAACAUAUUCUCUCUUGAAAGUUGACUUUGAAACUGGUGUCGCACAACUGACUGAUACUAAGCAAAUUGUAGUUGAGUCCUUCCACUAAAGAAACAUUACUGAUCAUGAGACUUCCAAUCUUUACAGUUCCGAAUCCCACAAUUCUUCCUUUGAUAUUUCCUCCAAAUGAAACUUUUCCACCAUUAACUUGAACAAGUUUUAUGAAGCAAUUUGAAUCUCCUGUCAUAUGCCUUGAGCAUCCACUAUCCAGGUACCAUUUAAUCUUUCUCUUGAUAGUGACCUGCAUUUAGAAAAGAGACUCAAGCUUUCUUUGGUACCCAUAUUUUCUUGGGUCCAUUGGUGUUAGUAUGAUAUAAUGUCUUUGCCCAUACCUUCUUAACAUGUUUCCAAACCAUAGAACAUUCUUUUUCAAAAUGAUCUGAACUAUUGCACUUAGAACAUUUAAGAGCACUACGACCUACUGGUUUUACAAACACUUUUUGGAAAUGAUUUUUGUAAGCAUUUCUCGUAGGUCUUUGCUUAAUUCUUUCUUUUACUUUAGGAAAAUCAAUUAGAGGAAUGGUUUUAGCAGUCAUUCCUAAACAUGAUUUAUUGAAGUAAGGUCUUUGUGCUGAAAGAAUUUUCUUAAGUUUCUCAGAUCCUAUAGAAAAUCUUUUAGAAAUAUUUGAGAUGUCAUUUUUCAAGAAUGCAUUUUCUUUUGAAAGAUUGUCUUCAUUUUCUUUCAAGGUAGAAACACUUUUGUCUAAACUUUUGACCUUUUCUUUCAAAACAUUUUCCUGUUGUUUUAGUAAAGAAUUUUCUCUUUUAAAUUCGGAAAUCCUUUUAAAAGAAGUCUUGAGACUAAGACACAGUUCAUCAAUGUAUCUAGAUACUUUAGUAGGGAUUUUCAAGUUACUUACCUCGAUUUCACUGUCUGAAUCUAAGUUUGUUUCGGAGUCUGAGUCUAAUUGUGCCAUGAGACAAAUGUUGGCAUAAUCAUCAUCACUUUCUUCACAUUCUGUAUACUCCAAGUUUCUGCUUUGAGUGCCUUUCGAUACUUCUCAGUUUUUCCUUUCUUUUUCCUCAGAAUGGGACAAUUGGGUCUGAUGUGUCCUUUUUUCUUACAUUCAAAACAGACUAUAUCUCUAUUGGAUUCAUCAUCCUCAACAGACUUACUCUGUUGCUUUUGAAAACUCUGUUUCUUUGGAUGAAUAUUCUUCCCUUUCUGUUUAGCUUUCUGAAUCUUCUUAUCAUGAGAGCAAGCUCUUCAUCAUUCAUAUCGUCUUCAGAAUUUGUGACAUCAUAAUUAUUAUUAGAUUUUAAUGUAAUGGAUUUCUUACCUUUAGGAUCUUCAUCUUCGUUGAUUCGCUCCACUUCAUAAGACUGAAGAGUCCCAACCAACUCAUCAACAGAGAGUGGCAUAAUUCUUUAUGUCUCCCUUAUUGAGGUCUUUAUGUGAUUCAAUCCUUGGAGAGUCCACGCAAUAGCUUGUUUACUUUCAUGGGAUCAGAAAUUGGUUGACCUUGAUUUUCAAGACCAUUCACUAUCUCUGUAAAACGACUAAACAUGUCAGUGAUAGAUUUUCAUGUUUUUAUUUUGAAUGCUUCGUAUUGUCCGAGCAGAAUGUUGAUACUGGUUUCUUUCACUCGGUCAGUUCCUUCAUAAGUGAUGUGUAAUCUAUCCCAGACUUCUUUAGCUGUAAUACAAGAAGAUAUUCUAUUAUAUUCAGUAGGUGAUAAUGCACAAUAUAAAAAAUAAAUAGCUUUUACAUCAAGAGCUUGUCUCUUGGUUAUCUCUUCUUGAGUCAUUUCGCUAGACUCAAUGGUUUAUUUUCCUCUUUCUGAGAUAGGUGUAGCUUUAGGAAUGAUUCCUCUGUCUACCACAUCCCAUUCUAGAGGAUCCUUUGAUCUUAGAAAUGCUUUCAUCUUGUUUUUCCAUAUGUUGUAUUCCUUUCCAUCAAAAUAAGGCGAUCUGGUAUUGCUUUGCCCUUCAACCAGUCCUGGAGCCAACAUACUAACCAUGGAUCCUUUAACUCUGAAGUAAAAUACUUCAAUUCAAGUGAGUACACAAGCUCUUAUACCAAUUGUGAAAGCUAGUAUGAGCACCCAGAGGGGGGUGAAUAGGUGUAGAAACAAUUUUGCGAGAUAUGUGCAGUGCUAAUCAACAAUAUAUUAUGAAAAGGAAAUUCUCUCUUGUAAACAAAACGAGUUACGAUCAAAGUAAAAGAGUGUAAAGAAGAGAAUAUGAACACAGAGAUUAUAGUGGUUCGGCUUAAUCCAAUCCUACGUCCACUCUUCCGCACUGACAGCCCACUGGUUGGAUUUCACUAUGAACAAAACAGUUGUUACAGUUAGGCUCUUCCUUGAUUCCACAGUGUAGAGACUCUACUACACUUCCUCAAGGUCUCUCAAUGAUAUAGACUCUCUUUUGUAUACAAGAUUUCGCUCAACAGUUUAAUUAACUAAGAACAAGGAGCUUCAGACUUUGGAAGUCUUCUAUCGCGCACACACUUGAACAACUGGAACGUCUUCCUUAUAUACUCCUUUAUGCCAUCAUACCCAUUGGCACUUACCAAAGGAAUUCUUCCAAUCUACCCGUUGGACAGAAUCAAUUAGGAAGAUCUUUGAGCUAUUUAAGGAACAUGAUGAUAGCCCAUCAAUCCUGCUCGCCCAUACAAUCAAGAUCUUGAUUUUCAUAAGUAGAACAUUCCAAGUAUACUUCGCCAAUUAACGGAUCCACGAUUCCCAAAUCAAUCUUGAUUAGAAUAAAGGAUUCCGACAUGCUAUAUCCAGCCAAGAGAUCUUCUCCAGUCGAUAAAGUCAAAUCCUUGACGAAACAUCUAGUUCUGGAUAAGUCUUCUUCGACGGACUAGAAACUGUCAAUGAGGAUAGACUUUGAGUCUUGAGUCUGGCAGUCCGGAGGUCUUUAGACUUUGAUGGAAGAGUCUGCAAGUCUUCAAACUAGACUGAUGGAAACGUUUUGUCGGCUUCAAAAUACUCAAGGAAGUUUUCUCCAACACGUGGCUCCUUGCUGGGCUUGACUCGGUGUCGUUGAACAAGAGGUUGCGUGGAUGGAGUUCGGUGGAAGUGGCAAAGACUGAGGGAAAUGAAAUGGGCGGUGGCAGGGGUUGUCUUCGGUGAGUUGGUAGCUUGAGAUGGAGCACGAUCGCUGGCAGCAAGCGACUAGGUCUCUUCGGUAGUCAACUAAGGAGAAGGGGAAGUUCUUUUGUUGACCGAAGGGACUUGGCUCAUGGACAAGUGUCCAUGGGUGAAGGGAAGAGGAAAAUCUUGGUGAGUGGAGAUGGACGCAGGGGCGGCUUUGAAGGAAAACAAAAAGGGAAAUGAAAGGCAAAGUAAAAGAAAACGUGAGCAUGAGAGGUCGAGAGAGAGAGAGAAGUGCUCGAAGAUGGAGGUGGAGUCGGCGACGCCAACUUGCCCGAGAAGAUUUGUACAAAAAGAAAGGAAAUAGUCAAUAACCCCUAGCCACUCCAUUAAUGGCUUGUCCCCCAAUACUUUCCAACCAAAAUUCCCACAAAUAACCCCAAUUCAAGUCCUAAUUUUUCAGCUUUAUGUUCAAUUUCGAAUUUCACUAUAUUAAAUUCAAUUUCCUUACUCAAUUUCUCAAAUUGAGAUCCAAUUUUGCUGAAGAAAAAUCCCAAACAAUUUUUUGCAAGUCCUCGACAUUCAAAGGCUCGACUCGGAAGUCCAAAUUCCCUUAAAUUCGGCCGUACGAAUUUCCGUUAAUUUUUCCGCAAUGUCCGAAUGAUUUUCUGUAAAAAUACCGGAAUCUCUAAAAAAUCUUUGAAGGAUGAGCCGGCGUUCCUAAAAUAGCUUGUGACACCACAGAACUUUCAAUUUCUGAAAUUGGGUUCAAAUUCACUCCGAUACGUUUUUAGUGUAACCUAGCCUAUUGGGUAGUUUUUAGGAAUUUUUAGUGCAAUUGACCCGUGAUCGAUUUAUCUCGAGUCACAAUGUACAUCUUCAACAUAUUGGCGACUCUCGAUUGUAGUGAAAAUCUCGAGAUUUCAAUUACAGACACUGGAUACUAAAAUGACAGAAAAAUUGGUCUAAUGCCGAUCGACGAGUAUUUUGCAAUCAGGUGGAUUCACCCACACUCCGAUCACAUAUCUCAAUCGAAUCGACCUAUCUUCAAUCUCUGAUCGAUUCUGACAGUAUCAUAAUGACCCUUGCAAAUCAACACGGUCAAACAGUUGAUUCCUGGUCGAAUUCUCAAGUCCAAUUGCUUUUAGAUUCCUUAAUUGCUUCCCCAGAUAAUCUAGUUAUCUUAUGAGUAAUCAGCUCAGAAAAUAACACUAUAGGCGCGUCAAUGAAAGGCCCGAUUUAUUUAAUCGAAAACGAGAUUUGAAAAUUCAGGCUAUCACAACUCUUCCCCUCUUAUAAAAAUUUCUUCCUCGAAAUUUAAACCUUACAAAACUUAAGCAAAAAGAUGGGGGGGGGGUACAAUUCUCUCAUCGACUCCUCAGUUUCCCAAGUUGCUCCUUCAGUGCCGUGGUGUUGCCAGAUCACUUUGACCAACGGGAUGGUCUUGGUGCGCAGGACCUGCUCCUUGCGAUCUACAAUUUGAACCGGGCUUUCAACGUACGAUACUCUGUCGUUCACGUCGAAUUCCUCAAAAUUGAGCACGUGGGUCGGGUCAAGCUUGUACUUCCUCAACAUUGACAUGUGAAAGACGUUAUGCACUUGUGCCAACCUCGGCGGGAAUGCAAGACGAUACGCUAAGGUCCCAAUUCUCUCUAGAAUUUCAAACGGACCUACGCUCAGGCUCAGUUUGCCUUUCUUUCCAAAGUGCGAAGUUUCUCUCAUUAGUGACACCUUCAGAAUAACGUGAUCACAAACUUAGAAUUCCAAUAACUUCCGACGCUUGUCUGCGUAACUUUUCUAUUUGCUCUGUGCGGUCUUUAAUCUACCUCUGAUUACUACCACGGCAUCCACUGACUACUGGACUAACUCUGGGCCUGUAAUCUUUCUUUCCCCAACUUCAUCCCAACACACUGGUAUUCUGCAUGCUCUGCCAUACAACGCUUCAAAAGGAGCCAUCUGAAUGCUCUGUUGGUAACUGUUGUUGUAGGCAAAUUCCACUAGGUGAAGUUGAUCUCCCCAACUUCCUUUGAAGUCUAAUACACAAGCUCUGAGCAUGUCCUCGAGGGUCUGAAUUGUUGUCUCAGACUGACCAUCCAUCUGAGGAUGAUAGUCGGUUGUUAGAAUUUCGUAUUGAUCGUCGUGGUGUAGUUGGUUUAUGCAAUUGAGUACUAAUUUAAGCAAUUGAUUAAUGCUUGAUAAUUUUUUAUUUUUUAUUUCAAAAAUAUGGAAUUUUGGUAUUUAAUUAAAAAAAUAUCGGGUGUCGGUUUUUUACGCCAAAAAUAUUUUUAAGUAUUAUAUAAAAUCGUGGGAUUUUUAAAAGUGAGGAUAUCACAUUUUAUGGUUCAAUCUGAUCAUGUGCCAAUGCACAAUUAUUUUACUGAGUGUUUUUAAUAUGAAGAAAAUAUGCCAAGUACAUUAUUUAAAAUUGAGGCAUUGGAGUGCAAAGCACGAUGUCCUUGGCCGGGAUUGGAUGUGCGUGUGAUCGUUAUGAGAACCCGUCACGAGCUUUUACGCCGAACGAUACUCCUUCAGGAAUGCCCCACGUUAACGGAUGCUGGUUGCAGUGGAGGCUAGGCUGAUGCUCCUUCGGAAUGCCGUCUAAAUGUAAACAUUGCCGUGCUCGAUGGGACAAGACGACGCCUGGCUAUGCCGGAUGACCGCUGACUAUUGAGUCGGCCGUGGCCGUUGGGUCGUAACUAAUUAGAACGCUUGACUGAGUGAUUUGACCGUGCCUGAUUAUUGGAUAAAAUUGUGUGCACGGAAUGUGACGUGUCAUAACGAUUUGGUCUUAUAAUCGGAAUCCCUGUGAUUGAUUGAUAUGUGGAAAGUGAAGCAUUUCAAUUAUCGAAUACAUUUACUGUAUAUGAAUUAUACUAAUGUGCAGGAAGGUGCUGAGGCGAGGUAAGUCUUAUAUGUUGUGUAUUUAGGCUACCUCUAGGUCUAUUACCUUUCUAAUCAGGGUUUAGGGUGUAGACUCGCUGAGAUGUUAUUUCACCCCGUCGUGGUUUACAAUUUUCAAGUCCUUAGAUGGAGGUGCACUCAGUUCGUUUUGGAUGGCUGCGAGAAGCCGAUACCAAGCGUACCAUCUUCCCUGUCCCUGGGAACCCUUAGACCCGCGAACUCGUCGUAACCACGAUCUAGGUUGAUGAGGGCCAACCUUAGUUGGUACCUUAUCGAUUCAAAGCGUGGUUUCGUCACAGGCAUGACGGGGUCCGGGAAGGUCCCGUGAAUGGUUUCGAUGGACCUGCCGUCGAGGGUGAGGGUGAGGUGGUACUCAACCCUGUCAUGGACGCCGAUAUUAUUGCAAAUAUCACGAAGAACCAGUUGCCCAAGGAUGAGCAGGAGCUCGUAGUAGAGGAGGUAGCUGACCCGCUAGACCUCAACAUCCCUGAUGGUGUCAUAGUGGACUCGGAUCCCAAGUAGGAGGGUCCAAGGUAGGGUUAGCUUAGUAGCCUUUUUGGAUCUUGACUUCCUGUAUAUAACUUUAUAGGGCUAGUUUGUUUAUAAAAUAUGUUUUGUUUAAAUUAAUCGUUUUGUUUUUUUUUAUCCCAUAUUUGUUUAUUGUCUGGAGAUUGUUAAUUCGCUUCUGCCUGUGUUUAAAAUGAAUGGGUCGGCGACGAGUCCUAGGAACGUCGCAAUUUAAUCGACCACCAAAAGAUGUACGCGCACUUGAGGUUUGAGGCGUGACAAUAUCCGAACAACUUUCUUCUUGCUAAAACAUAUCAGUAAUGUGUUCUUUAUUUGUUUAAAUUUAAAUUGAGUGAGUUUCUCCCUUUGAUGAAUUGUUUUUUUCAGCCACCAAAUUCGAACAAGAUAAACUAAACCUUAAAUUGACAAAGAUUUAUCUAUAAAUGACAUAAGUUUUUAGAGUGCAACUUGUACACUAAAUGAAAUCGGCUACUUUACUACUUGUACAUAGACGUUGUGGUGAUAAUAUAUGCUCUUAAGUCUUUUUUAGUUUACUAUUAUAAUUUUAUGGGGAUCUGUCGAUAAACUUAUUUUAUCAUUUGCUUAAUUCAAUAAUCCAUGUCUAUCUAAACUUAUUCCGAAAAGAACCUCGGUCUCCCUGAGAAUUGCACGAAUACCCCCUCUCACAAAAUUUCUAUCUGCUUACAAAAAAGAAAGGCUCUUCAGACUAUUUCUUACUUCGGUUAUUUGUCAUCUCUCUUUCAAUUUUCAUUUUACGUUUCAUGAAUCUGAACCCAACUCAUUAAGUUGUUGCUGAAAUUGGUCUUUACUUGCUUAAAUAAUGAGCAGGUUGGUUCGAUCGACAAAACAUGAAUAGAGCUUGAGGGCAGAUCAAUAGAACCCGAUGCUCCCGCAUCAUGUGAUGAAGGCUCCAAAGAAAUCGCUGAAGAAGCAGACUUUGUCACUGCAAGCCAACUUGGAUUUGCUGCUUCGGCAUAUCCGUGUCCAAUCUGGUCUUGUAUGUGACGAACUACUUUUAUUGGUAUGCAGAUACUGGUUUCUCCUUUGGAUUGAGCACUUAUGACUCUCGCUUUGGGAUAUGCUAGUCGUCCAAUUCAUGUUAUUGCCUCGUCGUAGACAUCGUUCUGUCUGUAAAGCAUGUUCCGGUGGUAUUCCGUCUCUGAUGUAGUCUCUGUUAUCACUGGUUUAUUCUGCUGUUAUGUUGGGUUCUUCAGUAACUUGGUUACACGUGAUCCAGAUCUAAGUGAGCGUCACGGGACCGGAUCUUAACCACAUGCUCAAAUGCGAGUAUACUGAGUACAGUUAGUUUCUCGUUGCCGAGCCUUCUAACUGCUGUUGGUGCAUGCAAUAGAGCCACUCCGUAUAGGCAGGUGAAGGGUUUGGCUUUGUCGGAACAGAUAGAAAUUUUUUCCGCUGCAUUAUUUCCAAUUCAUUUCACGGAAACUUCUUCUGUUCAACUCUUUAAUGGGCAACGUGAGUUUAACAGUUCAGGCUGCCAUCUAGUUUUGGGCCUUACUAGUGGCAAAUCUUGUUCGAGUGCGUUCCCCAUAGGCAGUUGAUGUUCAGGCUACACAGCUUGUCCGGACUAGGGCUGGCUCGUUGGGACUAGGGCUCGUUUGUUGCUGGCUGCAAACGGGAGAAGAACGAUGGAAAUGCAAAAUGCUAUGUACAUCACUCACUUUAAUAUGAAAAGUCCCUUUUAGAUUACUUUAAAAGAUAAUUUUUUCAGUGCUAACUUUGAUCUACUUGGCCGAAAAUCCGACGUGACCUUUCUUCUAUUAACUUCUUAAGCUGACAUGGUUUAUCAAAGAUCCAAUUAGCAUUUAAAGCCAUAAAUGACAUUGUAUAGUAUUUUUCCCCCAAAUGAAAACCCUAAAGUGCCAAAUUGAAAGAGAACCCCAAUUUCAAACCCUAGCCAGCCAAUGAAUUGAAAUUCACACCUUAUUUCGAUUUGGUACCAAAAUUAAUAGCACAAUCUUGCAAAUAGAGAGCAGGAGCUUCAACAGCGGCUCACAACCCUGAUUUUCCCCCUCACAAGCCCUAAUUUUCUCUUACAAACCCUAUUUUUUCUGUUUAAUUAAGCAAUGCAAAGAGAAACGCACGUUCUUGCCAUGGACGACAAGCAAGCAACGAUGAGCAAAUGCAAGAGUGCUAUAGCAAGUAAUGGUGAAUGAGUGAUAGGGAGAGAUGCAAUGAGGCUAACUUUUUUACACAAGUUCGAAGACAUCGCUUUUGCCACGGAUGGCGUGCGACGUUGUCUUUUUUAUUACCUAGCCACAUUGGACUGAGCCACAUCAUUUCGCAUGUCCACAUGGAUUAGGAUUUUAAAAAUUAUGACAUAUCACUUAAAAUUUUUAUUUACAAAUGCCAUAAAUCAAUUUGACCGAAAUUUUUCAUCAUUGACGCUUAAAUAAUUAUUUUUCUCCAAUUUGGUAUUUAGUGAGCUAGCAAAAACUUUUUGAACUAAAAUAAGCACCGUAACAACAUUUGACACUUCUAACGUCCUCCCGAUUGCAAAUACAUAUGACAAGGGAUUAAGUUGCAAAGACCGUGUCCCAAGAUUUUUAUAGCUAGAAUGUAGAACACAAUAAUGGAGAAAAAAAUAUUUGCACAUGUAAUUUGGAAUCUAUCAUUCUUGAUCGGAGUAACAACAAUUCAGAGCUCAAGUGUUUUUCCUCAAUUACCUUCUAUAUCACUAGUUCUAUCUAUCCACCCAGGUUGAAUAAGAGACUUGAACACUACUAAUAGAGUUUUCAACCACAGACCUUCUCAGUACAGUCAAGCUUUAUUCAAUACACACAAGCCAACUCCAUAUUAGCCUAAUUAAGAAUAUUUAUAUGUUACCUUAUUAGAUCAAUUAAUGUAGCUCUCAUCAUAAAAACUCUUAUAACUAACCCUUCCAUGCCAGUCUAAGCAAGGACAUGCUGGUGGAGAUGGAGAGAUCGCUAACUCUAUGUCCAUGGAUACAGAGAGAAUUGAUGAUUUCAGGUGGUCCAUGCACGACCCUUGGCAAACAAAAUUCUAAUAAUUUUAGGCAUACUAAAAUCGAUCAAAUAAUGUGAUAAGGCUCUUCUUAGAUGCUUUCUCCAUCUACAACUCCAUGAACCCGGGAACUUGAAACUCCAAAUCUCGCAUCGAGAAUCCAUCCGAUAAUCAUGGGUUUUAUAAUCCCAAUUCUACGAAGCGCCUGUACUUUUGGAAUUCUAGUGGAGUAAAUUUAAUAUCUAAUUACUGUUUUCAUAAUCUGUCUUACCACAUACAUCCAAUGAAAGUGAGUUAAUUCAUUAAGAUUUGCUUUUUAUGUAGCCCAUGCACAAGUGGCUAAUGAAGAGUACCGACAGUCGGAUAUUUUCACAUAGGAAUCGAGGCCUCUUCAAAGGGAUCGAAAAUUAGUCAAGACACGUGCAUGGAAAAUUCCGGCCUGUAGUUUCUUUUCUUUAUUUGCCGAGAUUGAGAUUGAGAGAGACCUUGCAUAAUUGAUUGAAGGAAAUAUCUCUCUUUUUAAUUUUUUUUUUCUUUUGGAUACGCCAUUUUUUGCAGUAUGAGUUAAUUCAUUAAGAUUUGCUUUUUCUGUAGCCCAUGCACAAGUGGCUAAUGAAGAGCACCGACAGUCGGAUAUUUUCACGUAGGAACCGAGGCCUCUUCAAAGGGAUCGAAAAUUAGUCGAGACACGUGCAUGGAAAAUUCCGGCCUGUAGUUUCUUUUCUUUAGUUGCCGAGAUUGAGAUUGAGAGAAACCUUGCAUAAUUGAUUGAAGGAAUAUCUCUUCUUCUUCUUCUUCUUUUCUUUUGGAUACGCCAUUUUUUGCGUGGUUACCAUUUCAAAGAAAUUUUCCCAAUAAAGCUUCUAAUUGGCGAGUGUCAUUUAUAGAUGUUGUUUACACUUAAACUCCAUUCGUUUCGCGAAAAAUAUGACAUUUUUAUAAAAUAUUUUCUAGAAACCAUUUUUCUAAAAAUGACAAUAUUUUCUAAUAUGUAACUGAAACCUGAAAAUAAACUAAAAUUUUCCUCCGUAAGGUAUGGAAAAUUUGGUCUGAUUUUCAUAAAUGCACUCCUUUUAAUAUUUUUAUUUCUUAAUUUUUUUAUUUUUUUUAAAAAUUAAUUUUUUAAUUUUUUCUUUUUCAUUUUAAUUUUUUUCACUUUUUUCUUUUCCUCCUCCUUCUUCUUUAGUCGGUCGCCGACCCCAACAAACAACCAAGGGCAAACUCAAGCCUAUGGUGAGGCUUGCGCUCACCAAUCUUGCAAGUGGCCAGCUUGAGCUCGCCAAUCUAGCGAGCGGCGAGCUCGAGCUCAUUAGAGGCCGACAAGGCUUCAAGCCUCACUUGUGGCUGGCCAAGAAGGAAUGAAAAACGAAGAAUGAAAAAAGGAGAAAGAAAAAAGAAAGAAGAGCAGACUAGCAAGGCUGCGUGAGAGUGUUUGAUAAGAGAGAGUGAGGGAGAAAAAUGAUUUCCUCUACUUGAAAAGCCAAAAACAUUUUCUCCUAUUUUAGAAGACUUUUUCCAUUGACGCCUAACUAAUUCAUUUUCUAUGAAAUAAACGCUGAAAAAUUCAAAAAACGUUUUUUUUAAAGUUAUUUUCUAUAAAAUGAACAAAACCUUAGUUUAAAUUAAGUUUUUUAUGCAAGUGAUAUCCAUGCUCUUACUUAAAUCUAGUCACUGGCAAGGCUCUGGCCCGACCGUGGUAAAGUGCUUCGCCCCGCCAAAGUUCGAGCCCCUGAAAGCAACCCUUUAACAGGACUUUUUAUAUUACCAUAAUUGCAAUGGCUCAAAUAGCCAAAUGUCACAUUUCCAUAUCCACAAAAGUUGUUAUUUCUCAAAUUGAAAGCAAAGCAUUGACUUGAUUACCUCAUAAAACCUAUUUAAAAGCAUUAUUAUUGCGAGAUUUAGCUUUUAAAUUUGCUUUUUUCCACAAAGUUCCUAAAAAUUCUUCCCUAAACUUUGAAACUUCAAAAAUUUUGAGAAAAUUUGGGAGGGGGCGACAAAAUUAAGGAGGCUCUAGUAAUUUAUUUAGAUAAAAUAUUAUAUCUAUCUAUACUGCUAUGAUAUGAGAGAUUUCAGAAACAAGCUCUCACAAAAAUGUUGACUUCUUUAAAUUCUCCUUCCUUCUUAUCUUCCACAUUUUGAUCCGUGCACGUAUUCGUUUACACUUUUUUUUUUUCUCUUCUUAUCUUCCACGUCUUGUUUUGUGCAAUUAUUCUUUUUAUGCUUUUAAGCUCUGAUACAUGCAUGUUUCAUAAAUUAUUAUCGAUAGUAAAAAUAAUUUUUAAUGACUAAUUAUUUUAAGUGAUAUAAAUAAUCAUUUUUAGAAAAAAAUUAUCAAAAUAUUCAUUUUCCACGAAACACAUGAAGUCUUAAGAGAAACGCCAAAUUAUCUCACUUUUUGUGUUUUUUUUUUAUUAUAGCCGUUUAUUUUAUUAACUGUAGAUCAAAGAGGAAAACAAGGGAAAAUUGACCAACAAAAAUGACAAAAAGGCGAAAGUACACAGAAGUUAACUACCCACUUUCUUAAAAUUAAAAAAAAAAUGUGAACUUGGUAACAUUACUUAAUUGUCCCUAUUGUGAAAUCAGCCUCAUCCUUGCACUCUAUGUGAUAAAUUUAAGAAUGCUUCUCUAAUUUCUUAUAUUUUCAGAAAAAUGUGCAGAAUAAAAUGUCAAGUUCUUUUUCUUUUUUUUUUUAAAUUUCUUCAUGCAAAUAAAUUUUAACAUCUAUUAUUAGUUUACAAGCUGCACAAGAAAUGAAAAUUAAUUGCGCAUCACAUAUCACGUGCUUGAAACUAGUUAGUGUAGUAAAGUAGAAUAUGUUUUUAAUUAAUUGUACAUCAUUGACUCCCCAAACCCAAAACCCAUUGAUUUGAGAUAUUUAAAGAAAAUAUCAAAAAAAAUUUCCUUAACUUUUUUUUGACUAUAUUAUUUUGUCCUUAACGAUAAGCAACUGACCUGGACUCGUGGUUUUCACCCGAGGUGGAUCGGUGGUUUCGUGAUUGCCUUUUCCUUUUCAAAUGUCACAACGACUCUUGGUACAAUGAAUCCUUUCCCAAAGAACUCCAAUGACUAUCGCUCCAUGAAUGGCCCAAAGAUAGAAAAAAAUGUGAGUGCUUUGAGUUUGAGAGUUUGAGGUAUCUGUUUAGAUUCCUAACUUUUGGAACCGGACAAGAUUUUGAUGAUCAAUGUUGAAAAUAAUUGCUCUUGCAGUACUAUUACAUUCCUUAGAACCAUAGGCACCAAAGAAAUCUUAAUCAUAUCGCAUUGAUACUGAUUCAGUUCUAAACCUUUUAAUUAGACUAAUUUAAUCCUAAAUCUUUUGUAUUUUUGUUAAUUGAGUCUAUCCAAUCGAUUUUGCCAGGAAAUCACUAAUAUGAAUGACAACCGCUUUACGUGAUACGAUCAACACUGACAUUGACAAGUUUACAAUCUUUUAAUAUUUUCUGAACUUUUUUUAUUUUUUUUCUUCGUUAUGGCUGGCAAGGGUCACUAGCAACUCAAGGGCCUGCAAGCCCUCACCGACCACUAGUGAGUGUCAUGACUAUUGCCCAGGCCAUAAGUCGAGUCCUCGCUAAAUCUCCUUCGAUUCAAUGAACAUUGUCACUCACUUGAUUGUGUUGUCAGUUUCAUCUCCGCAACUAUGACCCAAAGAAGAAAUCGUUUUGAUUUAUAGGUGAGCAAAAAUAAUAGAGGGAAUUUGACGGCAAAGCAACAAUCCUAAACCAGCACAAGCAGUUGGCGAGGGCUCAACCCUCUCGGCUUGGGCAAGGGCUUGUAGGCCACAAAGAAUAAAAAGAAAAGAAUAAUUAAAAUUUAUAAAAUUUAUCCACAUCAACACCGGUUGUGCCAUGUAGGAUGGUUAGUGUCCAUGUUAAUAAUUUUCCAGUCACAAUUUGCUAGAUGGACUCAUUAUGUAAAGAUGCAAAAUGUUUAAAAUUGAAUUUGUUCAAUUGAAAGGUUUGAGUACCAAUUUAAAAGGUUUAGGAUUUUUUUGAUACUUAAAUUUCAAAGGCAGUAAAGAAAUUCAACAUUUUUUUUUUUUGGAUUUGAUCUCGUAUUUAUAGAAGACUAGAGGUGGCGUCAGAAUUAUGUGUUUUCGGAUCACAACAUAUUCGUUAUUAACUUAAUCUAACUUGAUUAACAUCAAUGCUAAAGCGAUCCUAUAAUCUAUUUCCAUGGAGAAAUUUUUAAUGGUGAUCGAACUUAAAACAUAGGAAGUAAGAACACUCCUCGUUCUUGCACAACCAAGAGAAAGAUGGACAGGAAAAAGACCUUUGAUUUUGAUUGUGGGUCUUGUUGAAUGGCAGAGGCAUGUUAAUGUCUUGAAUGUUAGGAAAAACUUUCGCAGUCUUCUUCAAGGUGUUCAGCCGACGAGAGAACUUUCCAUCCAAUUACAUCAUGGCCUUUCCCACUUUUUUUCGCUUUCCUUUCGUGGAAAAAUGGGUAUAAAUCUCCGGAUCAUUUAUGGUCCACGUGGAGGUUGACCAUCGCUUAAUGUUCACGUACCGUUUUUGUAACAUCCCGGGCCCCACUGUGUAAUAUUGUCCGCUUUGGGUCACCCGCCCUGGCGUGGACGCACCACCAUCCCAGCCACGGUCUUUUCCCUCACGGCUUUAAAACGCGUUACACAGAUUAGAUGGACCAAAGCCUUAUAAGCUCACCAAGACCUCCCUCCCUAGGCAAUGUGGGACAAGAGAGGAGGUUGUUACACUCUCCACCUCUUAACUGAAUAGCGUCCUCGUUAUGGCCCCACGCCGAAUAGCAUUCGAGCUGUGGUCCCACACGCGGUCGGGAGUCGGCUCUGAUACCACUUGUAACAUCCCGGGCCCCACUGUGUAAUAUUGUCUGCUUUGGGUCACCCGCCUUGGCGCGGACGAACCGCCAUCCCAGCCACGGUCUUUUCCCUCCCGGCUUUAAAACGCGUUACCCAGAUUAGAGGGACCAAAGCCUUAUAAGCUCACCAAGACCUCCCUCCCUAGGCAAUGUGGGACAAGAGAGGAGGUUGUUACAGUUUUAUAGUUCAUGUCAAUUCAUAUCCAUUUAUAAAAUAUCUUGGUUUUGAUUCUACACGCUGAACGUGGGAAUUAUGAUGAAAUCAAGUUAAUUCGUAUUAAUUAGUGUCCUCAUAUAGAAUUUAGACAUAUCGUGUCUGUCUUAUAUUCGAUUUUUUCUUUGUAAGUUGUGUUUAAUCUCGUUUUUGAAAAUGGGUCUCCAAUAUUUGCCGAUCUAACUUGUAGGCAAAUCCCCGACCCCCCUCUUUUCCUUUAGUCGAUAUCAUACUCAAGUCGAACAAUAAAAGGAAUAGCAUAAAAAGAUUCUCAAGAAAUUCUAUGUUCCAGCAUCUGGUCAUGAAUGAGGCCAAUAUGACCAUUGGAUAAAAAAGGAAUAAAUUCAAAAAAACAGCAACUCACUGGAGUAUAAGGAAAGUCGACGACUAUAGGAUUGUCAAAGUUAUAAUUAAGUUAAAAAAAUUACAACAACUAGAACAAUUACUCAUUAAUAAGCUCUUUAGAUUGGAUGGAUUGUAAAAGGUUUUACAAUCGUUGAGGAAAGUUUAUAAGAACAGGAAAAAAGAAGAAAAGAGAGAGAGAGAGAUUUUAAUAAGUAUCAAUAGUUAUCAUGCUAACAAACUCUAUAAUCAAAUUAUUGCUCAGGGAAACACGUUAGUCAUUGUUGAUGCAAUCGAGGUUAGGACGACUUCACCUAAAUUAUCAAAAAUUGAGGAAAUCUUAAGUGAUAAUUUCUUUGUUCCAAAGGGAAAAAGUUACCAAAAAAAAAAAAAAAAACUCAAUCUAUACCUACCAUAAUACAUUUAUCCCGAAUUUUAUGCCCACUGCAACACAGUUAUCCUCAAUUUUUUCUUUUGACAUAAAAAACCCAAACUUAUACAUACAUAAUACUUUUACCUACUUCAAGAUUCCGCUAAAUAAUUUUUCAGCUAAAACAAGUCGUUUUUAUUUCACUUAAAUCGCAUGGGUGCCACGCUAUAUUCUUUCAACGUCCAUUUAGAUGAAUUUUUAAUGGUUCUUACUAAUGGAACUUGAAUGGAAGGUAAAUAUAUCACAUAAAUUUAAAUUUGAAAUUUUUUGUAUCACAAACAAAAAUAGUUAUAAGUGUCAAAAUGAAUAAAAUUCAAAAUUUUCUUUUUGUGGCUUUUGUAAUUUCCAAAUGGGAUACAUCCCGUCUUAGGCAAAACGGGAUCGACCCUGCACAUCUUCAAAUUUUCAACAUCGGCCUAGCAAAAGCUUCUCCGGAAAGACAGAAAAAGCAUGGGAGGUUCGCGUGAUUCGUGAACUUCGUCGCUGAAAAUCGUCUCCUUUUCUUGGAAUUGUUUUGGAUAAAAAUGUUGGGGGUUUGCUGAUCUAUGUAGCCACGUGCCAACGUUAGUUUUGUUUAUUCCGACGUUGAUUUAAAAAAGACGAGCUCAGCUCAGUACUUUCCAGGAAAUGAAGGUCUCCUCGUCUCCGACUUUUUGUUUUAUGUCCUUGUCCGCCUCUGCUUCAAUGGCCAACCAAGAAUGGCGGCUAUCUUCGUGUGGUGAGGCUUGCGCCCCACGUUAUCCCUUUGCCCAAGGCAAAACCCCACUUUCGACCUCCUCUUGCGUUAGUGGACCAGCAGGCGCGAGCGCAAAUGGCGACGAAUGGCGCACAAAUUUCCGCUGACUCACGUGUGUAUAAAAACAACGCCAAUCCUCCUCGUUUCUCCCGCACAACAUUAUUGUUUCAGAGACUCUUCUCCCGAAGCACCAGGGCCCCCCCGCACUCCCAGGUCGCAGAAACCCCCCACCAAUCCCCCGAAAUAUUGGGACCUUUUGAUUCACGAGAACAGGUCACCCUGACCCUCUUCUCUCCCUCCUCUGCUCUCAUGUCCUCAGGUAGCGAUUUCCUCGUCCAACCCAUCUUUGUUCAUGGCUUUUCUGGUUCUCUGCACCUGGUGCUGUUGCUUGCCCUGCUCGUCUCGUGGGUUUACAAGAAAAUAAGGGCAGGGCAUGGUGAGGGUCCAAAGGGGAGUCGCGGGAGGGGGAGAGGUGUCUUGUAUAAGCUGACUCUUUGUUGGGCCCUGGGCGUGUCUCUGUUCAAUCUCGCCUUGUGUGUGCUGAACUAUUUUUAUUGGUAUAGAAAUGGCUGGUCGGACGUGAGACUGGUCUCCCUUGUGGAUUCAGCUGUCACGACUCUUGCUUGGGGGCUGAUGUGUGUUUACCUGCACGGUCGCAACUCUGAUUCUGGCGAAUCCAAGUUCCCUUUCCUGUUAAGAGUUUGGUGGGGCUUCUACUUCUCUAUUUCCUGUUAUUCCCUUGUUUUAGACGUCAUUCGAUAUGAGAAACACGUUGGCUUGUUGCCGGU